GUAGGCGCGGGUGAAGGGGUCGGUGAGGAGGGCGCCGUCGGAGUGGAAGAGGCCCCUCCGCUUGCUCACCAGCUUGAAGUAAUCGGUGUCGAAGGUCUUGAAGCUGCCGGGGUCCAUCUCCACGAGUGUGGUGUUGUCGUUGAGGCUGGCACACUUGCUCUUUAGCCGCAUCAUGUACUGCGGCUCCAGCGUGGGGUCGAUGUCGCUGGGGUUCUCCAUGCCGGUGAAGUUGUAGAGCCGGUCGGAGAAGGAGAAGCAGUGCGACGUCCCGAUGGUGUGCCCGGCGGACAAGACGACAAGGUCCUUUGCGUCGAGGUUCACGGCGGCGAAGAGCUGGGUGAGCACGGUGAAGUUGGAGGUCGGGGGUGGCAGAGCGUCGGUCGCGUUGGAAAGGGACACGCUGCCGUCUCGCCGGCCCAGAGGAACUGUCCAGAAUGGACCCUUGCUCUGGAGAAACCAUGAUCGAGCAGCAUUAGAAUUUGGCUUCCACACGUACCGUGUCAUUUGAAAAAUGGCAUAGUAGGAGUACUCUACUCACCAGCCAUACUGCGUCCCUGGCAAUGAGGGCGAGGAUGUCGGCGCAGGAGACGGUGUCGGGGCAGGCCUUCUCCACCGCGGCCUUCACCCUCUCGACAAACCCGAAGCCUCGCAGCGUCUGGUUCGGCUGCGCGUCCUUCUCCGCCGUCUUGUUGGCCGAGUCCAGCAGAACCGAGCCGUCGCACCCCUGCAUUAAUUAAUGGCGGUCACUGGUCAGGCCGCCGCACACAAUAGGGUACGGGCAGGACAGACAACAUGCAUGCAAAUGUAGCUUACCCUGACGAAGCAGUCGUGGAAGUGCAUCCGGAGGAGCGGCCCGGCGAGGCUAGGCGCUAGUGACAGAGCCCUCACCAUCUCCUUCCUCACGACGUCCUCCACGCUGGGGCACGACUCGCUGUAGAACUUGUCGUGCAGCUGCGCCCGCCCGCACGUCGCCGCCACCGCCGCGAGCAGCAGCGCAACCAUCGUCGCAGCCCUGGACGCCAUCUUCUCGGCCAAGAAGCUUGUUUCUUUCUUGGCUAUGCAAGAAACGACGAUGGCUAGUUGAUCCGGAGAAGCUUGAGCUGCUGCUGCUGCUGAUGAACUGGCGCCGGGGAAAUAUAUAGCGCCGGAGUGUCCACACGCCUGCAUGUGGUGGGCUGUCCUCCGGAGCAGCAGGUAAAAUUCCCAUGGUUUAAUGAGUUGUUCCUUGUUUGCACUCUGCGGAAUCUUUGCCGUGGCAGGUACACCGACGGCGCACGGUAUGUAUAAUGGAGGCGGCCGGACAGCCAGACGGAAGCACAUCAUUAGAUGAAUUCACUAAUUUUCUUUAGACAGCAAUCUACUCACUAACUUACUAAUUAGUUAUGAGUUAUCACGGAGAAAACUGCGGUGCCAAGUUGUAAUCAACAAAGGCUACUGGCAAUGAGUGAAUGCCACCUACUGGUAGUUUGCAAGCGUGCGAAUUUCAUGAUGCAUAUAUUUGUACCGGUGCCACAUGCUAUCCUGAAAAUANNNNNNNNNNNNNNNNNNNNNNNNNNNNNNNNNNNNNNNNNNNNNNNNNNNNNNNNNNNNNNNNNNNNNNNNNNNNNNNNNNNNNNNNNNNNNNNNNNNNNNNNNNNNNNNNNNNNNNNNNNNNNNNNNNNNNNNNNNNNNNNNNNNNNNNNNNNNNNNNNNNNNNNNNNNNNNNNNNNNNNNNNNNNNNNNNNNNNNNNNNNNNNNNNNNNNNNNNNNNNNNNNNNNNNNNNNNNNNNNNNNNNNNNNNNNNNNNNNNNNNNNNNNNNNNNNNNNNNNNNNNNNNNNNNNNNNNNNNNNNNNNNNNNNNNNNNNNNNNNNNNNNNNNNNNNNNNNNNNNNNNNNNNNNNNNNNNNNNNNNNNNNNNNNNNNNNNNNNNNNNNNNNNNNNNNNNNNNNNNNNNNNNNNNNNNNNNNNNNNNNNNNNNNNNNNNNNUAAACUAAGCGUGAGUGUAGAAUAGCUUAUUCUACACCCCAGUAACGGUACAUACAAAAUAUAGUAACACAUUAUGUAAAAUAUAGUAAUUUUCGUAAAAAUGUAGUAAAUUAUAAACUUGGGUGAUAAAAAAAAUAUUUUCCAGGCAAUAUACGUACUUACACAAACACUAAUUAGAGGUACCUCGCAAAAUUACCCUGAGACCACUAGGGGCUUGUUUGGUUGUCAUCUACGAAUUUGUCUGCGUUGCACACAUGUCUUAGUUGGGCCUGGCUAUGAGAAAACAGGCAAACGAAAUCUGCAUCUGCACCUCAUUUGGUCGCCCACAUCUAGACUUCCUGCAUUAGGGGAACGGUUUUAGCAUGCUGUUUGGUGUCCUGUAUUGUCUCCACUCAUGCAACUACAUAGUGUUUGAUUGUAUAUAUACACAGGAUAUGAUUAAGAGCUAAUAUCUACGCAUGACAUAACACACAGAGUUACAAUAGAGUUCCUUGGCAGUGUGCCCGUGAUGGUGGCAUUAGUGUAAGCAGAGGGCGAGGAGGCAUAGAGAAAAGACGCCGGCGGCAGUGCCAGGCACAAUAUGGCGUCCAUCCGACAAGGUUGACAACCACAUAUAACACUGGGGACGACAUGACGACAAGGAUGAAAAAUAUGAAGGAGAAAUGCAAUUUGCAUGCCAUGGCCGCGUUAGAGCAACUAUAGCGAACCCCGUAAAAGUCACAAACCCGCAAAAUUAUGGCGAGUAUACGGAUUCGGCCCAAUUUUCUGGCCAGAACAGAGCCCGUAUACUCGACGGCCCGUAAAUAUUUUUACCGCGGCCCGCAACCCUCCCCCCUCCGCCAAGCAAUAUAUCUACGGGUUUGCGGUGCAUAUGCGGGUCGAAACCCUAUCCCCCACUGCCGCGUCUCGCCGCAAUUCCCCACUCCCCUCCUUACAUUUCUCGCCAAUGGUGAGCCCCUUCCACCUCCAAAAGACAUGUGGGGCUGCAUGCGGAGCUUCAGCCACGGCUCUGGGAGUAGCUCCGGCAGGGGCGGCAGCCCCGAGCGCGAGCGGCAUGUCUGCUUGGAUGGCGCGAGGAAGCGCGGGGCGAGGAACUGGACGAACAAGUCUCGAACCGUUGCCGAGCUUCCUCGUUCGUGAGACGGAGGAAUACGACCGUCGGCGCGGGCGUACGCCCUCCUCGGCCGCGGGCUCGUCCUCCGCCGCGAGAUCUUCCCACGCCGCGAUCUCUUCCUCUUCCGGCGCGAGGCUUCUCCUCGUGAAGAGGGAGUGGUCAGAGGAGCCGGUGGAGAUCGAGGUCAUCGCCGUCAAGCAGGAACCGGAGGUGAUCGAGUGACGAGGGGUCAUCGAGCCCAAAGAUUUUGUGGCCGAUUUCGACACGGUGGCGUCCGCCAUUGCCGAGCGGAGCUUAUGCGAGGAGGCGGAGCGCCGGCGCCACGACGACGAGGUCGACGACCUCAUCCUCCAGCAGGCGGUUGCGGCCAACCUUGCCGUGAAGGAGAAGGACGACGAGUGGCGGCGCAUCCGCGAGGAGCAGAGGUCGAAGUUCAUCGAUCUCGUCAACUCCGACGAGGACUGAGCUCCUCCACCGCGUCGUCCUCAGCCGUGAGCUCAUCCAUUUUGGUAUAUCGAUCUCGGCCUCGCCGCCAUGAAUCCCCCCUCCCUCUAGUAGUAGUAAUAGAAUGUAGUAUGUAUGAUAAUGUAGCAUGUGAUGAUGAACUAUGAAUGAUAAUGUAGUAUGUGAUGAAAUAGUGUGGUUGCAAUUUCUCCCACGACAGUAUUAUUCAAAUUAUGCAGUUUCAUAUACGGGUUCUAUUCUGCCACACACGAUUUUGACCCGCAAAACAGUUCUUCAUCGAACUGUAAACGCCUUAUGCGGGUCACGGUUUUACGGGGUCUGCUAGAGUUGCUCUUAGUGCAAGAGGACACAGAGGAGGAGGCCAAAAAGAACAAAGCUAACGACGGCAUCAGUGUAGUAGGACGGGAGCAUGGAGUUAGAGAGGAACAACGCUGGCGAUGGCUUCAGUGUAGCAGAACAUGGGAUAGAAGACAUAGAGGAUCAAUGACCGCUCAAGUGUAGUAGGACGCGGGAGAGGAGGUUGAGAGGAAACGAUGCCGGAGGUGGCGCUAGCGCAACAUCACGCAGCAGAGGAGGCCGAGAGGAACGACACUAACAGUGGCGUCAAUGUAGCAGGACACCUGACUGGAGACCGAGAUUAAGGUCUGUCAUUAACACACAUCGCACAUAUGCAUAUGUAUGUUUUAACAAGGAAGAAUUUACAUCUAGUCUACGAUCAUCGAAACAGAAAAUUUGCAAUACGUAAGUCAUGCGAAACUGCAAGAUGAAGCAACUGGUCAAAGGAAGUUUCAAACGGUCAACCGUGCGCGACAAAUUUAACAAAAUAUGUCCAAAAUAGCUUCAAACAUGAACACGAAAUUGAGCAUUUACGGUUGAAGAAACUACAAACCGGUGACCUGAAUGAAACCAUAACAUUGAUGGUGCAUCUUUUUCAUGUAGAGGUUAUCUCGAAUCGAAGCAUCGUUGUGUAGAUUAGAAGAGAUGACAAAGAAAGAAGAUUAGAGACGAGCUUAAUGGAGGUAGAAGAACAUAGCAGGUAUCCCUCAAGUCUCCUCAGGUGCAACAAGGUCCACCAUGUGCGUUUGAUGUGCCUCAUCUCAGUCUGGCUUGCUAAAAACUGUCGAUUUGACCGUUCCUAGCGGGCCUGACUAGGAGGUGCUUUAAAGUCUGUGCGUUACGGGCCAAACAAUGAAUGUAGAUAAACAAACAUGCCAUUUUCUUCCCACACAGACCUGAUUGACCUAUAUACAGGGUACCAAACACGCCCUAGGUGAUGCCUCUAGGAUUGGAGUUCUAAGUUUCGUAUCAAUGCCAUGUAGCCAACGACCAACCAUGUUUUGACAUUAUGUGACAGGUGCAAAUUAGAAGCUACCAGUAGAAAUGAUUUGGUUUUUAGUGGGAAAACUCUUCUCCUUCAGGUUUUUCUUUCUGUAUACACUCACUUUGUAUGUGAUCUACACUGCAUCAAAUAAAAUACCAACCGAUUUUCAAGACGGCGCAUAUAUAGUUGGAGGGGGUGCCAGGGAGGUUUUUACCCAACGUAGAUGACAACAUAAUCUCCGGAUCGGCCCACCACCUCCUUCGACAUAACACAGUGUCAGUACUAUAUAACUCUACUGUUGCAGAUAGCAUGUGGCACCGGUACAAAUAUAUGCUUCGUGGUCGAUUUCGACGCGGUGGCGUCCGCCAUUGCCGAGUGGAGCUUGCGCGAGGAGGCGGAGCGCCGGCGCCACGACGACGAGGUCAAAGACCUCAUCCUCCAGCAGGCGGUCGCGGCCAAUCUUGCCGUGAAGGAGAAGGACGACAAGUGACGGCGCAUCCGCGAGAAGUAGAGGUCGAAGUUCAUCGAUCUUGUUAGCUCCGACGAGGACUGAGCUCCUCCACCGCGUCGUCCUCAGCCGUGAGCUCAUCCAUUUUGGUAUAUCGAUCUCGGCAUCGCCGCCACGAAUCCCCCAUCCCUCUAGUAGCAGUAAUAGAAUGUAGUAUGUAUGAUAAUGUAGUAUGUGAUGAUGAACUAUGGAUGAUAAUGUAGUAUGUGAUGAACUAGUGUGGUUGCAAUUUCUCUCGCGAAAGUAUUUUUCAAAUUAUGCAGUUUCAUAUAUGGGUUCUAUUCUGCCACGCACGAUUUUGACCCGCAAAACAGUUCUUCAUCGAACUAUAAACGCCUUAUGCGGGUCACGGUUUUAUGGUGUCUGCUAGAGUUGCUCUUAGUGCAAGAGGCCGCAGAGGAGGAGGCCAAAAGGAACAAAGCUAACGACAGCAUCAGUGUAGUAGGAUGCGAGCGGGAGUUAGAGAGGAACGACGCCGGCGGUGGCUUCAGUGUAGCAGAACAUGGAAUAGAAGACAUAGAGGAUAAACGACCGCUCGAGUGUAGUAGGACGCGGGAGAGGAGGUUGAGAGGAAACGACCCCGGAGGUGGCGCUAGCGCAACAUCACACGACAGAGGAGGCCGAGAGGAACAACGCUAACAGUGGCGUCAGUGUAGCAGGACACAGGACUGGAGACCGAGAUUAAGGUCUGUUAUUAGCACACAUCACACAUAUGAAUAUGUAUGUUUUAACGAGGAAGAAUUUACAUCUAGUCUACGAUCGUCGAAACAGAAAAUGUGCAAUACGAAAGUCAUGCGAAAUUGCAAGAUGAAGAAACUGGUCAAAGGAAAUUUCAAACGAUCAACCAUGCACGACAAAUUUAACAAAAUGUGUCCAAAAUAGCUUCAAACAUGAACACGAAAUUGAGCAUUUACGGUUGAAGAAACUACGAACCGGUGACUUGAAUGAAACCAUAACAUUGAUGGUGCAUCUUUUUCAUGUAGAGGUUAUCUCGAAUCGAAGCAUUGUUGUGUAGAUUAGAAGGGACGACAAAGAAAGAAGAUUAGAGACGAGCUUAAUGAAGGUAGAAGAACAUAGCAGGUAUAAAGCUCGCAUCCCUCAAGUCUCCUCAGGUGCAACAAGGUCCACCAUGUGCGUUCGAUGUGCCUCACCUCAAUCUGGCUUGCUGAAAACUGUCGAUUUGAUCAUUCCUAGCGGGCCUGGCUGGGUGGUGCUUUAAAGUCUGUGCUUUACGGGCCAAACAAUGAAUGUAUAUAAACAAAUAUGCCAUUUUCUUCCCACACGGACCUGAUUGGCCUAUAUACAGGGUACCAAACACGCUCUAGCGAUGCCUCUAGGAUUGGAGUUCUAAGUUUCGUAUCAAUGCCAGGUAGCCAACGACCAACCAUGUUUUGACAUUAUGUGACAGGUGCAAAUUAGAAGCUACCAGUAGAAAUGAUUUGGUUUUUAGUGGGAAAACUCUUCUCCUUUGCAGUUUUUUUUCUGUAUACACUCAUUUUGUAUGUGAUCUAUGCUGCAUCAAAUAAAAUACCAACCGAUUUUCAAGACGGCGCGUAUAUAGUUGGAGGGGGUGCCAGGGAGGUUUUUACCCAACGUAGAUGGCAAUAUAAUCUCUGGAUCGGCCCACCACCUCCUUCCACAUAGACAUAGUGUCAGUACUAUAUAACUCUACUGUUGCAGAUACAUUAAUGUCUUUUACUAUAUGUUUGUUCGACUGUUGUGUUUGGCUGCAUGCAUUUUAAUUAUGUAAAGGUCGGGUGUCGUUCAUCAUGCUUUAUAUCCGCUUUAUACUACAUUUGACUUAAUAAAAACACCCACCUCGCAAAAAAAGACUUAAUAAAAACACCCUUUAUUAAAAAAAGGAUGAUUGACCAUGUAGCCCGAGCAAAUUUGUAAUCAAAGUAAAUGUGCUUCAUAUAUAGUUCCGUCUAUUUGACAUAAAAAACAUUGUCUACUUCAAUACAAAUUACAUAUGCUUCACAAGCUUGUUUUUUGUUGUUAUUGAAAUCACCCUUCCGCGAAGAUACCAAUUACUUUCGAAGGGAUAUUUAAUUUUUAUGUUCGUUAAUUGGUACUACCUCCGCCCUGGUUUAUUGGUCCCUUUUGUAAUUUGUGCCAAAUUUUGACAAAAAAAUUAACUAAUAAAAUGUUAAUGCAUGUCAACAAAAAAUAUAUCGUUUGGUUCGUAUUUGAACAUAGUUUUCAAUGAUAUAUUUUUUGGUGGCAUGCAUAAAUAUUUUAUGAGUUAAAUUUAUAGUCAAAAUUUGGCACAGAAUACAAUGGAGACCAAUAAACCAGGACAGAGGUAGUAAUUGGCAUAUCACAAUGAACACUAGGGAGGAUAGAGAUCAUCUGUUCUUCAAGUGCAACUUCAGUACUAGAGUUUGGAACUACAUGCAGAUCUCUUGAACUGAUAACUCUGAUAAGUGUGAGAUUGCUUGCAAGGCCAGGAAAUAAUUUGACAAACCUUUUUUUUUUUGCUGAGGUUGUCUUCACAGCUUGGUGGAAUAUAUGCAUAAUCUGGAACGGAAAAAUAUUAUUGAAUGAAAAGCCCCGUUUUGCUAGGUGGACAGUGGGAUUCACUUGGGAUAUUUAUUUGAUUACACAUAGGAUCAAGGCUACAUAUAAGGAUGCUCUAUUGAGAUGGAUUUCCUAUUUGCCCCCUUUGGUUGUAUUUUCUAUUUUUGGUUCUCAUGUUCCCUCUGUAAGUAAGAUUUUGUUUUCUCUUUCGGCCGAGGCCUUGUAAUCACCUUUGUAUAUCUUUAUAUCUAUGUUUCAAUAAAGAUGAAGCUGUGGUGCUUUGCCCUGCAGGUACAAGUUUCCGAAACAUUGCACUGUGCGUCAAAUUAAUCCAAAAACAUUCUUUUUUACCAAGGUUCCAUUGAAACUCGUCUUUGACUCUUGUAACAACUGCACAACCUCAAACCAAGUUAGAAGUGUUUUCCAUGUCUCAUCUUGGCCCAAGCAAGGUCGUCCUAAACGUCCCGUUGUGGGUGAGGCACUGAAGAAUUGCUCAAAGGUAUCUUGUUUGUUAUAGACAAUACCAAAUAGGAUAUCGGUCACUGAGAGGAACAUUUGUCUAGCCACUAAUCCUUCAAAAUUCUAAUUUGUGAGAUGUCUUUAAUGAUGAAGCUUCCAAAGUGGUAGAAAAAAACUCUCCAUUUUCAUUGGGCUCGCCCUAAAAUGAGAGUCUUCCAUUUAACCCAAGAGAUGGUUUUAGAACGAGCGUAGUUGUUUCACAAGAGGUCUUACCAUACACCUUCCUCGCGAAGACAAAGCUUAAGCAAUAAUUUAAGGAGAAAUGCAAUGUUCUUGGCCUCAACAUCCCAUUUUUUUUCAACCCGCACCUUCUCCUUUCUCCACUUCUCUGCGAAAAAAAAACUGGACUGAAAAUAGUCCAAUAUUUGCAUAAUCCGUAGUGGAAUUUAGUAGAAAAACAACAUGUACAAGACCAUCCUGAUAAGCACAGAGUUAAUACGGACCAACCAUCCACAAAGGACAAAAACUUUCCUUUAAUUCCAACUAAGAAUGUGUUUCUCCCUUCUCUCUACCAUGAUUACUGCAUUCUCGAGCUUCAGAUAAUGAAUUGGAAUCCCCAAAUAGUGAAUGGGGAAUUGGACAUGCUCGUAAAAAAAUUGGUAUAUCGAACUUCAGCUUCCCGGCCAACCUCUAAACAAGCCAACUAGCUCUUAUGGAGGCUAAUUUUAAGGCCCAAAAGUUGCUCAAAUACAGAAACCACUAACUCGAUGUUUUAAGCCUUUUGAAGGUCAUGUUCCAUGUAUAGGAUUGUGUCAUUAGUGUAUUAUAGGAUGGGCAAGUGUACACUAGAUGUGGCACUACCCCACGGAUUUGACCAAUUUCCUUGGCAAGCUCAAUGAGAAUCGUCAAUAUAUCUGCAACAAUAUGAAAUAACAUAAGAGAUAAGCAAUCCCAAUGUCCCAUACCAUUUUCUGUAUCAAAAUAGUGGGGAGUGUCGUCAAGGAACUUAAUGGUACACUAAAAUGAUCAAUUAAGCACGCCAUUUAUUGGAGAAGCAUUACAUCAUGAGUCCCUAUUGAAGAAAAGACCACUUGACUUGUUAUAUGUUGAGUGAAAUUCACCACUAAUCCAUUAACUUAAUAUGAUUGCACACUUUAGACCAACAACUCGGGAAGUGAUCAGUUAAGGCCCUACACUCAUUGAUUUGAUCAAAUAAUCUAAAACUCAAUUUGAUAGAGAAAAAUCUGGCCACAUGGCUGUCAUGUGAGCAUUCCUUUGACCGCUCGGGAACUAAUUCUUUUAUACUAGUCGUCAACCCGUGCGUGCGCACGGGCUAGUAGUUUGGAAAAUAGCUUAGUAGUUUUUUUUGUAAAUAUUGUUAGAAACAAAAGAGGAACUAAUUAUGAAUUAUAAAUUUACACUUGAAAAAUGACACUUUGUUCUUUAAUCAUAUAUUUUAUAUUUAAGUAUAUUUUAUAUGUCAUAUAAGAACACUAUAGUUUGAUUUCUUUGCUCUAAAAAAUGUUAAUUUAUUCUUCAGCAUGUGCAAAUAUCUCCCAAAAACAAUUUUUUCCGAAGAAUUGUUAGGGUUGGAAGAAGCUCAUACAUUUAUUAAGUCUCCCAAGUGUAUUAAUUAUAUAAAUUUACUGUCAGUAAUGUUUUUGAAAUGAAACUACAUUUGUGCGAACAAAAAAUAUUCUUAAGUUUAGAACAAAAACAAACAAACAAAAUUGUUCGAUACUUUCCUAUAUAUAGUGCAUAAUUAUUGAAAUAUGUACAGAGAAGCAUGAUGUGUAUAAUCAUGACAUCCCUCCAAAAAAAUAACUAAACAUGAGCCCAUGAGUUUCUGUCAUGUUUGUUUGUCGAGAAACACAUGAUUUCUUCCUACGUACACAUUCUUAAUUAUCCAAGUCGAAUUUGUUGGACGAUUUUAAACUCUAAACAUCACAAACAUAAUGAAUUUAUUUUCGUCCAAAUACACCUCUAGUAUCAUCUCUUCUAUUUUCCUAAAGGAAAACUCAAUUCCUUGAAUCCCCAGGUAUCAGCCACUUAUUUUUCUAAUCUCAUAAACCAAGUCGGGGUGCUAUGAAAUAUUCAAAUGGUUAUACAUAUCAGAUGCAUCGUGGUGGAUAACUUGGGCCAUGUGAUGCACACUACCUUAGGAAAUGUAAAAACAAAAUGGACUAUAUUUGUUUACAAAUUAUUGAAAAACUUGAGCAAGAAAGAGAAAUAGAGUGGCCAAGAUUAAUAUAUUAUUUUUUGGAAAGACUUAUAUAGUUCUACCAGAAACCUAAUAAUAAUUUGUGAAACAAUUUUCGCUGUUUUCAACAUGCAGCAAUAUUACUUGUUGUUUUCAAUGAGAAGGAGAAACAGUUUUGCAUAGUUAAAUGUCACCUGGCUUUGUAACCCCAAAGGAAUAAGAAUCUACAAAUUAUGAGUAGAAGCAUACAUCCCUACUUAACAAAAGGACACACCAGGUUCAUCAAACAUGGAUGAAAAAACUGAGUGUUGUUAUUGGACAUCAGAAGUCCAUAUCCUAAAAAAUAUGACCAUGCCGAAGGUAAAAUUAGUAUCAUCUAAGCUAGACUAAUUUUAUUUGUCCAGGCUAAUGAUAAUACAUUUUUCAACUACUAAUUUUAUUUGUCCAGGCUACAGCACAACUAACGUCUGCAUUGCAGUAGUAUUUGGGAAACAAAAAAUCAUAUUAUAAUUUGGGACACUGCAGAACGUUCUGAACUAUCGGCAUGCGCGUAUACUGGAUCGUGUAGAAAGGAGAAAUAACCGGCACUUUUGGCGAUGUGGGCACACCGCCAUACUGCAACACAACGCCUUUAAAGUUUUCCCCUGGGAACAUCCAAUUAAUAUUUACAUAUAUGAACUUGUAAGCCCAUUGAUCAUGUUGCACACACCUGUUGUGACCUUCACUCACCUGCCAGUACCCCGACCGGUCGACACCUCUUCCUGCAAGUAGCCACCAGUUCAAUGAUAUAGAAGAUAAAGAAACGAAAUUUACAUCAACUUCGAUAGUCAAAAAAACUCUUUCAUAACACUUCACUUCACAUUACGUUAGUGCUAGACUCAUCUUCAUGACUUGAGCAGUUGCCUAAUUCACUACAAACAAAACAAACCAGCUGGCUGGCAAUAACAUGUGGUGGAAGUGCAGCAACAUUAAAUCUAAACAAACUGCAUUAGUCGAUUCAAACCAUACCAGGGAGCUCAACUGAGAUCAUCAAGAGUUUGUGUGAUCUCUGAUUGAGGCAUGAUCUAGAUGACACGGGGUGGUAAUUAUACUGAAAAUCUGAUUAUCUAUGUAUGCAUCUUUUUAUUCCAUCUAUUCAUCGUCAAGUAUCUAACUAUGCAUACAUCAAUCCUUCCUAUCCAUCAAUUCCAUAUACGUAUCAGCAAGUAGCAUCAAGGUAAUGCAUGGGACAAUGAGAAAAUAUCGGACCUGAGAUUAAAGGGGCUGGAGCAUGACCACCAUAGAUUCCACUUCAUACGCAUCUGCAGAUUAAACUGGCUGGAGCAGGACCAACUUCCCAUAGAAGAUGGUUCUUGGUACUUGGUAUUCAAUGUGUUGGCCGUAAUGGAACUUCGAAUUGUUAUAUAUUUACCUUUGUUUACAAAGCGGUUUUAUUUACAAAGAUGAUGGCGUACACUAUAUUAUCCUUCCACCUGAAUUGCUAGCAUAGAAACAACAGAAGCCUGAAAAGGAAUAUAUUGCAAGUUACAACAACAGUAUUCGUAAAUCAACAUUGACAUAAACCACUCAAUUGAAGAAGAAAUACAGAAAGCGGUAACUCGCAAAUCAGUCGAGUACAAAGAACUGAUGCGCAUUUUUCAAUCAUAUAAAUGUGUAGAAAGGCCUAGGUAGGAAUACGGGAAGGUGUGUAUAUGCAUUAUGUACUUCCUCUAAACACAGCUAUUUUCUAUCAUCCAGGUCACGCCCGAUGGCAAACAUUGCCGCAGUCCAUACAUGUCAUGGGUUUGGCCUAAUUGGGUUUGGAGGAUGCUACAACAUAGAGAUGCAUUCUUGCCACGGUCCCCAUGGUAUGGUGUUGAAUUUGGGAAGCACAUGAAGAGGAGGAAGUGGUGUUGAAUCUACACAUGUGGCCUCAAGUGUUCGUUUCCCAGAUCUUAAUCCACUACUGUUUGCAUUGCUAAUUCACCGUAUUCCAAAAGCUUAGGACACGUUUGGUUGCUACUCAGGUAACGUCUUCAGUUAAGGUACCGGGAAGCUCCGGUUCCCUUUUCUUCUUUAGGAAUACGUGAUGUGCUUGGUUUGGCCGCCCCACUCCCGCUUUUGUAAUCAGCCGCGAUUUGGGUGUUUCCGAGUUUGUGAACCUCCGGAUCGGAAGACACUGCUACGGAAUACGUUGUUGGCGUACCAAAUGCUGGAUGCCGUUUCAGAAAGCGCGGUAGUCGGAAACCGUGACAAUUCUUCCGAAACAAACGCGUCGUUAAUUACUUAGGAAACCAAUCCACAUCCGAUCUGGUCACCUCAAUCCAUUGGAAGCUGCCUCAGGUCAACUUUGUCCCCUUCCUACUGCCGUGCGGAAUUUGCAAAGUACAACACAUUGCUACAAAACAUGAGAAAGCAUAGCAGGGAAGACAGAAGAAGGUCCGACAUUGUUAGGGCAAUCAUCGCCAUGGUCCAGCUCGGCGUUUCUGCCAACUGGACUGACCCGUACAAUCUUUUCACCACCAAAAUAAAGAUCGCAAGUACCUAAUUGUACUACAGCACUCUCUCGAGCGCUCGCAGAAAAACAGAUCACCAUGUACCUGAUUGUACUACUGCGGCAUGUGGAGGCCCUGAGAAAGGAGGCCGACCGAGGAGGCCCGUGCGUGUGGACGAUGGUAGCACCCCUGCAGGAGGGAACAGAUGAAGAUCUCGUCCUGCUCGACAACGCUCAGAUGAUGCCGCUAUGAUGAAGGGAAGGCAUAUGCGUGAGAGAUUGAGCCACAAAGAAAAACAGAAUAUAUUUUGGGGUUUUCCUCUCGCUUUAAAAAAGAGGCAUGAGAGAUUGAACAGGAAGGAAAAAAAAACAAAAACAUGAGAGAUUAGCGGAGCCAUUUAAGAGAGAGAGUUGACGGAUCCUUUUUUUUUUGGGCAGUUGAUUAUUCUGUACGUGCACGCGUGUUUUUUCUUUUGGAGUUUUGCUCUAGCUUUCAAAAGAGGCAUGAGAGAUUGAGUUAGAAAAAAAUAGCAAAAACAGAUGUACACCUUUUUAAUUCGGUCGCACGAGAUAAACGAAAAAAUAGCAAGAAUAGCUUUCAAAAGAGGCAUGAGAGAUUGAGCCAAAAAGAAAAAAAAAGCAAGAACAGAUCUACACCUUUAUAAUUCGGUCCCACCAAAUAAACAAAAAAAGAAAAAAAUAGUAAGAACAGAUCUACACCGUUAUAAUUAGGUCCCACCAAAUAAACGGCUCUUAAUUUCUAAUUAAUGUAGGAAUUUCUAGGAAGUGACAAAUUAUUAUAGGUAUAGAUAGAUAGAUAGAUAGAUAGAUAGGGAUCUAUUUGUAAAUUGGUUAGUUUUUACUCACAAACCAUGCUGAGGAUGUAUGGAGGACAAAUAUAUUAAAAACCUUAAGUUGCAUGGGAUUGAAAGCCACAUCCUUAGAGGUGGCAAACAUCUCGCUAACCGCAUGAACAUCAACUAGUUUGUGUACCAAGAUGCAACCCACUCUAUAUAUUAAAAUUCAAAAAACUAAGCAGCAAAAAUCAUAUGAGAUUAGAAUAAAAAAAUAUUGCUACGAACACUGUUCUACUAUAUUGCAAAACAAUAUAGACAAUGGAGAAUUUUGAAGAAAAGAACAGAAAAAUCGCAUAUCUCAUGCUAUCACAUCAUAGUAUUUUAAGAGCCAUGCAUAAUAGUAUAUGAAGAAUCCCAUAACCGCCUCCUGGGUCGCUCGCCUCCCGGGUCGCUCGCUAGGGCGACUCUAGAGGCCACCAUAAUCCAGUAGCACAACUCAUCUCUCGUGCUCCUCGUGCCGCCUUCGAUGGCGGCGGUGGCGGCGCCCGGCCGUGGAAGGCAGAGGUCUUGCUGCGGGUUUCUCAUGCCGGAGGAGGUGCGGUCGUUCGAGCACCCUGUUUCUUAUGGUGGCACGCAGGUGGUGGGCCGCCGAUCAAGUUGUCAGCAUUGCGCGAGCGGAGAUCUUUAGUGAUCAGGUGGGAUGUGGCUCGUGCAUAGGGGUUCCUUCUCGCACUGGCCAAGUGUUGUUCCUCCGGCAGCCAUCGGACAUGGAGUCGGUCAUGCUGCGCGAAUGGAUGCAUUUCGAUGCCUUUGGGCAGUUUUGCUCGGCUCCUCAGUUGGGCUGCAUCUUGAUGGCUGCUUGGCGUGAGGGUUCUAGUUUGACGAGUGAAUGGGCCAUGGAUGGUGUCUUUGGUGAGGUUUGUGGCACUCCGGCUAAAAACCGUACCUGACCUUUGUUGAUGCUGUUUACCACGUCGCCUUCGGGUGUCGCUAUUCAUCCCCUCACCGAGGAUCUCUAACACCUAUUUCAAUCUUGUGAUCUCGUCUCCCGGUGAAAACCGUAAUCCAGAUUCCCAAAUCGGCGAUGUCGAUAUCCUUUAUGAGGAAGUCAUUACUAGAAUGCAUCGUGUCAGAGACUUGACUUGUUGGAGAACCUCAUGGGGAGUCGUUGGUGGAGGGCCUGCGGUGGCGCGGUUGGUGUGGCUUUCCUGUCUCUCCGGUGCACUGCUUUGGGUGGCUGAGGUAUGGAGGUGAUGCUUGGCGAUGGGUAGCAAUGAUUCUUCCUGGCAGAGUGGCGAUGCCAAGAUGGUGCACGGCAACCGUGUCAGUGAUGCGUUGGUGGUGCCAUGGAGCCAGAUCCUUGACGAAGUUACUGGUUGCAGAUCCCGGUCCUAGCAAUGCAAUGAGGGCUCAUGGUGUAUUAUCUGGCGGCAGGUAGCCAUGCUCAGAUUUACCACUGAUUUGCACUUGCGACGGGGACGCGUGAUCGCCAAAGCGUCCCUUAUGGAGGAUUUUGGUGGCAUUGUUGUCUCUAGUCUGUGGAUAUAUGACAUGCGCCACAUGGGUGUCAAUGCAUGCACCUGGCAAUAAAGGCCGAUUGUGGCGGCUAGAUCGCUUCAUUGGUGUCUGCACAAUUUUGAGCUUGCUUGCUGAUGGCUCUAUAUUUUACACAUUUCUAGAGCUCAUUUGUCGCAUGUUCUCGGCAUACAUCAAGGCAUGUUGAACCAAAUAAAUGUCCAACACAUGAUUACUGAUUUUUACUCUUUUCAUUAUGACAAUUGCCUAUUAUUAUUAUUAUUAUUAUUAUUAUUAUUAUUAUUAUUAUUAUUUGGUUUUUAUUAGAUUCCUUUAUUUUGUUGUGUCUACAGGUGUUUUGGAGCAACCUAGGACCAAACACGAUGAAUAGGCCAAGGUUGAGUUCCUUACAGAGGACUUCCAGCACUCCAACUAGAUUAAGAACUUUGAAAACGUUGUUCGGAUGAGUAAGUUAUCACUAUUUUCCCAGAAGAGGUCAUAACAAAAGACGGCCUCUAGUACAACAAAAAAUGGUCCUACUGGUGGUCGUACCAGGUGCAGAUAGGCCCGAAAGUUGCCUCUCUGGAUGAGAUUCUUCAUCAAUUUCGUCUCCUUUGUUACCUCGUGUUCCUUGGCUAAUAAGGAAGAGUUUGAGAGAGGAUUUGACUCAAGUUGAGCCCUUAAAUGAAGGUGGAGGGUCCACAUCUAUGCAGGAGACCCAAGCAGGCCUUCUAUAUAUUGAAAUGGCAAUAUCAGAGUCUUCGUCGUGUGUACAAGGAAUUAACAUGGUCGUAACGAAACAACAAAUUAAUGAAAGAAAAAGAUUUGGGAGAGAAAGGAGCUAUGGCAAUCUUACAGCAAUUUACAGGGGAAAAAGAUGAUCACGAAUCAAAACAACCUUGUACUUCUUUGGUGGCUUAAUGGUUAACCACGUUGCACUUCUUCCUGAUCUCGCCCUGGCUUCCGGUGAGCGGGUUGGCGUUGCCCAUCUUGAUCAUGGAGGCGGCAAAGUCGGCGAAGAACUCGUCCAUGAAGGCGCCGGUGGCAUGGCGCUGGACGUAGGCGCGGGUGAAGGGGUCGGUGAGGAGGGCGCCGUCAGAGUGGAAGAGGCCCCUCCGCUUGUUCACCAGCUUGAAGUAGUCGGUGUCGAAGGUCUUGAAGCUGCCGGGGUCCAUCUCCACGAGGGUGGUGUUGUCGUUGAGGCUGGCACACUUGCUCUUUAGCCGCAUCAUGUACUGCGGCUCCAGCGAGGGGUCGAUAUCGCUGGGGUUCUCCAAGCCGGUGAAGUUGUAGAGCCGGUCGGAGAAGGAGAAGCAGUGCGACGUCCCGAUGGUGUGCCCGGCGGACAAGACGACAAGGUCCUUUGCGUCGAGGUUCACGGCGGCGAAGAGCUGGGUGAGCACGGUGAAGUUGGAGGUCGGGGGUGGCAGAGCGUCGGUCUCGUUGGAAAUGGACACGCUGCCGUCUCGCCGGCCCAGAGGAACUGUCCAGAAUGGACCCUUGCUCUGGAGAAACCAUGAUCGAGCAGCAUUAGAAUUUGGCUUCCACACGUACCGUGUCAUUUGAAAAAUGGCAUAGUAGUAGUACUCUACUCACCAGCCAUACUGCGUCCCUGGCAAUGAGGGCGAGGAUGUCGGCGCAGGAGACGGUGUCGGGGCAGGCCUUCUCCACCGCGGCCUUCACCCUCUCGACAAAGCCGAAGCCUCGCAGCGUCUGGUUCGGCUGCGCGUCCUUCUCCGCCGUCUUGUUGGCCGAGUCUAGCAGAACCGAGCCGUCGCACCCCUGCAUAUUCACGGUGGUCAGGCCAUAGCGCACAACGGUGUACGGCAGAUACUGAUGCAUGCAAAUGCAGCAUACCCUGACGAAGCAGUCGUGGAAGUGCAUCCGGAGGAGCGGCCCGGCGAGGCUGGGCGCCAGUGACAGCGCCCUCACCAUCUCCUUCCUCACGACGUCCUCCACGCUGGGGCACGACUCGCUGUAGAACUUGUCGUGCAGCUGCGCCCGCGCGCACGUCGCCGCCACCGCCGCGAGCAGCAGCGCCACCAUCGUGGCAGCCCUACACGCCAUCUUCUCGCCAAGAAGCUUGUUCCUUGCUUGGCUAUGCAAGAAACGACGAUGGCUAGGUGGCUAGUUGAUCCGGAGAAGCUUGAGCUGCUGCUGCUCAUGGACUGGCGCCGGGGAAAUAUAUAGCGCCGGAGUGUCCCCACGCCUGCAUGUGGUGGGCUGUCCUCCGGAGCAGCAGGUAAAAUUCCCAUGGUUUAAUGAGUUGUUCCUUGUUUGCACUCUGCGGAAUCUUUGCCGUGGCAGGUACACCGGCGGCCACCGUACGUAUAAUGGAGGCGGACGGACAGCCAGACGGAAGCACAUCAUUAGAUGAAUUCACUAAUUUUCUGUAGACAGCGAUUUUCUCACUAACUUACUAAUUAGCCAUCACGGAGCAAACUGCGGUGCCAAGUUCUAAUCAGCAAAGGAUACGUGCAACAAAUGAAUGCCACCACCUACUGGUAGUUUGAAGACAUGGAAAUAUCACGAUCCGUAUAUUUAUAUCGGCACCACAUGCUAUCCCGAAUCAGCUUUACUAAGUCUCAGUCGAAGCUAUAUUCGUUUGAUCUUGUGUGAAGAUCCGUGCAAUUUCGAUGUGGUCUGAAAUACCUGUAACACCGGAAUUUUGAGCCAGAUUUACAAACUUGAAAAUAAAUUUAAAUUAUGUUACAAUUCAUUGAAAGGUAGUAAUUUUUUAAAGAAUUUUUACAUAUGUCAUCCAAAAUUGCUUUGUUUUUUAGAUUAAAAGCCUUGCCAAUAAUUAUGCUAAUAUUAUGCCUUUGUCGAGGCCCUGGCCCAAAAGACCAGAAGAAUUUAAAUAUCAUGUUUUGAUCAACAUAUAAUUUGAAUAAUGAUGUUUAAAUUCCAAACAUGGUUAAAAUGAUAUUUAUAAAUUUGGGGAUCUAGUUUUUAUAAGUCUCAAGCUUUGUACGUGGUUGGAAUUUUGUAUUCACGAAAAACCAAUGNNNNNNNNNNNNNNNNNNNNNNNNNNNNNNNNNNNNNNNNNNNNNNNNNNNNNNNNNNNNNNNNNNNNNNNNNNNNNNNNNNNNNNNNNNNNNUGUUUGAGGCAAGUAAUUCUGCACGAAAUUCAAUAUUUAAACCCGAAUAUUAAUAUAGAGAUCCUACACCUACGAAAGUCUAGGUAAACCCACCAUAACAAUCAUACAGACAUUCUAGAACACGACAAAGAUAGUUGCCGAGGCAAGAUCUUAAACAUGCCCAUUACCGGAUUGCAUCUUAUUGCUUGGUCAUCUUGUCAUAUGCAUCGACCGUCGCCUAAGAAAACCAUACAUUAUAGAAAAUGGCUUAUAGGUGAACACAAAUUUGUGACGGGCGAGACGUGUGCCCGCCACUGGUAUACCGUUUCAGAGCUGGCCGCGUAAUGCAACCUAAUUGUGGUGAGCAGUAACAAAGGCCCGCCACUGCUUAUUUGUACAUCAGUGGCGAGUGUGACUGUUGCUUGCCACAGCUAAAUUAUGGUAAGCACUCUUACCAGGCACGAAGGAAGUACAUAUUAUACACUUGUAGUAGUGGCCGGUCCAGUCGGCCGCCCGCCAGUGUUGUCCACUUACGUGUAGCGGGCGCCCUGCCGUGCCCGUCACACGUAGACCCACGACACUGGCUGCAGUUUACUUUUCCCCCACCUGAAAAACGGUUUCAAAAUUUGGCAUUUCCCCCGCCCCCUCCCCCCGCGCCUUUCCCCCCAAAUCUCGCCCGACUGGGCGUCGCGCCCCUCGUUGCCGCCUCUCAUCCUCGCCGCUGCUGCGCCCCUCGUUGCCGCCUCUCCUCCUCGCCGCCGCCGCCACACCCCUCGUUGUUGUCGCCCCCUUCGUCGACGUUGCGUCGCGGCCUUCCUCGCGGCCAUGGGCAUGGACUCCUUCUCCAACACUGGAGGCAUCUUGCUUCCGCCGCCACCGCGAAGCUCCUCCGCGAUGGCUACCCCUCCGACCAUUGUGCCCUCCUCCGCCAACAUCGGAUACCUCGCGCCGCCUUCGGACGCAAAGCGAGCCACCUCUCUGGUAUGGUCAAAGUUGUGUUUAGGGUAAAUAAAUAUUUAGCAUUGAUUAAAUUUGAGUAGUGUGCCGUACUAUUAUUGUGCUUACGGUAACUAUGAGUAGAUUAGGAACAUUUUUUAGGUAUUGACAUGAGUGACAAUGUUUUGGCAAAACGUCGAUUCAUUUCCGUUUUGCCGAAUUUCUGGUACUCAUUAUGUCCUCUUUUUAGCAGAGGUCAUGUCGAAUUUUUCUUUCAUUUUUUAACUAGGAUCCAUUGUAGUAUCAUUGGCUUAUAUUUGCAGGUAUUAACAUGAGUGCCAAUGUUUUGGCGAAACGUCGAUUCAUUUCUGUUGGCCUUACUUUGAAAUGUAAGUUCAUUUCUUUAUGCUUGCAAAUAUACACAUGAAUACUUUGAUGUCAAUCUCAUUAAUUUUACAUUGUUCAAUUGUUCCCCGAGACGGCCGAGCUUAUUUCUUCGAUUUCAGGAGAGACCCUAAGAAGCCAUGGACCGAUCUGAAGAAAGUUAUCAAUGCUGCUCUUUUGAUGUGUCAUAAGUCCGACCGUAAGAACAUGCCACAUUCGCAGUACAAAUUUAACACUAGCUUCUAUUGCCGGCAACAACCAAAAGGCAAAACCAUGCACAUGGCUGCUACUGUGCCAUGGUCUUGAUGGAUGACGAUGUGCGUGCAGGACCACUGUUGAGGAGUGAUUCGAUGUUGUAGAAAUGGUCCGAAGAGAAUGAGAAGGAAUUUAAGCGAGCUCACUUUUGGACAGAGCAUGAGCACUUUCAGAGGGUGCUCAUGAAUAUCACCAAUCGCCAUGUAGUAGGGGAUGAGGAGAUGUUCUACUGCAGGGCAGAGAGCCAAGAAGAAUGAGAGAUGAGAAUGAAACAUUGACAUGGCGAUAUACACGCUCCUUUCUAGUCCAGCAAACCGUGAAAAACCAUUAAACUAUGUCAUGACACACUGCUUGUUACCUUGUGAUCUCUAGUUUAUAUGUACGCAUGUCAUAUGUUUAUAUAUUAACCUUGUGAUCUUUUCCAUAUGUAUAUAUUUUGAAUUUUAUUGUCUGCUAAAAAUAAUAGAUGGGACCAUCAGAAGAUUUGUGGGACGGGGUCUCUGCGGCGGACAUGGAGAAGCACUAUCUAUGGACGUGGGAAAAGUAUCGGGCAGAGUACCUCAGGGAGGCGAUGUUAGCUUGGGUUAGAAGUAUUCCAAUGACCCAGUGUUCUCUCCCAGCGAUUGAGAAGAUUGCAGAGAAGUGUUUAGUGACCUUGCGGCGUCCAUCCUUACGGAGGCAACCCUGGAUGAGAGGCUGAGGAUCUGGCCUGGUAUGAGUCCAACCACCAUACCCAUAACCGCUGAGGUUGUUGUGGGCUCUCCGAGAGGCCAAAUGUCCAAUUCCAGAGCAAGCGGCCCGUUGGUCCCCAUUCGUUCCAUCAAGUACUAAUUCAUGUAGUAUGUGCGGCUUCUACUAACAGUCUACGCGUUAAAUAUCGGCUGACACUCAUUGCACUCCAAAACAACUCGUCAAAUCAUUAAUUAUGUGAUGAGCGAUGACAUAUAUAUGCUUAUUAAUGAUUGUAAUGCACUUGUUAUAUUUUGUUUAUAACUACUACUUUUCAUUAAUCUGACAUCAUUGUAAUGUGGUGCGUGUAUGUGAAUCAUGGUUCAAACCCACAUUUAUGUAUCAAAUGCAAUAUGAUGAUAUGAUUGAGGUGCAAUAUGCUGCAAUUCAAUCAAUUCGGCAUGCGGCGGUAGCAGUGACGAGCACAACACACUGUGGUGGGCGGUACAAAAGGACUGCCACUGAUGCGCGAAAUUCCUAUGCUGGGCAACGCGGAAAACUGUGGCGAGCCCGGACAAUCGCGAGCCACUGCUCUUGGGCUACCACUGGCGGGCGGGUGGCCGCCACUGAUGUCGUAUUAGCAGUGGUGGAAGGUCAGUGGCGCGUGCCCCUGAGAGCCUUGCCGGCCACUCCUGGGCUUUUCCCACAUGCGACUGCUAGGCAUUCCUGCAGUAGUGAUAGUUCUCGUUGAAAUGGGUGGUGAGUCUGAUCUCUCACAAGUUGAUUUCGUUCUUAGUAGAGCCGCCGAAGCGUGGUAGCCCUAGAAAAUUCUCGAGAUUAUAUGUUAAUUUUGUAACGCCCCGUCAGGCUAGCCCAAGGCCCCUUUAGCAUAUUGCACGACCAUGUCCAUCAAUCGGGCAUGUGGGCCAUCCAGAAGGAAGGAACUAGCAUCUUGACGAUCAAGGGAAGAAGGCCAGAUAUCCAGGAGGACUCUCCAGCCGCCUUAGCUGACUAGGAUUAUUGUAACCAUAGGCCUUAGUAUCCUUAAUAAGUCAAGGUCAAGCUAGCAGCUAGGGGACCUUACAAUCAACCCUUUGAUACACCUAAGAUUCCAGAGCCCUUAAAAAAACCCCUAAGAUUCUAGAGAUCAUCAGCAUACUAUGUGCACCCCUUCAAUCCAGUACAACACAAGUAAGAGUAGUGCUUUGCCUCCAAAGAGAGGUCUGAACCUAGGUAUGUAUUAUGUUUCCCCUCUGUGCUUUCUGGCUAGUCACGGCACCCUACCGAGGGGUCUACGGGAUUUUACAUUGACAAUAGCACCAGACAUGGAUCGUGCUACUAAGAGUUGACAUCGAGAUUGGAUCCAAACAUCAAUUGUGAUGUCUUCGCUCCUUGCCAGAUCUUCACCUUCGUUGCGAUGAACCUAAUCACAAACUCGGUGGCCAGAUUAAUCCAAUUGACACUUAGGCAGCAGUUCAUAUUCUCUUCUUCGAGAAUCUAGAUACACUGUCGAUGGGCGUGAUGAGCUCGAUCUCUGCAACCUAGCACAAUGCAGGAGCCAGAGCCGAUCUUCAUUAGUCCACCAACCUCCCACUACAUUGCCACCAUCGACUUUUUCCAUGACGUCCUAAUGGAGCACGAGCCAAAGGAAGAGGAAAGCGAUGGAAGUUGCCCCGAAUUGAUACCAACACCUUGCUAGCCUUGGGAGGCAACUUCCAUGUACAUGGUUGAUAACAUAGCCAACGCCGAAGAUGACGCUUUCGACGAGUGCGCACUCGCAACGCGCAUGACACCGGUAGCAAAUACCAACGACGCCUCCAAAAAACUGGAAGCCUGUCGUAAGAAGAUGUAGCACCUGCACUUGCGCCAGCAACAGGAGCGCAGUCGCCUCUUAGAAAGGAAGGCCCAACCGUAGCCUCCAUCAGGCUAGUCCAGAAUAGGGCAGAACAUAGUGUAUUAUCUAAAGAUGUGACCAAACUUGUCGCCUGGGCCCGAGCAAUGCAUACAGCAAUACAUGGAGUUGCACCUGCCAAUUCGGCAAUGUUUCACACCCCGCCAUAAACCUUAUGGUUCCAGUGGGGCAGUGAACGACAUCAAACUCCUAGACGAUCAUCCAGGCCAUGAGAAUUGUUUUUUUAAAAUAAUUUAUAUAUGCAAUAUGACCAGAAAAUGAUUAGUUUCAGGAGGGCCAGCAUUGUACCCCUUUUCUGCAGACUAGGGAGUAGCAAAAAAUAUUUGUGCUUUGCAGGAUUGCAACUCAUGUCCCCAAAGGCCUCAACCAGCUGACCUAGCAUAUGCUUGUGCUAAAAAUAGGUUCAUUAUUUAAUUAAAAAGUCCCACCUCGACUCUUUGCACGAGAAUACAUCAAUUUAUAUAAAUUUAUAAAUUGGAGCUAAUUGAAGAAAAAGGAACAGAGGGAGUGAAUGAAGUAAAUGGAUUUGAGCUAGCAUUGGUGACUUGUACUAGAUAAAUAAAAUUGUUGCAUUUGCAUGGAUGGUUGUGCCAAUAUAAAUUAAUUGAAUUUGUAAUAAAGGCCAGAUUUUGUGAUUGUUGCUAUGAGGGGGAGACCCUAUAAUUAAUGAAUUAAUCCUUCCGGAGUCUACCAAUCUUAUGUUAAUACUCAUUUUUUAAGACUUUCGUGAGAUAACCACAACAAAGGGUGGAAUGGAUUUCAACCUCGGCGUGCGUAUCCCUGCUGACGUCAGGUGGCACCAUCCAGAUGUUGUUGUGUCGCAUGGACAUGUCAAUUACUUCUCCCGUUGCAAUGCACGGGCAUAUAUGCUAGUAAACCUUAUGGUUGCAAUGGGGCAGUGAACGACAUAAAACUCCUAGACGAUCAUCCAGGCCAGGAGAAUUUUGAGCAUGCCAAAAUUUUGCUCCAAACAGUUGUCGUAUAACAAAAUGUUUGUAUAGGAUCGAAGACCAUGGUGGGGACCUCGAACGACAUGCACAACAGACAAGUUCACUCCAUCGAAAUUGAAUGUCCACUCGUCCGCAUAGCCAUGUAGUUGCCAACCUGUCUCCACCGACAUGCUCGCAAAGUCACGCACUCGCCAACCCCGAGAGAACACCAUCGCCGCACUAUCUGCUGGGAAACAUUGUAGAAAACUAAAAAAUUCGCCUUAUGAUCACAAUCCAGGAACACUAUGAAGAUGCAUUAGAGGUAUAGAUUGGAUCGUUACCAACUUAGAGUUGCACUGUAAGAAGAGUUGAUGUAUAUCAUUGAUGAAGUCCCGUGAACCGUUCAUGAAUGAUCCAUCGAGCAGAAGAACGAGCCUAAGAAUAUCCCUCCAUCGUCGGAGGAGCAAAUCCCACUCUUGAGCUAUCUAGCCCCUUGUCACACUUUUCGAUGAACCUGAAAGUUUUCGUUAUGAUCACCGUGUUAUAGAAGACGUUUGAGAAAGCCCAAAGUUUAUUGUUUGGUAUGAAGUGACUACGAUACUCCCAUGGUACGAUGAACUAAAGUAUACAUUACCUCUCCUUGUUAUAUCAAUAGACUUGUGACGAUUACAUGUCAAAGUAUAACAAUCAAGUUGGAUCAAUUCAAUAUGAUCGUUCUUGUAACAUCAUAGUACCAAUGUUGUUUUGGUAUCCUCGUUACUCUUAUCUAAAUACGUAUGAUCAGGAAAACAUGAUUAUCACACAACACUUGAGCUAGUCCUAGGGGCAAAACUAGGAAUCCAAUUUUACUGUUGAUUAUUCUAGACGUGUAUGUGUGUUUCCUCUGAAUCGCAUAUUCAAGAAUGAAAGCAAGUAUAUCAUAGAAUAUAAACUCUUAACUGGAAAUAUAGAAAUAAAUAAUACAAAUAUAAUUGCCUCUAGGGCAUAUUUCCAACAAACUCCCACUUGCCCUAGAGCCAAUAAUCUAGUUACAUAGCUUCUCUAACACCAAUGGCUAUUCAUGUUACUCAUAUUUUGGUCAUCAUAGAGGCUUCGUCAUCAGGUCCAACACAUUCAAAAAAUUGUGAAUCUUGAGUACUUUCACAAAAACUUUAUAUGCUGUCAGAUGAUGUGAUACCUGCGUUCGACAUCCCUAGUCUUCAUGUGGGACCUUGGCUCCUUUUCUUGCGUAACAUCGCCACUAUUAUAACAAUAGAGCUCCAUUGGACUCAACACACUUGAGACCACAACUCUUCAAGAAACUUCUUGAUCUAGACUGCCUCCUUCAAUCCUUCUGAAGCCGCAAUAUAUUCUACCUCUGUCAUAGAAUCUGCAACAAUGUUCUGCUGGAAACUUUUCCAAACCACUGCACCACCAUUAAGAGUGAAAACAUAGCCUGGUUGAGAUUUAUAGUCAUUUAUAUCAGUGAUGAAGCUAUUGUUAGUGUAACCACUUACAACGAUCUCUUCAUAUCCUCCAUAGACAAGAAGAAUGUCAUUCAUCCUUUUGAGGUACUUAAGAAUAUUUUUAGCAGCUGCCCAGUGUUCCAAUCCCGGAUCACUUUGGAACCUUCUACUAACACUUAGCACAUAAUAAACAUCUAGUCUUGUACAUAUCAUAGCAUACAUGAUAGAAUGAAUUGCGGAGGCAUACGGGAGUCCACUUAUUUGCACACGCUCAUCAACAGUCUUGGGAGAUGAUUCUUGCUAAGUGUUGUGCUAUGUGGCAUUGGAAGAAAACCUUUCUUAGUGUUCUCCAUUUUAAGCCACUUUAAAACCUUGUCCAUGUGCGUGCUUUGGCUUAGCACAAUUAGACGUCUUGAUCUAUAUCAAUCGAUCUUAAUGCCAAAUAUAUAAGUUGCUUUGCCAAAGUCUCUCCUCGAAAACAUACUUUUCAAUGAAUGUUUUGUUGUGCUAAGAAACUUUACUUCAUUCCAACAAUAAUAUGUCAUCCACGUAUAAGAUUACAAAUGCUAUAGAGCUCCCACUAAACUUAUUGUAUACACAAGCUUCUUCAUCGUUCUUAAUGAAGCCAAAUUCUUUAACCACUUCAUUAAAAUGUUGAUUCCAACUCCUCGAUACUUGCUUUACACCAUAAAGUGAUCUUUGAAGCUUGCACACCUUACCGUCAUCCUUAGGAUCUAAAAAACCUUCUGGUUGCAUCAUGUAUACAUCCCCAUUAAGAUUUCCAUUUAGAAAAGUCGUUUCGAUGUCUAUUUGCCAUAUCUUGUAACCGAAAUAUGCAUCAAUUGUCAUCAUAACCGCAGACUUUAACAUGGAUACUAGCAAAAAAGUAUCGUCAUAAUCAACUCACUCAAUUUGCAAAAAUCCUUUCACAACUAGUCUUGUUUUAUAGAUAAGUAGGAUUACAAUCCGUGUCGCUUUUUCAUUUGAAGAUCCAUUUAUAUUGAAUGUGUUUUACACACUCUCGGGGAUAUACCAAGUUCCAAACUUUUGAUUCUCGCACAUGGACUCCAUUUCGUUUUUCAUGGCUUUAAGCCAUUCUUUUGAACCGGGCGCCUCCAUCGCUUCUCUAUAGUGCGCAGGCUCAUCUUCUUCUAAGAUGAAUAUUUCAUUAUGAAACAAGUCAGCAGGUUCGCUAACUCUUGCUAACAUACGCGGUUCUGUUACAUGCUUAACUAGAUUUUGUAUAACUGGUGUAGUAAAUUUUGGUUCAAUUGUGUGGACAACUUCCAAAACAAUUUCUGGUUCAUUAGUCCAACUUACUUCCACCGGAGAUUCAGCAAUCUCAUCAAGGUGUACUAUCCUCCCACUCAUGUCUUUAGGUGGAAACUCUUUCUCAAGAAAGUGUCCAGCCCUUGCAAGAAACAAUUUGUCAUCAGAUGGGCGGUAGAAGGAAUACCCAAUAGUUUGUUUGGGAUAACCUACAAAUUAACAUUUGUCUGAUUUGGCAUUGAGUUUAUUUGGUUGUAAAUUUUUCACAUAAGGUUUCACAACCCCAAAUCUUGAGAUGCGACAAAUUGGGUCUCUUCCCAUUCCAUAACUCAUAUGGUGUCGACUCAACAGACUUAGACUGUGCUCUGUUUACUGUGUAUGUUGCUGUUUCGAGAGCAUAUCCCCAAAAUUAUAAAGGCAAAUCGGUUAGAGACAUCAUUAGCCUCACCAUGUCAACAUGGUUUGGUUACACCUCUUAGACACUCCAUUCCUUUGUGGAGUUCCAGGAUGAGUAUAUCCCAAAACAAAUCCAUGAUCACUUAGAUGUUUGUUAAACUCGUGACUUUGAUAUUCGCCUCUGCGCUAUGAUCGUAGAAACUUUAUCUUCUUGCCACGAUGAUUAUCAACUUCGUUCUGGAAUUCUCUAAACUUUUCAAAGGUCUCGGGCUUAUGUUUCAUUAAGUAAAUAUUACUAUAUUUAUUAAAAUGAUCAGCGAAGGUUACAAAGUAUAAACAUCCACCGUGUGCUAGUGUGAACAUUGGACCACCUAUAUCACUAUGUAUUAUUUCCAAUAAUUCACCCCCCGUUAAGGAUGACCCAUGAACGGGGUCUCAGUUAGUUUACCCAUCAAGAAAGCCUCGCAUGUGUCAAAUGAUUCAAAAUCAAAAGACGUUAAUACUCCAUAUUUAUGAAGCUUUUGCAUACAUUUCUUUCCGAUGUGACCAAGACAGCAAUGACACAUGUAAGUAUUAUUAUUAGUCUUCUUAAGAUGUUUAACUUCUAUGUUAUAGACAUCAUUUUCACAUUCAGGAUCCAAAAUGAAAAAGUGACCGAUAAUAGGUGCAAAGCCAUAAAACAUAUCUUUAUAACAAAUUGAACACUCAUUUUUCCGAGACAUAUAAUGAUAACCAUAGUUUAUUUAACAUGAUACAGAGAUAAUGUUCUUAUAGAAAUCAAAACAAAAUAACAAUUAUUAAGUUCUAAGAUAAAUCUUGAAGGUAAACUUAAAGACAUGACUCUGAUAGCUUGAGCAGAGAUCACAUCACCAUUCCCGACAUGCAUCACGACUUCAUUUCCCUAAGAAAACCGAUCUAUACAAUGAGGAUAUUCCACAUAAUCUUACAAAGGUUAAUGUCAAAUGUAUCAUUAAAAUAUAUAAAUUGGUGGCAUCUUACUUCACAAACUGGUUUGAGGUUCUUGUGGCCACAGAGACAGUCGAUAACCCUAAAGCGUAUGGUUUUGAGUCCUAGGGAAUGUAAAGUUUUACAAAGAAAACAUUCAUACAUCAUUAGCGUGGUUUGUAAGAAAGAACAACCAGUUUGCAGAUAAAUCCGUGUAAAACAUAGUUAGUUCACGAGUGGUCAAAGGAGCGUUGUAUGUCAGUCACGUGACCGAAAUUUUCCCUAUCAACCAGAUUUUGGCCAUAUUUGAUCAAAUCAAUGGGUAUAUGUCUUAAACUGAUCACUUUCUAAGUUGUUGGCUUGAAGCAUGCAUCAUUUGAGUUAGUGUAAUGGUGACAAAUUUCACAGUUGUAUGCCUUAUCGAAGUCUACUUUCAAAUGACACCAUCCAUUUUCAUGGUACAAUUCAUGAACAAAUUCAUGGAAGAUCACCACCUUGUCCAUGAUAAUCCUAUCAUGCAUUAAUGACAUUUUUGUGGGUUGAACCACUUGGUUGACAAACCCAUUGAGUCAAUCAUUCGCCACCUUUAUAAAUAUGAAGUUAAUGUUAAGAAGGCAUGUCAAUAUGUACAAUGGAAAUAGAUUAGCCUCUUUAGUCAUGGGCAUUAAAAUAAUUUCACAAAAAAUAGUCUUAAAAGCUUAGGGUGCUCCACAUUGAGGUCCUCAAACAACUUCCCAACCUCCUAGAAGAUUUGCUAGGCUCGGUUGAGAAGUCAUCCGAUCCAGCCAAUUUAUUAUGAAUACAACUUCGCUCACCCAGUGUUUAGAAAAAAAAGGUUCCAAGGAGCUUGUUUUGACCAUCCAAAACCUAUUGAGAUGUCAUCUACUGAAUCAUUUAGAGAGAAAUUACUCUAAUUGGGAGGUCCAAAUAGACAUAUUAUUUGGUAGUAUAAGUCCGUAGGGAAGUCGGGGAGGGAGAGAGAGGGUUGCUACAUAGCUACUACAUCAAAAUGGUAGCCUGAAAAAGACACCACUCAAGUGUAAUCAUGAGAGUGCAUAAUACAUCUAUUUAUUCGAGCUGGCUAAGGCUGGUGCUUGAUGACAUAAUAUCACCGACCCAGAGUGACAUAAUAUCAUGUCUAUUAACAAGACACUGCUCGCACUUCUCGAUCCGCUUGAAGACAUGGAGGUACUUGAAGUCUUGGUCGCUGUUGUCCUAACGAUACAUGGCGGACAUCCGCAACAGCUUCGCCGAGGAACAAAUAGUUGGCCGACGUGCAUGGCGAAAAGAAGUGGGGAACCGGUGUGCCAUACCUGAUCCUUAAUGCUGGCGUCGCUCUCCGGGCGAGCUACUAUCUUCUCGACGAUCACAUGCCAUUUGUUGCACGCCGCCUGGAUGAGCCCCCAAUGGUUCGACAUCGCCUUCGACCCGCGCUGCAUGUAGAUGCCUUUGAAGUAGGGGUCGACGAGCUUGCGCUCGUCGAACUCGGCCUUGAUGCGGUCCCAAUAUGUCUCGAUGCUCUAGUUCAUGCCGGUGAUCGCGUCGAGGCAGACGACUUCCCAUGCUUCGGCGAGGCACUCCUACUCCUUGGACGCCCACUUGAUGCGCGGCUCGCCGGUCCUGGCCGUCCCCUUCUUCUUCUUCUUCUUCUUCUUCUUCCGUUUCCUCGCCGGCGCCGGCUCCUCCUUCUCAUCCUAAUCCUCCUCCUCCUGCUCAUCCGGCUCCUCCUCGCCGUAGUCAAGCUCGCCGUCCAUGUCGCCGUUGAGGUCUACUGUGUCGUCCUGCACAGUGAACCCGGGGGACGCUGUUGGGGAACGUUGCAGAAAACAAAAAAUUUCCUACGGUUUCACCAAGAUUCAUCUAGGAGUUAAUCUAGCAACGAGUGAUCAGAUUGCAUCUACAUACCUUUGUAAAUCACGCGCGGAAGCGUUCAAAGAACGGGGAUGAGGAAGGCGUACUCGACGUGAUCCAAAUCACCGGAGAUCCUAGCGCCGAACGGACGGCACCUCCGCGUUCAACACACAUACGGUCAGCGUAACGUCUCCUUCUUCUUGAUCCAGCAAGGGGGAAGGAGAGGUUGAGGAAGAUGGCUCCAGCAGCAGCACGACGGCGUGGUGGUGAUGGAGCUGCAGUACUCCGGCAGGGCUUCACCAAGCACUAUGGAGGAGGAGGAUGUGUUGGAGAGGGAGAGGGAGGCACCAAAGGCGUGGAUUGAGAGGCCCUCCUUCCCCACUAUAUAUAGGGAGCCUGGGGGGGGGGGCACCGGCCCUAGGAGAUGCAAUCUCCUAGGGGGGCGGCGGCCAAGGGAGGAAUCCCUCCUCCCGAAGGCACCUAGGAGGUGCCUUCCCCCAUUGGGACUCUUUCCUUCCUUAUCUCUUGGUGCAUGGGCCUCUUGGGGCUGGUGCCCUUGGCCCAUAUAGGCCAAGGCGCACCCCCUACAGCCCAUGUGCCCCCCCGGGGCAGGUGGCCCCACCCGGUGGACCCCCGGAACCCUUUCGGUGGUCCCGGUACAAUACCGGUGACCCCGAAACUUGUCCCGAUGGACGAAAUAGCACUUCCUAUAUAUAAUUCUUUACCUCCGGACCAUUCCGAAACUCCUCGUGACGUCCGGGAUCUCAUCCGGGACUCCAAACAACAUUCGGGUUACUGCAUAUACAUAUCCCUACAACCCUAGCGUCACCGAACCUUAAGUGUGUAGACCCUACGGGUUCGGGAGACAUGUAGACAUGACCGAGAUCGCUCUCCGGUCAAUAACCAACAGCGGGAUCUGGAUACCCAUGUUGGCUCCCACAUGCUCCUCGAUGAUCUCAUCGGAUGAACCACGAUGUUGAGGAUUCAGGCAACCCCCGUAUACAAUUCCCUUUGUCAAUCGGUAUGUUACUUGCCCGAGAUCCGGUCGUCGGUAUCCCAAUACCUCGUUCAAUCUCGUUACCGGCAAGUCACUUUACUCGUACCGUAAUGCAUGAUCCCGUGACCAUACACUUGGUCACUUUGAGCUCAUUACAAUGAUGCAUUACCGAGUGGGCCCAGUGAUACCUCUCCGUCAUACGGAGUGACAAAUCCCAGUCUUGAUCCGUGUCAACCCAACAGACACUUUCGGAGAUACCCGUAGUAUACCUUUAUAGUGACCCAGUUACGUUGUGACGUUUGGUACACCCAAAGCACUCCUAUGGUAUCCGAGAGUUACACGAUCUCAUGGUCUAAGGAAAAGAUACUUGACGUUGGAAAACUCUAGCAAACGAACUAUACGAUCUUAUGCUAUGUUUAGGAUUGGGUCUUGUCCAUCACAUCAUUCUUCUAAUGAUGUGAUCCCGUUAUCAAUAACAUCCAAUGUCCACAGUCAGGAAACCAUGACUAUCUGUUGAUCAACGAGCUAGUCAACUAGAGGCUUACUAGGGACAUGUUGGUGUCUAUUAUUCACACAUGUAUUACGAUUUCCGGAUAACACAAUUAUAGCAUGAAUAAAGACAAUUAUCAUGAACAAGAAAUAUAAUAAUAAUCCUUUUAUUAUUGCCUCUAGGGCAUAUUUCCAAUAGUCUCCCACUUGCACUAGAGUCAAUAAUCUAGUUACAUUGUGAUGAAUCGAACACCCAUGGAAUUCUGGUGUUGAUCAUGUUUUGCUCUAGGGAGAGGUUUAGUCAACGGAUCUGCUACAUUCAGGUCCGUAUGUACUUUACAAAUAUCUAUGUCUCCAUUUUGAACAUUUUCACGAAUGGAGUUGAAGCGACGCUUGAUGUGCCUGGUCUUCUUGUGAAACCUGGGCUCCUUGGCAAGUGCAAUAGCUCCAGUGUUGUCAUAGAAGAGUUUGAUUGGCCCCGACGAAUUGGGUAUGACUCCUAGGUCGGUGAUGAACUCCUUCACCCAAAUUGCUUCAUGUGCUGCCUCCGAGGCUGCCAUGUACUCCGCUUCACAUGUAGAUCCCGCCACGACGCUCUGCUUGCAACUGCACCAGCUUACCGCCCCACCAUUCAAAAUAUACACGUAUCCGAUUUGUGACUUUGAAUCAUCCAGAUCUGUGUCGAAGCUAGCGUCGACGUAACCCUUUACGACGAGCUCUUCGUCACCUCCAUAGACGAGAAACAUUUCCUUAGUCCUUUUCAGGUACUUCAGGAUAUUCUUGACCGCUGUCCAGUGUUCCUUGCCGGGAUUACUUUGGUACCUUCCUACCAAACUAAUGGUAAGGUUUACAUCAGGUCUGGUACACAGCAUGGCAUACAUAAUAGAACCUAUGGCUGAGGCAUAGGGGAUGACACUCAUCUCUUCUAUAUCUUCUACCGUGGUCGGACAUUGAGCUGAGCUCAAUUUCACACCUUGUAACACAGGCAAGAACCCCUUCUUAGACUGAUCCAUAUUGAAUUUCUUCAAUAUCUUAUCAAGGUAUGUGCUUUGUGAAAGACCUAUGAGGCGUCUUGAUCUAUCUCUAUAGAUCUUGAUGCCUAAUAUAUAUGCAGCUUCUCCAAGGUCCUUCAUUGAAAAACUCUUAUUCAAGUAGGCCUUAAUGCUGUCCAAGAAUUCUAUAUUAUUUCCCAUCAAAACUAUGUCAUCUACAUAUUAUAUGAGAAAUGCUACAGAGCUCCCACUCACUUUCUUGUAAACACAGGCUUCUCCAUAAGUCUGCGUAAACCCAAACGCUUUGAUCAUCUCAUCAAAGCGAAUGUUCCAACUCCGAGAUGCUUGCACCAGCCCAUAAAUCAAGCGUUGGAGCUUGCACACCUUGUCAGCAUUCUUAGGAUCGACAAAACCUUCCGGCUGCAUCAUAUACAAUUCUUCCUUAAGGAAACCGUUAAGGAAUGCCGUUUUGACGUCCAUUUGCCAUAUUUCAUAAUCAUAGAAUGCGGCAAUUGCUAACAUGAUUCAGACGGACUUUAGCUUCGCUACCGGUGAGAAAGUCUCAUCGUAGUCAACCCCUUGAACUUGUCGAUAACCCUUAGCGACAAGCCGAGCUUUAUAGAUGGUCACAUUACCAUCCGCGCCUGUCUUCUUCUUAAAGAUCCAUUUAUUUUCUAUGGCUCGCCGCUCAACAGGCAAGUCAGUCAAAGUCCAUACUUCAUUUUCAUACAUGGAUCCUAUCUCGGAUUUCAUGGCUUCUAGCCAUUUGUCGGAAUCCGGGACCGCCAUCGCUUCUUCAUAGUUCAAAGGUUCACCGUUGUCUAACAACAUGAUUUCCAAGACAGGGUUGCCAUACCACUCUGGUGCGGAACGUGUCCUUGUGGACCUUCGAAUUUCAGUAGGAGCUUGAUCAGAAGUAUCUUGAUCAUCAUCAUUAACUUCCUCUCUAGUCGGUGCAGGCACCUCAGGAACAUUUUCUUGAGCUGCGCCAUUUUCCGGUUCAAGAGGUAAUACUUCAUCAAGUUCUACUUUCCUCCCACUCACUUCUUUCGAGAGAAACUCCUUCUCUAGAAAGGAUCCAUUCUUGGCAACAAAGAUCUUGCCUUCGGAUCUGAGGUAGAAGGUAUACCCAAUAGUUUCUUUAGGGUAUCCUAUGAAGACGCAUUUUUCCGACUUGGGUUCGAGCUUUUCAGGUUGAAGUUUCUUGACAUAAGCAUCGCAUCCCCAAACUUUAAGAAACGACAGCUUAGGUUUCUUCCCAAACCAUAAUUCAUACGGUGUCGUCUCAACGGAUUUCGACGGAUCCCUAUUUAAAGUGAAUGCGGCAGUCUCUAAAGCAUAGCCCCAAAAAGAUAGUGGUAAAUCGGUAAGAGACAUCAUAGAUCGCACCAUAUCUAAUAGAGUGCGAUUACGACGUUCGGACACACCAUUACGCUGAGGUGUUCCAGGCAGCGUGAGUUGUGAAACUAUUCCACAUUUUCUUAAGUGUGUGCCAAACUCAUGACUCAAGUAUUCUCCUCCACGAUCUGAUCGCAGAAACUUGAUUUUCCUGUCACGUUGAUUUUCAACCUCACUCUGAAAUUCCUUGAACUUUUCAAAGGUCUCAGACUUAUGUUUCAUUAAAUAGAUAUACCCAUAUCUACUCAAGUCAUCAGUGAGGGUGAGAACAUAACAAUAGCCACCGCGAGCCUCAACACUCAUUGGACCACACACAUCAAUAUGUAUGAUUUCCAAUAAGUUGGUUGCUCGCUCCAUUGUUCCUGAGAAUGGAGUCUUGGUCAUUUUACCCAUGAGGCAUGGUUCGCACGUGUCAAAUGAUUCAUAAUCAAGAGACUCUAAAAGUCCAUCAGCAUGGAGCUUCUUCAUGCGUUUAACACCUAUGUGACCAAGGCGGCAGUGCCACAAGUAUGUGGGACUAUCAUUAUCAAUCUUAUAUCUUUUGGUACUCACACUAUGAACAUGUGUAGCACUACGCUCGAGAUUCAUUAAGAAUAAACCAUUCACCAUCGGAGCAUGACCAUAAAACAUAUCUCUCAUAUAAAUAGAACAACCAUUAUUCUCGGAUUUAAAUGAGUAGCCAUCUCGAAUUAAAUGAGAUCUUGAUACAAUGUUCAUUCUCAAACUUGGCACUAAAUAACAAUUAUUGAGGUUCAAAACUAAUCCCGUAGGUAAAUGUAGAGGUAGCGUGCCAACGGCAAUCACAUCGACCUUGGAACCAUUCCCGACGCGCAUCGUCACCUCGUCCUUCGCCAGUCUCCGCUUAUUCUGCAGCUCCUGCUUUGAGUUACAAAUGUGAGCAACUGCACCGGUAUCAAAUACCCAGGAGCUACUACGAGUACUGGUAAGGUACACAUCAAUUACAUGUAUAUCACAUAUACCUUUUGUUUUGCCGGCCUUCUUGUCUGCUAAGUAUUUGGGGUAGUUCCGUUUCCAGUGACCACUUCCCUUGCAAUAAAAGCACUCAGUCUUAGGCUUGGGUCCAUUCUUUGGCUUCUUCCCGGCAGCUUGCUUGCCGGGCGCGACAACUCCCUUGCCAUCCUUCUUGAAGUUCUUUUUACCCUUGCCCUUCUUGAACUUAGUGGUUUUAUUCACCAUCAACACUUGAUGUUCCUUUUUGACUUCUACCUCUGCUGAUUUCAGCAUUGCAAAUAAUUCGGGAAUGGUCUUUUCCAUCCCCUGCAUAUUGAAGUUCAUCACAAAACUCUUGUAGCUUGGUGGAAGCGACUGAAGGAUUCUGUCAAUGACUGCGUCAUCCGGGAGAUUAACUCCCAGCUGAGUCAAGCGGUUAUGUAACCCAGACAUUGUGAGUAUGUGCUCACAGACAGAACUAUUUUCCUCCAUCUUACAGCUGAAGAAUUUGUCAGAGACUUCAUAUCUCUCGACCCGGGCAUGAGCUUGAAAAACCAUUUUCAGCUCUUCGAACAUCUCAUAUGCUCCGUGUCUCUCAAAAGGUUUUUGGAGCCCCGAUUCUAAGCUGUAAAGCAUGCCGCACUGAACGAGGGAGUAAUCAUCAGCACGUGUCUGCCAAGCGUUCAUAACGUCUUGGUUCUGUGGGACGGGUGCGUCACCUAGCGGUGCUUGUAGGACAUAAUCUUUCUUGGCAGCUAUGAGGAUGAUCCUCAGGUUCCGGACCCAGUCCGUAUAGUUGCUGCCAUCGUCUUUCAGCUUGGUUUUCUCUAGGAACGCGUUGAAGUUGAGGACAACGUUGGCCAUUUGAUCUACAAGACAUAUUGUAAAUAUUUUAGACUAAGUUCAUGAUAAUUAAGUUCAUCUAAUCAAAUUAUACAAUGAACUCCCACUUAGAUAGACAUCCCUCCUGUAAUCUAAGUAUAACAUGAUCCGAGCUAACUAGGCCGUGUCCGAUCAUCACGUGAGACGGACUAGUCAACAUCGGUGAACAUCUUCAUGUUGAUCGUAUCUUCUAUACGACUCAUGCUCGACCUUUCGGUCUUCUGUGUUCCGAGGCCAUGUCUGUACAUGCUAGACUCGUCAAGUCAACCUAAGUGUUUGCAUGUGUAAAUCUGUCUUACACCCGUUGUAUGUGAACGUUAGAAUCUAUCAUACCCGAUCAUCACGUGGUGCUUCGAAACAACGAACUGUCGCAACGGUGCACAGUUAGGGGGAACACUUUCUUGAAAUUAUUAUGAGGGAUCAUCUUAUUUACUACCGUCGUUCUAAGCAAACAAGAUGCAAAAACAUGAUAAACAUCACAUGCAAUCAAAUAAUAAUAGUGACAUGAUAUGGCCAAUAUCACAUAGCUCCUUUGAUCUCCAUCUUGGGGCUCCAUGAUCAUCUUGUCACCGGCAUGACACCAUGAUCUUCAUCAUCAUGAUCUCCAUCAUUGUGUCUCCAUGAAGUUGCUCGCCAACUAUUACUUCUACUACUACGGCUAACGCGUUUAGCAAUAAAGUAAAGUAAUUUACAUGGCGUUUCUUAAUGACACGCAGGUCAUACAAAAAAAUAAAGACAACUCCUAUGGCUCCUGCUGGUUGUCAUACUCAUCGACAUGCAAGUCGUGAUUCCUAUUACAAUAGCAUGAACAUCUCAUACAUCACAUAUAUAUCAUUCAUCAUUCAUCACAACUUUGGCCAUAUCAUAUCACAAAGCACUUGCCGCAAAAACAAGUUAGACGUCCUCUAAAUGUUGUUUGCAAGUUUUACGUGGCUGAAAUAGGGUUCUAGCAAGAACGUUUUCUUACCUACGUGAAAGCCACAAUGUGAUUUGUCAACUUCUAUUUACCCUUCAUAAGGACCCUUUUCAUCGAAUCCGCUCCAACUAAAGUGGGAGAGACAGACACCCGACAGCCACCUUAUGCAACUUGUGCAUGUUAGUCGGUGGAACCGGUCUCACGUAAGCGUACGUGUAAGGUUGGUCCGGGCCGCUUCAUCCCACAAUACCGCUGAAGCAAGAUAAGACUAGUAGCGGCAAGAAAGUUGACAACAUCUACGCCCACAACAAAUUGUGUUCUACUCGUGCAAGAGAACUACGCAUAGACCUAGCUCAUGAUGCCACUGUUGGGGAACGUUGCAGAAAACAAAAAAUUUCCUACGGUUUCACCAAGAUCCAUCUAGGAGUUCAUCUAGCAACGAGUGAUCGGAUUGCAUCUACAUACCUUUGUAGAUCACGCGCGGAAGCGUUCAAAGAACGGGGAUGAGGAAGGCGUACUCGACGUGAUCCAAAUCACCGGAGAUCCUAGCGCCGAACGGACGGCACCUCCGCGUUCAACACACGUACGGUCAGCGUAACGUCUCCUUCUUCUUGAUCCAGCAAGGGGGAAGGAGAGGUUGAGGAAGAUGGCUCCAGCAGCAGCACGACGGCGUGGUGGUGAUGGAGCUGCAGUACUCCGGCAGGGCUUCGCCAAGCACUAUGGAGGAGGAGGAUGUGUUGGAGAGGGAGAGGGAGGCACCAAAGGCAUGGAUUGAGAGGCCCUCCUUCCCCACUAUAUAUAGGGAGCCUGGGGGGGGGGGGGCGCCGGCCCUAGGAGAUGCAAUCUCCUAGGGGGGGCGGCGGCCAAGGGAGGAAUCCCUCCUCCCCAAGGCACCUAGGAGGUGCCUUCCCCCUUUGGGACUCUUCCCUUCCUUAUCUCUUGGCGCAUGGGCCUCUUGGGGCUGGUGCCCUUGGCCCAUAUAGGCCAAGGCGCACCCCCUACAGCCCAUGUGGCCCCCCGGGGCAGGUGGCCCCACCCGGUGGACCCCCGGGACCCUUCCGGUGGUCCCGGUACAAUACCGGUGACCCGAAAACUUGUCCCGAUGGCCGAAAUAGCACUUCCUAUAUAUAAUUCUUUACCUCCGGACCAUUCCGGAACUCCUCGUGACGUCCGAGAUCUCAUACGGGACUCCAAACAACAUUCGGGUUACUGCAUAUACAUAUCCCUACAACCCUAGCGUCACCGAACCUUAAGUGUGUAGACCCUACGGGUUCGGGAGACAUGUAGACAUGACCGAGAUCGCUCUCCGGUCAAUAACCAACAUCGGGAUCUGGAUACCAUGUUGGCUCCCACAUGCUCCUUGAUGAUCUCAUCGGAUGAACCAUGAUGUCGAGGAUUCAGGCAACCCCCGUAUACAAUUCCCUUUGUCAAUCGGUAUGUUACUUGCCCGAGAUCCGAUCGUCGGUAUCCCAAUACCUCAUUCAAUCUCGUUACCGGCAAGUCACUUUACUCGUACCGUAAUGCAUGAUCACGUGACUAGACACUUGGUCACUUUGAGCUCAUUAUGAUGAUGCAUUACCGAGUGGGCCCAGUGAUACCUCUCCGUCAUACGGAGUGACAAAUCCCAGUCUUGAUCCGUGUCAACCCAACAGACACUUUUGGAGAUACCCGUAGUAUACCUUUAUAGUCACCCAGUUACAUUGUGACGUUUGGUACAACCAAAGCACUCCUAUGGUAUCCGGGAGUUACACGAUCUCAUGGUCUAAGGAAAAGAUACUUGACAUUGGAAAACUCUAGCAAACGAACUAUACGAUCUUAUGCUAUGUUUAGGAUUGGGUCUUGUCCAUCACAUCAUUCUCCUAAUGAUGUGAUCCCGUUAUCAAUAACAUCCAAUGUCCAUAGUCAGGAAACCAUGACUAUCUGUUGAUCAACGAGCUAGUCAACUAGAGGCUUACUAGGGACAUGUUGGUGUCUAUUAUUCACACAUGUAUUACGAUUUCUGGAUAACACAAUUAUAGCAUGAAUAAAUACAAUUAUCAUGAACAAAGAAAUAUAAUAAUAAUCCUUUUAUUAUUGCCUCUAGGGCAUAUUUCCAACAGACGCGGCAUCGGCAGCCAAGCCUACCGUAAUGAUGUCGUCCAUGUCGGCUUCGAUCGCUUCGGUGUCUCUGAGGUGCGACGCGGAGGCGUCAGAGAAGGGCAGCGCGCCAUGGCAGAGAAGGGGCGUCGGGGAGGAUGAGUAGGCCGGCGACAAGUAGUUGUACGGAGGGUCCUGCACGCCGUCGAAGGCAGGCGAGGGCGCCCGCUGGGCCGGGUGACCAAGGGGGAAGGUGAUGUUGGGGUUGAACCCACCGUGCAUGUCCCCGCCGGCGUAGCUCGAUAAUGGUGAGCAGCCCUAGGGUUGCGGCAACGACGAGAAGCCGGCUGGAGAGCCUACGAUGCGGCCACGAGGCAGGAGGGUGCACCCAGGGGGGUAGGCGCGCCCCCACCCUCGUGGGCCCGUCGUGGCUCUGCUGACCUACUUCUUUCGCCUAUAUAUACUCAUAUACCCCGAAAACAUCCGAGAGCACUACGAAACCCUAUUUCCACCGCUGCAACCUUCUAUACCCGUGAGAUCCCAUCUUGGGGCCUUUUUCGGCGCUCCGCCGGAGGGGGAAUCGAUCACGGAGGGCUUCUACAUCAACACCAUAGCCUCUCCGAUGAUGUGUGAGUAUUUUACCAUAGACCUUCGGGUCCAUAGUUAUUAGCUAGAUGGCUUGUUCUCUCUCUUUGGAUCUCAAUACAAAGUUCUCCUCGAUUCUCUUGGAGAUCUAUGUAAUUCUUUUUGUGGUGUGUUUGUCGAGAUCCGAUGAAUUGUGGGUUUAUGAUCAAGAUUAUCUAUGGACAAUAUUUGAUUCUUCUCUGAAUUCUUCUAUGCAUGAUUUAAUAUAUUUGCAAGUCUCUUCGAAUUAUCAGUUUGGUUUGGCCUACUAGAUUGUGAUACGUCUCCAACGUAUCUAUAAUUUUUGAUUGUUCCAUGCUAUUAUAUUAUCUGUUUUGGAUGGUAAUGGGCUUUAUUUUACACUUUUAUAUUAUUUUUGGGACUAACCUAUUAACCGGAGGCCCAGCCCAAAGUGCUAUUUCUUUGCCUAUUUCAGUGUUACAUAGAAAAUGAAUAUCAAACGGAGUCCAAAUGGAAUGAAACCUUCAGGAACAUGAUUUUUGGAACAAACGUGAUCCCGAGGACUUAGAGUGGACGUCAAGCAAUCAACGAGGCGUCCAUGAGGCAGGGGGCGCACCUACCCCCUGGGCGCGCCCUCCCCCCUUGUGGGCCCCUCGUUGCUCCACCGACCUACUUCUUCCUCCUAUAUAUGUUCACAUACCCCGCAAACAUCCAGGAGCACCACGAAACCCUAUUUCCACCGCCGUAACCUUCUGUACCCAAGAGAUCCCAUCUUGGGGCCUUUUCUAGAGCUCUACCAGAGGGGGCAUUGAUCAUGGAGGGCCUCUACAUCAACUCCAUGGCCCCUCCGAUGAUGUGUGAGUAGUUUACUUCAGACCUUCGGGUCCAUAGCUAGUAGCUAGAUGGCUUCUUCUCUCUCUUUGGAUCUCAAUACAAAGUUCUCCUCAAUUCUCUUGGAGAUCUAUUCAAUGUAAUCUUCUUUUGCGGUGUGUUUGUCGAGAUCCGAUGAAUUGUGGGUUUAUGAUCAAGUUUAUCUAUAAACAAUAUUUGAAUCUCCUCUGAAUUAUUUUAUGUAUGAUUGGUUUAUCUUUGCAAGUCUCUUCGAAUUAUCAUUUUGGUUUGGCCUACUAGAUUGAUCUUUCUUUCAAUGGGAGAAGUGCUUAGCUUUGGGUUCAAUCUUGCGCUGCUCAAUCCCAGUGACAGAAAGGGAAAUGACACAUAUUGUAUUGUUGCCAUCGAGGAUAAAAAUAUGGGGUUUACAUCAUAUUGCAUGAGUUUAUCCCUCUACAUAAUGUCAUCUUGCUUAAGGCGUUAGUCUGUUCUUAUGAACUUAAUACUCUAAAUGCAUGCUGGAUAGCAGUCGAUGUGUGGAGUAAUAGUAGUAGAUGCAGGCAGGAGUGAGUCUACUUGUCGCGGACGUGAUGCCUAUAUACAUGAUCAUGCCUAGAUAUUCUCAUAAUUAUUUGCUUUUCUAUCAAUUGGUCGACAGUAAUUUGUUCACCCACCGUAAUACUUAUGCUAUAUUGAGAAAAGCCACUAGUGAAACCUAUGGCCCCCGGGUCUAUUUUCCAUCAUACAAGUUUCCAAUCUAUUUGAUUUUGCAAUCUUUACUUUCAAUCUAUAUCAUCAAAAUACCAAAAAUACAUAUCUUAUUAUUAUCAUCUCUAUCAGAUCUCACUCUUGCAAGUGGCCGUGAAGGGAUUGACAACCCCUUUAUCGCGUUGGUUGUGAGGUUCUUAUUUGUUUGUGUAGGUACGAGGUGACUCGCGCGUGGUUGUCAGGACCCCGACUCGAUGUCACAUCGAUCUAGCAUGUAACACCUCAUAUCGCUUUGCGGCCUCACGCACGGUAUCCCCACGGGUGUCGCCUUACCUUUGCCCGGGACCGUUUGCGCAUUUUGGCACACGUAUAUGAUGGUGUCGCUAGCAUCCAUAUGAUAAAGAGCCCGGGCUGACAUGGCUAGUCGUAAACCCAAAGUGGCACUAACUUACAGGGACAGGCAUUCAUGACCCAGCAUCGAACGUGUCGGUCAUCAGCGAGUGAAUCCAGGCUGUAGCACUGGGCUAACAGGACUCCGGUGAACCGGGCUGUAGCGGGCUAGCAGGACUCCGGUAUUCAUCGCGUGACAUUUCCCCGAAGGGACAGACACAGGAUCAAAGAAGGACACAUGCCGGCCUGCCUAAGUGUUCCGGAGCAGUAGCAAGCUACCAGGGCUCAGUGGAAGCACUAGGAGACAUUUCCCGGUAAGAGAGGCUACUAAGAAUAAACAACUAGAUAGUCAGAUCCCACACAUAGCAAUACACAUUACACGUACGCAUAACAUGCAAGUAUGUGAUGUACAACAUGGCAUCACAGCAUAACUCAACAACUUAUAUAGAUAAAGGCUCAGAAGAGCCGUCAUAGCAAUUAUUGCAAACAGGGGUCACAAGACCCAUCAUACAGAGCAUACAAGCAACAAGCGGAAGCAUUACAUGUCUGGGUACAGACAUCUACAAAUGAAAAAGGCUGAAGAGCCUGACUAUCUACAACAUCCGAUCAAGAUCGUAGCUGAGGUANNNNNNNNNNNNNNNNNNNNNNNNNNNNNNNNNNNNNNNNNNNNNNNNNNNNNNNNNNNNNNNNNNNNNNNNNNNNNNNNNNNNNNNNNNNNNNNNNNNNNNNNNNNNNNNNNNNNNNNNNNNNNNNNNNNNNNNNNNNNNNNNNNNNNNNNNNNNNNNNNNNNNNNNNNNNNNNNNNNNNNNNNNNNNNNNNNNNNNNNNNNNNNNNNNNNNNNNNNNNNNNNNNNNNNNNNNNNNNNNNNNNNNNNNNNNNNNNNNNNNNNNNNNNNNNNNNNNNNNNNNNNNNNNNNNNNNNNNNNNNNNNNNNNNNNNNNNNNNNNNNNNNNNNNNNNNNNNNNNNNNNNNNNNNNNNNNNNNNNNNNNNNNNNNNNNNNNNNNNNNNNNNNNNNNNNNNNNNNNNNNNNNNNNNNNNNNNNNNNNNNNNNNNNNNNNNNNNNNNNNNNNNNNNNNNNNNNNNNNNNNNNNNNNNNNNNNNNNNNNNNNNNNNNNNNNNNNNNNNNNNNNNNNNNNNNNNNNNNNNNNNNNNNNNNNNNNNNNNNNNNNNNNNNNNNNNNNNNNNNNNNNNNNNNNNNNNNNNNNNNNNNNNNNNNNNNNNNNNNNNNNNNNNNNNNNNNNNNNNNNNNNNNNNNNNNNNNNNNNNNNNNNNNNNNNNNNNNNNNNNNNNNNNNNNNNNNNNNNNNNNNNNNNNNNNNNNNNNNNNNNNNNNNNNNNNNNNNNNNNNNNNNNNNNNNNNNNNNNNNNNNNNNNNNNNNNNNNNNNNNNNNNNNNNNNNNNNNNNNNNNNNNNNNNNNNNNNNNNNNNNNNNNNNNNNNNNNNNNNNNNNNNNNNNNNNNNNNNNNNNNNNNNNNNNNNNNNNNNNNNNNNNNNNNNNNNNNNNNNNNNNNNNNNNNNNNNNNNNNNNNNNNNNNNNNNNNNNNNNNNNNNNNNNNNNNNNNNNNNNNNNNNNNNNNNNNNNNNNNNNNNNNNNNNNNNNNNNNNNNNNNNNNNNNNNNNNNNNNNNNNNNNNNNNNNNNNNNNNNNNNNNNNNNNNNNNNNNNNNNNNNNNNNNNNNNNNNNNNNNNNNNNNNNNNNNNNNNNNNNNNNNNNNNNNNNNNNNNNNNNNNNNNNNNNNNNNNNNNNNNNNNNNNNNNNNNNNNNNNNNNNNNNNNNNNNNNNNNNNNNNNNNNNNNNNNNNNNNNNNNNNNNNNNNNNNNNNNNNNNNNNNNNNNNNNNNNNNNNNNNNNNNNNNNNNNNNNNNNNNNNNNNNNNNNNNNNNNNNNNNNNNNNNNNNNNNNNNNNNNNNNNNNNNNNNNNNNNNNNNNNNNNNNNNNNNNNNNNNNNNNNNNNNNNNNNNNNNNNNNNNNNNNNNNNNNNNNNNNNNNNNNNNNNNNNNNNNNNNNNNNNNNNNNNNNNNNNNNNNNNNNNNNNNNNNNNNNNNNNNNNNNNNNNNNNNNNNNNNNNNNNNNNNNNNNNNNNNNNNNNNNNNNNNNNNNNNNNNNNNNNNNNNNNNNNNNNNNNNNNNNNNNNNNNNNNNNNNNNNNNNNNNNNNNNNNNNNNNNNNNNNNNNNNNNNNNNNNNNNNNNNNNNNNNNNNNNNNNNNNNNNNNNNNNNNNNNNNNNNNNNNNNNNNNNNNNNNNNNNNNNNNNNNNNNNNNNNNNNNNNNNNNNNNNNNNNNNNNNNNNNNNNNNNNNNNNNNNNNNNNNNNNNNNNNNNNNNNNNNNNNNNNNNNNNNNNNNNNNNNNNNNNNNNNNNNNNNNNNNNNNNNNNNNNNNNNNNNNNNNNNNNNNNNNNNNNNNNNNNNNNNNNNNNNNNNNNNNNNNNNNNNNNNNNNNNNNNNNNNNNNNNNNNNNNNNNNNNNNNNNNNNNNNNNNNNNNNNNNNNNNNNNNNNNNNNNNNNNNNNNNNNNNNNNNNNNNNNNNNNNNNNNNNNNNNNNNNNNNNNNNNNNNNNNNNNNNNNNNNNNNNNNNNNNNNNNNNNNNNNNNNNNNNNNNNNNNNNNNNNNNNNNNNNNNNNNNNNNNNNNNNNNNNNNNNNNNNNNNNNNNNNNNNNNNNNNNNNNNNNNNNNNNNNNNNNNNNNNNNNNNNNNNNNNNNNNNNNNNNNNNNNNNNNNNNNNNNNNNNNNNNNNNNNNNNNNNNNNNNNNNNNNNNNNNNNNNNNNNNNNNNNNNNNNNNNNNNNNNNNNNNNNNNNNNNNNNNNNNNNNNNNNNNNNNNNNNNNNNNNNNNNNNNNNNNNNNNNNNNNNNNNNNNNNNNNNNNNNNNNNNNNNNNNNNNNNNNNNNNNNNNNNNNNNNNNNNNNNNNNNNNNNNNNNNNNNNNNNNNNNNNNNNNNNNNNNNNNNNNNNNNNNNNNNNNNNNNNNGGGGGGGGGGGUUAGUCAACGGUGAUUAGCACUAAGCUAAUCACCUGACGGGCCGGCCCCACCUGGCAGGGCUCAGGCGACGGGGGCUCGUCGCCGGCGACCUCUGGACGCGGCGGAGUCCGCGCCACAGGCCACGGGGACGGCGUCUGAGAGCACCGGGGCGUAGCCCGGGCUCUCGCGCAUCUGGUGGGCCAGGUGGGAGGAGCGGGGACGGCCGGAGCUCGCCGGAGCAGAGCUCGGGGCGGCGGCCGGAGUUCGGGCUUGAGCGGGAAUGGGCUGCGGGGCACGGGGAGGCCUCCUGAGGGGCCCGGCGGCACCCUCGUGGCACCAGGAACGCGGAGGGAGGCUUGGUUUGGGCGGAGGCGGGCCGAGACGGCGGCGGCGACGUGGACGGCGGCGAGGGGCUUCGGCCGUGGUGGGGAGCGGCGCUACGGCACGGGAACGGGAGGGAGAAGAGAGGGGAAUGGUGGAGGAGCUCACCGCGGAUCCAGCGAGCGCGAAGGCGAGGUCGGGGAUGCCCGGAAGCUCCCGAAUUGACGGCGAGUACCCACGGCGGCCGGAGGCGAGGGUGGCGACGGCGACGGCUCCACGGGGCUCUCCGGCUUGCGUGGCUCGGCGAGGAAGUAGAGGGGGUCGCGGCGGAGCUCGGGGGCUCUACGGAGGGGCGAGGGAACGGCGGGGAGCGCGUCGGUGGCGAGCUGCGGCGGCGGCGGUGCUUCGGGUGAGAGGGAGAGAGAGCAGGGAAGAGGAGGAGGGCGAGGGAGAGUGAGAACGGUGCGGGGCAGCGCGUGGCGACGUUCCGGACGUCCAGGCGUCGAGGGGAGGACAGGCAGACAGGUGCCGUGGCGGCACGGCGGUGCGCACGCGCCGGCCACACGCCUCUGGCCUCCUGGCGGGAGGUGGAGGACGACUGGCGCUAGCCAGUCGGCUGGGCCGGCCGGCUGGGCCGCACAGGGGAGGGGAGGCCCAGGUAAGUCCUCCUUCCUUUUAUUUCUGUUUUCUAUUUUUUUCUGACAUUUGUUUGAUUUAAUAAAUAUAUCAAAUCAUUUAAUUUUAUUAUGCCAAUUUUUGUAGGGGCUAAUGGUAUUAUUCCAGAACUCUUGUAUAAUUGGCAUAAUUUUUGGACCAUAUUUCAUAUAUAUAGAAAUAUAUUUCCAAUGCAAAUAUUUAUCGAAUUAAUCCAAAUGGCCAAAAUAAAUGUCCAUGGGCUCCUAAAAUAUUGUUUUGAUUUUUAUCUCUGUCCAAUAUUUUUAGAGGGCAUCAUGAGCAUUUUCUUGGACCCUUUUUGGAGAAAUUUUUAUUUGGGUCAUUUUCAAAAAUGAUUCUGAGGGUUCCACCAAUCCUCAUUUCAAAUUUAAAUGAAAUUUAAACAUGAUGCACAAAUGACCAGCUAGUCUAGGUCAUACCAGACUAGGGAUGUGACAACUCGCCCCCACUUGACAGAAUCUCGUCUCAAGAUUCAGGGGUCGACGGAAAGAAAGCGGGGUACUCCAGUCGAAGACGAUCUUCUCGCUCCCAGGUAGCUUCUCUCUCGGAAUAAUGAGACCACUGAACUUUGAGAAACUUGAUGUUCUGACGUCGGGUAACACGCUCUGCUUGAUCAAGAAUGCGAACCGGGUACUCUCGGUAUGUGAGGUUAUCUUGGAGAUCAAGCGUUUCGUGGUCCACUCCGCGGAUGGGAUCCGAGAAGCAACGCCUGAGUUGAGAGACGUGGAAGACAUCAUGAACUCGGGAAAGAUGUGGAGGUAGUUCCAACUGGUAGGCAACCUCUCCUCGUUUAGCGAGAAUGCGAAAGGGACCAAUGUAACGAGGAGCCAACUUGCCCUUGAUACCGAAACGAUGGGUACCCUUCAAAGGAGUAACCCGAAGGUAAGCUUGGUCGCCAAUUUCAUAAGUCAUAUCCUUAUGAUGACGAUCGUACUGACUUUUCUGACGAGACUGGGCGGUUUUCAAAUUCUCACGAAUGAUGCGAACUUGCUCUUCUGCCUCCUGGAUCAUAUCCGGUCCAAAGAAUUGUCUUUCACCGGUUUCUGACCAGUUCAAAGGUGUUCGACAUCUUCGUCCAUAGAGAACCUCAAAAGGAGCUUUCUUGAGGCUGGAUUGGUAGCUGUUGUUAUAAGCAAACUCGGCGAAAGGAAGACAUUUCUCCCAAUCCAUACCGAAUGAGAUAACGCAAGCUCUGAGCAUGUCUUCGAGAAUUUGAUUGACCCGUUCCACCUGACCACUUGACUGAGGGUGGAAAGCGGUACUGAAGGAAAGAUGGGUUCCCAUGGCAGUUUGGAAACUCUCCCAAAAAUGAGAAGUGAAAAGGCUGCCACGGUCUGAAUUGAUCUCUAGUGGGACACCAUGAAGUGACACUAUUCGAGAAAUAUAUAAGUCAGCAAGCUGACUAGCAGUGAUAUUUUCCCGAACAGGAAGGAAGUGAGCCACUUUGGAGAGACGAUCAAUGACUACGAAGAUAGCGUUAUUCCCUCUCUUGGUCCUGGGAAAACCGGUGAUGAAGUCCAUACUAACUUUAUCCCAUUUCCAUUCAGGAAUAGCUAAGGGCUGAAGGGUGCCAGCAGGUCUUUGAUGCUCUGCCUUAACGCGACGACAUACGUCACAUUUAGCAAUGAACUCAGCGAUUUCCCUCUUCAUCCUAGUCCACCAGAACCUCUGGCGUAGGUCCUGAUACAUCUUAGUACUACCGGGAUGAAUCGUGAGAGGGGAUUCAUGCGCCUCCUUAAGAAUCAAUUGUCGCAGAUGUUGAUUCUUGGGAACCACCAAGCGAUUCUCAAAGAAAAUAAUUCCACGAUCAUCCAUAGAGAAACAUCCACCAACUCCCUUCUUAAUGUUUCUCUUGAUCCGAGAAAUUCCUGUGUCUUGCUUUUGAGCAGCGAUAAUCCGAUCUUCAAGAUCAGGUUUCGCCACCAGAGUAGAAAGGAAUCCGCGAGGAGCUAUGUGAAGGUUAAGCUUACGGAAUUCCUCAUGGAGAAGUGGUUGGCCUUGCUGCAACAUGAGAUUGUUGCAAUAAGAUUUACGGCUUAGAGCAUCAGCCAUGACAUUGGCUUUGCCUGGGGUGUAGGUAAUCCCUAGAUCAUAAUCUGUAAUCAACUCCAACCAACGUCUUUGCCUAAGGUUCAGAUCCGGCUGGGUGAAGAUAUACUUGAGACUCUGGUGAUCGGUGUAGAUCUCGCAACGUUUACCAAGGAGGUAAUGUCGCCAGGUCUUGAGUGCAUAGACUACGGCUGCAAGCUCUAGAUCAUGUGUAGGAUAAUUCUCCUCAUGUGGAUGUAACUGUCAAGAUGCAUAGGCAAUCACAUGACGAUCCUGCAUAAGAAUGCAACCUAGUCCCUGUCGUGAGGCGUCGCAGUAGAUAAUAAAGUCUUUUGUGAAAUCCGGUGGCACAAGUAUGGGAGCAGAAGUCAGGCGUCUCUUCAGUUCCUGAAAACUGUACUCACACUGUGGGGACCACUCGAACUUUUUAUCUUUCUUGAGAAGUUCCGUGAGGGGUUUGGCUACUUUGGAGAAGUUUUCAACAAAGCGGCGACAAUAGCUGGCUAGGCCAAGGAAACUCCUAACUUGUUUCACGGUCUCGGGUGGAGUCCAAUCGAGAACGGCUUGAACUCUCUCGGGAUUGACAGCAAUGCCCUUACCAGAGAUUACGUGGCCUAGGUAGGUCACUUCUGGCAACCAAAAUUCACACUUGGAGAACUUGGCAUAAAGGCGGUGCUCUUUGAGUUUUUCUAACACAAGUCUAAGAUGUUCGGCAUGCUCUUCCUCGUUCUUCGAGUAAAUAAGAAUAUCAUCGAGGUAAACCACGACGAACUUAUCUAAGUACUCCAUGAAGAUCGAGUUCAUCAAGCGGGAGAAUGUGGCUGGGGCGUUGGUUAGGCCAAAGGACAUGACGGUGUACUCGUACUGGCCAUAACGAGUGACAAAAGCCGUCUUGGGAAUGUCCCCAUUUCUGAUUUUGAUUUGGUGGUAUCCUAACCUUAAAUCCAUCUUGGAGAAGACUGAGGAUCCAGCGAGCUGAUCAUACAGGUCGUUGAUCCUGGGGAGCGGAUACUUGUUCUUGAUCGUGACCAAAUUAACGGGACGAUAAUCAAUGACCAUCCGGUCCGUACCGUCUUUCUUCUUGACAAAGAGGACGGGGCAAGUCCAAGGAGAAGAACUAGGACGGAUGAAACCCUUUUGCAAGGACUCAUCGAGUUGUUUCUUAAGCUCGGCUAGUUCUAGGGGUGCCAUCUUGUAAGGUCUCCGGGAGAUUGGAGCUGUUCCUGGGAUAAGAUCUAUGACGAACUCUACAUCUCUGUCAGGUGGAACACCUGGCAGUUCCUCUGGAAAGACAUCCGGAAAGUCACGGACUACCGGGAUAUCUUCAAGGUCUGGAAGAGGGCUGGCAUUAAGAGAAUAGAGCUGACGCUUUGCAACUCUAGUAGAGACGGUGACUAACUUGCCAGAUGGGUGUGUAAGCUGAACAGAUCUUGUGUAGCAAUCAAUCUUGGCAUGAUGAGCUGUCAUCCAGUCCAUACCCAAGAUGAUGUUAAUAUCUGAGGACUUGAGGGCUACAAGUGAUGCAAGGAAUACCAGUCUAUCAACAAGGAUUUCAUUACCAUGGCUGAUUCUGGUGGUCUGCCAUCUAGACCCUGGGGUUUGGAUUUCAAGCGGAGUUGGCAUAUCACAAAAUGACAUGUCGUGCAAACGAGCAUAGCCUUCAGAAAUGAAGGAGUGAGAUGCCCCAGUAUCAAAUAGAACUGAUGUUGGGUGACAAUUGACAAGGAGUGUACCAAGAACGACAUCUGGAUCAUCAUGAGCGUCUUUAGCUGAGACGUGAUGCACACAUCCACGUUCAGUGGGGGCUGACUUAACACUGAUCAUCUUGCGUGAUGGCUUAAUACAGCCAACAGUCUUCUCGGGCUGGGGUGGAGCAUAACUAGUCUGAGAGCAGUCACGUGCAUAGUGUCCUGACUUCCCGCAUGUGAAGCAAGUCCCUGAGGUUGGACGGGGACCCGCACUAACAAGCGGUCUACCAGUAGGCCUGGGUGGAACAUACGACUGAGCUGGAGGAGGCACCACAUGAGAUGACCUCGGUGUAUAACCGGAAGGAAGAGCGGAGUUUGGAACCCAAAUCCGGCGUUUCUGGGAACUAGAGCCAGAGGGAGAUCCCAAAUCACGGGUGUGCUUACGAGACUCCUCGUAAGUGAGUUGAGCUGUCUCUGCAUUGAUGGCCUUGUUCACAAGGGCUUGGAAUGUAUCGCAAUGAUGCAUGUGAAGAUCACGACGCAAUUUGGGGUUGAGACCCUUCCGGAACCUAGCCUGCUUCUUGGCGUCCGUGGACACUUCUUCUGUGGCAUAGCGAGCAAGGUUCUCGAACUCUCUGCUAUAAGCAUCAACGGCCAUCUUACUCUGGGUGAAACUACAGAACUCUUCUCUCUUGCGAUCAAGGAGGGCUUGGGGAAUGUGAUGCUCGCGAAAAGCCUCAGUGAACUCCUUCCAGGUAGGAAUCUGGCCAGCUGGAAGCAUAGCCUCGUAGUUCUGCCACCAAAGACUAGCAGGACCUUCCAGGUGAUAUGUGGCAUAAGUGACCUUGUCAUCUUCAGCUACGUUCGCGAAACGCAGCUUAUGGAUGAUGCUACGGAGCCAGUCAUCUGCAUCGAGUGGCUCGAUGGAAUGAUGAAAGGUAGGUGGGUGCAAGCGAAUGAAGUCAUGAAUGGUCACAGACUUGUUGGACUGAUGUGCGGUGUUCUCCUCGAUACGUGCCAACAAGUGGUUGGACUCACGCUUGUUCCUUUCCAUCUCUAGCAUGAACUCUGUCAACGAAGGCUGGUCGGGAGAAUUCUCAUCCCUACCAUCUCCAUGGUUCCGGCUACGAACAAUAGAACUUGAUGACAUCCUGAGAAACGAAAACCAGGGACGGAAUCAGCACCAAUUAUCGACUGUAGAAUGUAGGACAGGGAAUUAGUAUCACUCGAACUCCUAGGGAAAUUCUGGCAGCAUAACGGCAGUAAACUGCUCAGAACGAGACAUCCUACUAAACAUAGGGUGGUAACAUACUUAUCAUCAUCACUCAAGGUUCUGAGAUAGUACUAAACAGACUACACCGGAAGUACUCGAAACUGGGGUAUGACUCUGAUCAACCAGUCCUAUGGAACUACGGAGUAGUAACACGUGAUCCUGAUAGACGGAAGAGAAGCCUAGUUCCUUAACCCCGUCGGAAAGAUAGGAUGACUCAGAUCAGAAGGCCAUGAGGUAAAGAAGUAAAAAGAGCCUUACGUUCCAACCCACAAUCAAUUCCCUUACAUAACUAAAGAAUUUCUAGACUCAACUUCGACCGGUUUGGCUUGGUAAUCCUACAGGCAGUCAGGCUCUGAUACCAACGCUGUCAGGACCCCGACUCGAUGUCACAUCGAUCUAGCAUGUAACACCUCAUAUCGCUUUGCGGCCUCACGCACGGUAUCCCCACGGGUGUCGCCUUACCUUUGCCCGGGACCGUUUGCGCAUUUUGGCACACGUAUAUGAUGGUGUCGCUAGCAUCCAUAUGAUAAAGAGCCCGGGCUGACAUGGCUAGUCGUAAACCCAAAGUGGCACUAACUUACAGGGACAGGCAUUCAUGACCCAGCAUCGAACGUGUCGGUCAUCAGCGAGUGAAUCCAGGCUGUAGCACUGGGCUAACAGGACUCCGGUGAACCGGGCUGUAGCGGGCUAGCAGGACUCCGGUAUUCAUCGCGUGACAUUUCCCCGAAGGGACAGACACAGGAUCAAAGAAGGACACAUGCCGGCCUGCCUAAGUGUUCCGGAGCAGUAGCAAGCUACCAGGGCUCAGUGGAAGCACUAGGAGACAUUUCCCGGUAAGAGAGGCUACUAAGAAUAAACAACUAGAUAGUCAGAUCCCACACAUAGCAAUACACAUUACACGUACGCAUAACAUGCAAGUAUGUGAUGUACAACAUGGCAUCACAGCAUAACUCAACAACUUAUAUAGAUAAAGGCUCAGAAGAGCCGUCAUAGCAAUUAUUGCAAACAGGGGUCACAAGACCCAUCAUACAGAGCAUACAAGCAACAAGCGGAAGCAUUACAUGUCUGGGUACAGACAUCUACAAAUGAAAAAGGCUGAAGAGCCUGACUAUCUACAACAUCCGAUCAAGAUCGUAGCUGAGGUAAUAGCUACUAGUCGAAGUCCACGAGAACACUAGUAAGACCGAAGUCUCCGCUGCAAAAACAUAAAUAAAGCAACAUGAGUACAAAGGUACUCAGCAAGACUUACAUCAGAUCCUAUCAUACAUGCACUUGUAUCAAGAGGGUAACGUGGGGUUUAGUUGCAGCAAGCCAGCUUUGACUCUGUGGCUAUCCUGUUCUACGACUACCAGAAACUCUGAAGGUGAAACAACGUACACGAGUCCACUAAUCACCAUACAAUACACUACUAUGGAUUCAUCCCCGUCUCCCUACGAGAAGGCCAUCCAUAGCACUCACACAUGUCUUGAGCAUUUUAGGGUAUCCACUUCAAGUUGUCUAUGUACCAUGUAAGCAUCCAAGAAGUCCAUAACCGCGGACCCGGCUAUUCGAAUAGAUCAUGUUAACCCUGCAGGGGUGUACUUCUUCACACACGCUCUCGCCACUUACCGCCAUGUACACGUCAUGUAUCUCGGCAACCUUCAAGCGGAAGCCUGGCGAGGGUGUCGGCCACGACCUGACUAACCACACAAGACUCUAGUCCAGGUUUAUCGCCUAUUCGGGUUCCAUCCGCAAGGAGAUCCGGCUGGGGUGUCGCUUACGGCCCCAAACGAUGUGUACAGGGUUCCCGAGCCCACCAACCGGGUGCCACUCGGUACACCAGGCCACGUGUGCCUAGUCUGUCCCAAGCCCACCCUGCCGGGUGCCACUUGGUAGAAAAAUAGCACUACCUACAAACACCAGAAACUAGUUGCGACUCCUGGACAGAGAUCAAGUUGGUUAAUAAGUCGAGAGGGCUUGGAGCGCCCGGAGCCCAAUGUGUGGUAGUAUCGAGUCAUUGGACAACAUACACAGAACUCAGGGCUUAAGGACGGUUCCAGUGAGACAACCCACCAUGUACUCCUACAUGGCCUCUCACCGCUACCUUUACCAAAUCGUGUUCACACACUUCACUCUCAGCAUCAGAACACAUCGUGACACUCCAAUUCAUUCCCAAUGAAUCAGACCUGACACAACUCUAAGCAAUAGCAGGCAUAGCAUGGUAGGAACACAUCAGUGGCUUCAAUCAACUCCUACACAUGCUAGUGGGUUUCAGCUAUUUACUAUGGCAAUGACAGGUCAUGCAGAGGAAUGGGUUCAACUACCGCAGCACAAAGUAGCAGAUGAAUCGUUGUUGUCCUAAUGCAAUAACUGAGAGCAGGAGCGAGAGAGUAGGGUUUUAUCGAAAUGAACAAGGGGGUUUGCUUGCCUGGUAAAACAACAAGGAAGGCACUGCUUCACGGACAGGUACUCUGGAACGUCUCCGGAGCAGGACCUAUCGAGAAGGAACGGUGCCGGCAAUCAAAACACAAUCAUAUGCAGCAAUAUGAUGCAUGAACAUGGCAUGUAGAUGUGAUGCUGCUGAGCUAAUGCAACUAGUGUUCACUUGGUUUGAAGUCCAUUUGAACCAAAGGUUCAAAUGCAUUUCUAAAUUAAGUCUCUUAUAUAUGCCAUAAUGUGUUUUCUCAUAUUCAGUAUGUAUAAGUUGGUUUGUCAUGCAUGAAACUAGUACAGAUGGAAAGAUUGCAUUUUUCUGAUAAUUUUUCAUAUAUAAAUUAUUUCAAUCUGAGCUACGGUUGAAUUUCUAUGAAUUUUUGAAGUUUAAAUCAAUUUCUGGAAUUUUCCUGAUUUAAUUAAAUCCAGAAAUUAUAUACUGCGCCAGCAUGACGUCAGCACGACGUCAGCGGGUCAACGCGGCUGUCCAGGGUCAAACCUGACGUGUGGGACCCACACGUCAGUGACAGGGGGGUUAACAGGGGUUAAUUUAAUUUAACUAAAAGGUUAGGGGGGGUCGGGCCCACUGGUCAGCGUCAGGGGGGGGGUUAGUCAACGGUGAUUAGCACUAAGCUAAUCACCUGACGGGCCGGCCCCACCUGGCAGGGCUCAGGCGACGGGGGCUCGUCGCCGGCGACCUCUGGACGCGGCGGAGUCCGCGCCACAGGCCACGGGGACGGCGUCUGAGAGCACCGGGGCGUAGCCCGGGCUCUCGCGCAUCUGGUGGGCCAGGUGGGAGGAGCGGGGACGGCCGGAGCUCGCCGGAGCAGAGCUCAGGGCGGCGGCCGGAGUUCGGGCUUGAGCGGGAAUGGGCUGCGGGGCACGGGGAGGCCUCCUGAGGGGCCCGGCGGCACCCUCGUGGCACCAGGAACGCGGAGGGAGGCUUGGUUUGGGCGGAGGCGGGCCGAGACGGCGGCGGCGACGUGGACGGCGGCGAGGGGCUUCGGCCGUGGUGGGGAGCGGCGCUACGGCACGGGAACGGGAGGGAGAAGAGAGGGGAACGGUGGAGGAGCUCACAGCGGAUCCAGCGAGCGCGAAGGCGAGGUCGGGGAUGCCCGGAAGCUCCCGAAUUGACGGCGAGUACCCACGGCGGCCGGAGGCGAGGGUGGCGACGGCGACGGCUCCACGGGGCUCUCCGGCUUGCGUGGCUCGGCGAGGAAGUAGAGGGGGUCGCGGCGGAGCUCGGGGGCUCUACGGAGGGGCGAGGGAACGGCGGGGAGCGCGUCGGUGGCGAGCUGCGGCGGCGGCGGUGCUUCGGGUGAGAGGGAGAGAGAGCAGGGAAGAGGAGGAGGGCGAGGGAGAGUGAGAACGGUGCAGGGCAGCGCGUGGCGACGUUCCGGACGUCCAGGCGUCGAGGGGAGGACAGGCAGACAGGUGCCGUGGCGGCACGGCGGUGCGCACGCGCCGGCCACACGCCUCUGGCCUCCUGGCGGGAGGUGGAGGACGACUGGCGCUAGCCAGUCGGCUGGGCCGGCCGGCUGGGCCGCACAGGGGAGGGGAGGCCCAGGUAAGUCCUCCUUCCUUUUAUUUCUGUUUUCUAUUUUUUUUUGACAUUUGUUUGAUUUAAUAAAUAUAUCAAAUCAUUUAAUUUUAUUAUGCCAAUUUUUGUAGGGGCUAAUGGUAUUAUUCCAGAACUCUUGUAUAAUUGGCAUAAUUUUCAGACCAUAUUUCAUAUAUAUAGAAAUAUAUUUCCAAUGCAAAUAUUUAUCGAAUUAAUCCAAAUGGCCAAAAUAAAUGUCCAUGGGCUCCUAAAAUAUUGUUUUGAUUUUUAUCUCUGUCCAAUAUUUUUAGAGGGCAUCAUGAGCAUUUUCUUGGACCCUUUUUGGAGAAAUUUUUAUUUGGGUCAUUUUCAAAAAUGAUUCUGAGGGUUCCACCAAUCCUCAUUUCAAAUUUAAAUGAAAUUUAAACAUGAUGCACAAAUGACCAGCUAGUCUAGGUCAUACCAGACUAGGGAUGUGACAGUGGUCUCCUACUGGAUUGAUACCUUGGUACUCAAAAACUGAGGGAAAUACUUACGUUGCUUUACUGCACCACCCUUUCCUCUUCAAGGGAAAACCAAUGGAGUGCUCAAGAGGUAGCAGAUUGAUCUUUCUUGCAAUGGGAGAAGUGCUUAGCUUUGGGUUCAAUCUUGCGGUGUCCUUUCCCAGUGACAGCAGGGGCAGCAAGGCACGUAUUGUAUUGUUGCCAUCGAGGAUAAAAAGAUGGGGUUUAUAUCAUAUUGCUUGAGUUUAUCCCUCUACAUCAUGUCAUCUUGCCUAAUGCAUUACUCUGUUCUUAUGAACUUAAUACUCUAGAUGCAUGCUGGAUAGUGGUCGAUGUGUGGAGUAAUAGUAGUAGAUGCAGAAUCGUUUCGGUCUACUUGGCGCGAACGUGAUGCCUAUAUACAUGAUCAUGCCUAGAUAUAUCAUAACUAUGCUCUUUUCUAUCAAUUGCUCGACAGUAAUUUGUUCACCCACCGUAGAAUUUGCUAUGUUGAGAGAAGCCACUAGUGAAACCUACGGCCCCCGGGUCUAUCUUCCAUCAUACUAUUCUCCUAUUUACUUGCUAUUCCUAUCGUUGUUUAUUUUGCAAUCUCUUUUUCCAAUCUAUACAAUAAAAAUACCAAAAACUAUUUACCUUAUUAUCUCUAUCAGAUCUCACUUUCGUAAAUGACCGUGAAGGGAUUGACAACCCCUUUAUCGUGUUGGUUGCGAGGUUCUUGUUUGUUUGUGCAGGUACUAGGGACUUGCGUGUUACCUCCUACUGGAUUGUUACCUUGGUUCUCAAAAACUGAGGGAAAUACUUUUGCUACUUUGCUGCAUCACCCUUUCCUCUUCAAGGGAAAACCAACACAUGCUCAAGAGGUAGCAAUCUUCACCAACCUAACAGAAGUGCGGCCGUACAUCGAGUAAGUUCUUGCAGUACAUUGUUUUGCAACUUCUAAUUCCUUUGAACUGCUCUUAUUCCCAGAUAUUUUUUGAUACAGUCGAUACAUCACCAAAUUCUUGGAUGGAGCGGUGAUCCAAAAGGAAUCCAUCGAAGAGUAUGAGCUCCUCGCGAAGCAAGGAGGCGGCUUUCCUGGUUUCAUCUCUUGGUUCAAACAAACGGUAAUUUCCACUAGACCAUUCUCAUUUCUUCAUCUAAUUUGCGGCUAAUGCAACAAUCCUUUCGUAUUAAACUUGUAGGCUAAUUCAGAGUCUAUGGACGCUGAAUUGAGACAAUUCACUAAUGGUUUUGACUUUAAGGCCCGUUCAUUUGACAAAUUCGACAUCAACAGGCAUCACUUUCGUACCUAUGGCAAAGAGCUAUUUAUGGACGACCGAAAGUCUACAAGUUGUUGUGUCUCUGCUAUCGGCGAUGGAGGUAUCGAGUAUUAUGGGAGAGUUGAAGCAAUUUAUGAACUUCUAUUCUAUGGUCAAAACGCACCAAACGUCGUAGUCUUCAAAUGUUACUAGUUCCAGCCGAAGGAGAGUAGAAGGACUCAUGAACAUAUAUGGCUAGUCGAAAUCAAACAAAGCACCCAUUUAGAUGUUCUUGAUGUCUAUAUUAUGGCUCAAUAAGCGACCCAAGUUUUCUAUCUACUGUGGGAGUGCCAAACUUAUCCAAAUCUGAAUGGUUGGGAUGUCGUUUAUGAAGUGCCACCACGUGUUAGACUACCUCCCCACAAUGAAGAGGAUUAUGAACCUCACAUUAACCCAGACACAUAUGAAGGUGAAUUCUUCCAAGAAACACUCUUUCCAAAAAAACGCUUCAAGAAACGCUUUACUUCACACCAGAACAUUGAAGUAGACAGCGAUAGUGAACCUGACUUCACCGCUGAGCCGGAACAAGAAGAGCCUAAACAAGAAGAGGUUACUGAUGCGGAUGACUUGUCAAUGGUUGAACGAUUACGUAAAGGUGGCCUUCCACAUGUUGAUGCCGCUGAACCCGAUGAGCACUUCAUUGAUGAUAGUGAUGAUGAUGAUGCAUUUAUUGAUCCUGGAGCAUUUAUUGAACCCGACGAUCAAGAUUAUUAUUAGGUAUUCAAUUUUUUAUGUUGUACUUGAUUUGUAUAAAUGCUUGUAUGAUUGUAUGAUUUAUAUAGUUACUUGUAUAAUUUCUUACUUUGUACGAUUGUUUGUUAUACAUAGUGCCAUGGUCUUGAUAUCCGUCCCCGUCGGCCCUUGCCCGCUUUAUGAAUCAGAUGUGGUAUAUUCUCUAUUAUAACUAUUUGUUGCAUUUCACAUUUAUGACAAUUAUGGCCAUCAAGUUGACAUAGAGAUAUUUUUAUCUAGGAGGUAUGUGAAACAGAAAUUGCAACCGACCCUAUUGUUGAGAAGUUAAAUUUAGUUGAAAAUUAAAAUGAGUAUUUGAAAGAAAGAAUUAGAAGAAUUGAAGAAGAGAAGAUGAAAUUGGAGUUGUAUGUUGUCGAUGUCCUCGAUGAUCACAAGAUGAAGACGAAUGCAAUGCGCUUGAAGAUGGUGGAUGCAAUGCGCUUGAAGAUUAGAAAAUAUGCCAUUGAUAAUGAGGCUUGGUAUCGUUAUGCCGUUGGAUCAAUUAUUACCUUAGUUGCGAUCUUCAUCACAUUUGUUGUGAUGAGGGUAAGUUUUCUCUAGUGUUUUGCUUAACAAAUGCAUACUUAGCUUAUUUUCCUCCUAAAUGGCAUAAUUACCUAAGUUAGAUAAAAAAUGAGCUAUACUUACGUAAGUUGGCUCAAAAUGGCAUCAUCACCUAGGUUAGCACAAAAUGACCUAUACUUACCUUAUUUUCCUCCAAAUUGACAUAAUAAGGUUAGUUGGCUAAAAAAUGGCACAAUUACAUAUAUUAGCUCUAAAAUGACACAUAUAAGGAAUAAGAAGAACAAAAACAAGAAAGAGGAGAAAAAGAAAGAAUAGAAGAAGAUAGAGAAGAAAAAAGAAAGAAUAAAAGAAGAAGAAUGAGAAUGAGGAGGAAAGGGAUAAAAAGAUAGAAGAGAAGAAGAAAGAUGAGAAAAGAAGAAGAAGAAAAUUCUUCUUCUUCUAGUCUUCUCAUAUUCUUCUUCUUUCUUCUUCUAGUCUUCUUCUUCUUCUUCUUCUUCCUCUAGUCUUCUUCUUCUUCUAACUUUUUACUCCCAUUUUUGUAGGUAUGAUUCACUUCAUGGAAGCAGCAUUGAUGGACUGCUAGUGUUUAGUUCUUGUUUUCAUUUGUAUUGAUGAACAAUGUGAAACUAUGUGUGUAUAUAUGGAUGAACUCCAUGAAACUAUGUAUGCAUUGGAUCUUUUNNNNNNNNNNNNNNNNNNNNNNNNNNNNNNNNNNNNNNNNNNNNNNNNNNNNNNNNNNNNNNNNNNNNNNNNNNNNNNNNNNNNNNNNNNNNNNNNNNNNNNNNNNNNNNNNNNNNNNNNNNNNNNNNNNNNNNNNNNNNNNNNNNNNNNNNNNNNNNNNNNNNNNNNNNNNNNNNNNNNNNNNNNNNNNNNNNNNNNNNNNNNNNNNNNNNNNNNNNNNNNNNNNNNNNNNNNNNNNNNNNUAUAUAUAUAUAUAUAUAUAUAUAUAUAUAUAUAUAUAUAUAUAUAUAUAUAUAUAGGACAACACUAUUCUAAUCCCAGGAUUAGAAUAGUUAUUUGGAUCAUAGCGCCCUAUAUAGGAGCCGCAGUAGUGUUCCCGAACUCCAUCGAAAAAACGAUCUUGUGUCCCGCACCUCCCGUGCCUGAUCCCCACCUCACUCGCCUCGAUCCCCAACCGGCGACCCCUCCCCCACCCGCCGCCAGUGCUCCACCCCGCCCCACCGCCGCCUGGCUCCCUGCGCGCCGCUGCCGCGACCACCCGCGCGUCGCCGCCUGGCUCCCUNNNNNNNNNNNNNNNNNNNNNNNNNNNNNNNNNNNNNNNNNNNNNNNNNNNNNNNNNNNNNNNNNNNNNNNNNNNNNNNNNNNNNNNNNNNNNNNNNNNNNNNNNNNNNNNNNNNNNNNNNNNNNNNNNNNNNNNNNNNNNNNNNNNNNNNNNNNNNNNNNCCACGACCACAGGCCCGCCGCCGGCCUGGCUCCAUGCGCGCCGCUGACUCCGACCAUCUGCGCGGCGCUGCCCCGACCACCUGCAUGCCGCUGCCUGUCUCCCUGUGCACCAUCGGUGUUGACCACCUGAGCGCCGGUGUCACGCCAAGAUCCAAGCUAGAGGCACACUACAUGUCAGCGUCUGAUCUCCUGUGCUCCUCCCCUCAAGUUCUUCUCUUCCUGUGUCGCCAGAAGCCAGCCAUGGUGAGCAUUGUCCCUCCCCAUCAACUCUCUCCGACCUUCCCUGUCAACUCUCUCUGACCUUCCCCGCACCUCUCCUAGCUGCAGCGCAUGGUGCUUUGUGGCAUCCUAGGUUCCUCUCCGAAAACAGCCGUGAGUAGUGCUCCCAUGAAAAUCCUCUUGUGUGUGCAAAGCUAUGCCAUCCAACUAAUAUGGCUAAAUUUGUUUAGCAGUUUUUUCUCUUUGAACUAGAUGACGAACAUGCCCGAACUUAUGGAUGUGUUGCUCAUGUGAAAAAUGUGUUAAAUGAACUUCACAAUCUUGACUGAAGAUGUUUUAAAAAAUGUGUUAACCCCUGCUCCCAUGCAUCGGUGACCAGCCAUCUCCAAUCCUCGCACACACGCCGUAGCACUUGCAUUUCGAUGCUCCAAUGCCUACUGGCACUUCCUGCAUCUUUGUCCUACAAAAAACUCUAGCAAUGUUUAAUUCUUGUGAUUUCUUGCAGCAGUUCAAUAUAUAUUAUACAAGAAGAACAAACUAACAGUAUGUUGCAGAUGUUCUCUUUUGUGAUUGUCGUAGACUUCCAAUAGUUUAGAUGUGGGCAAGUCAAACAGAGUUCUCUUUGCUUCCGUCUCACCACCACAACCACGGCAGCAAGGCACACUACAUCCACGGCGGGAGAUCGGCACCAAGGUGGCCUGCCAGGGUCAUGGACUGGUUCAGGAAGAUGUUGGUGGGCCUGUUGGCCUUCUCGCCGCGGCCGCCCAAGGUCACCUUCAACGCCAACUCCAGGGGCGGUGGCGAGGACGUCGUGGCUGUGGCACCCAAGAGGCCAUCAUGCAGCAGCUCCAACCUGCAGCCGGUGAACAAGGAGCACUACGAUGAGGCCAUCUCCGACUGCGUCGAGUUCUUCCAUCGAUUCGCCAGGGUGGAUGUCAGGUCACGGCCGUCCUCGUCGUCCCACUUCUGAAUUCCCACCGUCGACAACUUUGUGCUAGCUUCAAGCAUAUCCCACUGUGUGUGGGAAUGUGUAUGUGUGUCUGCCAUGUUACUGUGUUCUUUCUUUUGACAUCUGUCAUGUUAGUAUGUUACCGUGUUAGUAAAAUGGACAGCGAGCCAACUGUUGCAGGUCAAUGGUAACAAGUAUCAAAAGAGUUUUGGACGCGAGGAUUUUGCAAAGUCCUAGUCGGCUAGUGAUAACUGUGCUAUAACUUUAUGGUAGGCCGAUCAUAGCUUGGAUUAGUGUAUUUCAUUUUGUAGCUUGAAUUUUGUAACUUGUUAAGUUUAUUGUGCAGAACCUUCAGAAAAGAUACCAAAAAAAGUAUGUUAUGGACCUUGUAACUCCUUCCCCUUUUUCCAUUCAUGCAUGUUCUUUCACGUGAUUUGAUGUAACGAAGUUUGUGUAAACCAUAUUGUUUACAUACACCUAAAGCAGUAUGUAUUUUUUAAAGUAAUCUGGAAGUUCAAAUAUUAUUGUAUAGAGAGUUCAAUCAUUGUAUUUUAGGAAGAAUGCAUCUUACAGUUAAAAAAUGCUUAGAGGAAAAGCAUUCAUCAAAAAAAGUAGCAAUCCGAUUUUUGGGAGGUUUAAAAUGUUAAAUUCGCACAUAAAAAGAGUGUAGAAAAAGAUGGGCGCCUCAAAAAAUGAUACUAAACAAACAAAUAAUUUGAAGUACAAAUUCGCGGAGUUGGGUAGUUCAAUAAAUAAAAAAUACAAAACAAAAGACUAGUCUUUAGGUUGGACAGGCCCAUGACAAGCUCGUAAAUUUAAAAAUUGUUUUUUAUGGUGGAAAAUAUCCUUUGAUUUCAAUUUUUACGUAGAGAAACAGUGAGCAAAAAAGACCAUAAUAAGAAAUGAUGUCAUUUUCCAUGAUUUUACCCGUUUUAUGUAGAGAAACAGUUAGCAAAAAAAAGACUAGUCUCCAGGUUGUUCAACAUAAUGUUAUUAUUCACCAAUGCACCGCUUUCUCUCUGGGAGCAGAGAAAGAGAGAAGUUCAUCCUGGCAGCCCAAUGUGGUUCAAUUUGUAUCUUAAAAGAAGACCCUCAAAGUUCCAAAUUAAAUAAUAGUACAGUUCAAUUUUUAUUUAGUAAGAAACGAUUUCCCUUGAGACUAAAUAAUCAAGCCACCAAGUUCACAUUAAUAAUAACAAAGCAGUUCAAUAUAUACAAAAAAACUCAAGUUCUUCUUGUUUUCUAUAAAAAGAAAAGUAUGAAGUUCAAUUUAAAAACUAAAAAUACAAAAGGAUUUUCACCGUUUCUAAAUAAAAAACUCUUGAAGUUCAAAGUAAAAUAAUGGAGCGGUUCGAUGUUUACUAAAACUAAUAGGAUAUUUUCCAUUACAAAAAAAUAAGAAGUCCAAAUUUUACAAAUGGAGAAGUUCAAUGUGAAGAAAAACUUAGAUUUUUUUCUCGUUGCUAAAGAAUAAAAUGAAGAAGUUCAAAUUAAAAUAAUGGAACAUAUCAAAAGGUUUAUAAAAAUGAUUUCCCCAUUUUCUAAAAAUACCCGAGAAGCCCAUAUUAAAACAACAUCAUGGCUCAAUCUUUACAAAAAAAUAGAGCGCUUCAAAAUUUCAUAAAAAAGAUUAAGAAAAAAAACCAGGGAGUCCAUAUUAAAAAGAUGGAGAAGUUCGAUGAUUAUAGAAAACUCAGAUUUUCCUUGUUAUUAAAUAAUGGAAACAAGAAGUUCAAAAAAAAUAAGAAGUUCAAAUUUUAAAAAUAGAGCGCUUCAAAAUUUCAUAAAAUAGAUUAAGAGAUAAAACCAGGAAGUUCAUAUUAAAAAAUGGAGAAGUUCGAGGAUUAUAGUGAACUCAGAUUUUCCUCGUUAUUAAAGAACGGAAACAAGAAGUCCAAAAAAACAAGAAGUUCAACUUUUAAAAAUAGAGCGCUUCAAAAUUCAUAAAAAAAAGAUUAAGAAAAUUAGAUUAAAAAUUCAUUAAAAAACUCACAUAUUUCCCCGUAACUGAGUAAUGCAAGGAAUGCAUUUCAGGUGACAUUUAAAAGUAUAGAAAAAUAAAAUCUUAAAAAUGUUUGUUGAAAGAAGUUCAAGUGCUCUAUCCGGAGAAGUUCAAAAAUUGUUGCGAGAGAGGUUCACCUUGUAUUCCAUGUUUGAUUUUUUCCGUAUAAAAAUCUAAUACAAUUCUUUACUCAAAAUAUAAAUAGGUGAAGUUCAUAUUGAAAAAAUAGAGAAGUUCGAAGUAUAUUAAAACCUAGGAUUUACCUGUUCAAAAAAUAAAAAACACAACACCAUUUUUUGCACUUUUAAAAACAACUCAUAAACGAAAAAAUGGUUGCUAGAAGUUCAAGUGCUCAGUGAGGAAAAGUUCAAAAAAAUUCUUGUGAGAGGUUAACCUUAUAUUUAGAUGUCCAAAAUGCGUAAAAAAAUAUGUUGUUUUUUGUGUUUUAAAAUAAUUCUCUCAAACCAGAGAGAAGUUCAAAGUGAUAAUAACUAGAAGUUCACGUACUACAUGGUGUGUAUUUCAUACAAGAAAAAAACAAUAAAGUGAAACAGAAUGAAGUUCAAAUAGACAUGCCCCAGAAGUUCAACUACUUCAUGCGGUGCAAAAAACAGCACGUCAAAAACAAAGUGAUGUUCAAACAUACAUACCCCAAGAAGUUCAACUACUUCACGCAGUGCGUUUCCAUUCGCAAUGAACACAGAAAUCAUGAUCUUGUCAUUUCUCUAAUUUUCUUCAAAACGACAGGAAUAUCAUCUGUGUAAGUUGAAGUCCUCGAUCGGAGAAAGUUAAAAAAAUAUUGUGAGAGAGGUUUGUACAAAAAGAAUAUGUUUUGUGUAACACUGACGAAAUGGAUGAGAAAAUUACAAACGAAAAUAUGUCACAGAAGUUCAACGUGAAAACAGCAGGAAGUUCAUCAACUACACUGAAUGAAUUUUAGAUGAAAAACUUUUAAAAUUGUCGCGAGUAUGAAAAGAUGAUCAACACGGGAAACUUGCGUGCUUACAGCAGCUUUCCAUCGGUAUAUCACCUGCUCAAUUCCAGUGAAUGGACGGAGAGGUAUGAGCAAGUGGAUAGAGACCUACGAGCAAAAAAAUUACGUGAAAAACAGAGUGAAGUUCAGUUACACGCGCCGAGAAGUUCAGGUUCUUCACGCGGUGCAUUUUCGAAGAAUCUGUUUCACGAUAAAGGCAGAACGCAUGAUCCCGCUGUUUUCCAAAUUACUUGAAAACGGCUAUGAAUCAGAGAAAACCAUCAACAUGAAAAAGUUUCGCAUUUUCCGUAGCUUUUUAGCGGUAUAUUAUUUGCCCCAUUCCGAUAAAGUUUGUAGAAAUUAUGGCAAAAAUACGUUUUUAACCAUUUUCAAAACUGACAUAAAACUGUAAUAAAUUAGGAGAAACAAUAUAUACAAAAAAGUUUUGCAUUUCUUCAAGCUUUCCAACGCCAUAUCAUUUGCUGCAUUUGGACGUACAGUUAAAAAAUUAGCUCAAAAAUACGAACUCGGUGGAACUUGUACCAUUUUCUAAAUUACUUUUAAACCAUUCAAAAUUAGAAAAAACUUUUAACAUAGAAAAGUAGCGCAUUUUCAUAAGCUUUCCAACGCCAUAUUAUUUGCCUCAAUUAGAUUAGCCGCUUAGAAAUGGCGUCGAAAAUACGAACUCAGGUGUUCGGUUUGCGAAAUUUUACGAUUUUCCGAAUUACUCUUUAACCGUAUGGAAUUAGAGAAAACUUUCAACAUGUGGAAGGAACGGUUUUGCAGCAGCUUUCCAACGCCAUAUUAUUUGCCUCAUUCCGAUAAAUGGUUUAAAAAUGCGAUCGAAAAUACGAUUCACAUUUGUUAUAUAAAGAAAUAACGGUUUUCAAAACUGCUCUUAAACCGCUUACAUUUUGCCAAAACUUUAAUUUGGGUCAUGAUACUGAUGUCCAUAGCUAUCCAACGGUAUAUCGCAAGCCCCAUUUGGACACCUUUUUAGCUGAAGUUCAACCUAGUACUCGGGGAAGGUCAGGCGCGUUACUCGGGAAGUUCAUGUUGUGAUCAGAAUAUUAUUCUGAUCCUGUGAUCAGAAUAGUGUUUAUGUGUGUGUGUAUAUAUAUAGAUGUUGUUGUUCUAAGAAUGAUCAUGAUUCCCUCAUAUCCGUAUUUUAUUUUAUCGACACCUCUAUCUCUAAACAUGUGGGCAUAUUUUUCGAUUUUGGCUUUCGCUUGAGGACAAGCGAGGCUUGAGGGAGUUGAUACAUCUAUUUUGCAUCAUGCUUUUAUAUCGAUAUUUAUUGCAUUAUGGGUUGUUAUUACACAUUAUGUCACAAUAGUUAUGCCUAUUCUCUCUUAUUUUACAAGCUUUACAUGAAGAGGGAGAAUGCCGGCAGCUGGGAUUCUGGGCUAGAAAAGGAGCAAAUAUUAGAGACCUAUUCUGCACAGCUCCAAAAGUCCUGAAACUUCACGGAAGUAAUUUUUGGAAUUAAUAAAAAAUAAUGAGCAGAGAAAGCACCGGAGGGGCCCCGCACCCUGGCCACGAGGGUGGGGGCCGCGCCCUACCCCCUGGGCGCGCCCCCUGCCUCGUAGGCCCCCUAGUGGCCCUUUGAUGCCCAUCUUCUUCUAUACGAGGUCUUUCGUCCGAUAAAAAUCAUAAGCAAGCUCAUGGGACAAAACUCCGCCGCCACGAGGCGGAACCUUGGCGGAACCAAUCUAGGGCUCUGGCGGAGCUGUUCUGUCGGGGAAACUUCCCUCUGGGAGGGGGAAAUGAUCACCAUCGUCAUCACCAAUGAUCCUCUCAUCGGGAGGGGGUCAAUAUCCAUCAACAUCUUCACUAACACCAUCUCAUCUCAAACCCUAGUUCAUCUCUUGUAUCUAAUCUUUGUAUCCAAACCUCAUAUUGGUACCCGUGGGUUGCUAGUAGUGUUGAUUACUCCUUGUAGUUGAUGCUAGUUGGUUUACUUGGUGGAAGAUCAUAUGUUCAAAUCCAUUAUGCAUAUUAAUACCCCUCUGAUUAUGAACAUUAACAUGCUUUGUGAGUAGUUAUGUUUGUUCCUGAGGACAUGGGAGAAGUCUUGCUAUAAGUAGUCAUGUGAAUUUGGUAUUCGUUCGUUAUUUUGAUGAGAUGUAUGUUGUCAUCCCUCUAUUGGUGUCAUGUGAACGUCGACUACAUGACACUUCACCAUUGUUUGGGCCUAGAGGGAGGCAUUGGGAAGUAAUAAGUAGAUGAUGGGUUGCUAGAGUGACAGAAGCUUAAACCCUAGUUUAUGUGUUGCUUCAUAAGGGGCUGAUUUGGAUCCAUAUGUUUCAUGCUAUGGUUAGGUUUACCUUAAUACUUCUGUUGUAGUUGCGUAUGCUUGCAAUGGAGGUUAAUCAUAAGUGGGAUGUUUGUCCAAGUAAGGACAGUACCCAAGCACCGGUCCACCCAUAUAUGAAAUUAUCAAAGUAUCGAACGCGAAUCAUAUGAGCGUGAUGAAAACUAGCUUGACGAUAAUUCCCAUGUGUCCUCGGAGCGCUUUCCUUCAUAUAAGAGUUUGUCCAGGCUUGUCCUUUGCUACAAAAAGGAUUGGGACACCUUGUUGCACCUUAUUUACUUACAUUACUUGUUACUCAUUACAAAUUACUUUAUCACAAAACUAUCUGUUACCGAUAAUUUCAGUGCUUGUAGAGAAUACCUUACUGAAAACUGCUUAUCAUUUCCUUCUGCUCCUCGUUGGGUUCGACACUCUUACUUAUCGAAAAGGCUACGAUAGAUCCCCUACACUUGUGGGUCAUCAGUGCGACAUUCUAUAACUCAAGAAUUCAAACUGAGGCAUACUAAAAGAGUUAGUGAACGGAAUAUGAAGAAGGAUGACAUAAUUAGAGAAGAUAUUGAAGUUAUAGAUAAAGUCUUCUUAUUGUUAAACCAGACUUGCAUGUGUUGCACUCGAAGAGGCCAGAGUUCAUGCUUUCUUGAGAGAUGAAAUAAGGCGACAUGUGUUGCCAAAAUAAAUGAGUUAUGUAUUAUACUUCUCUUUUAAAAUUAUUGUUUGUAGAUAUGUAACUUACUGUAUUGACUUUCUUAAUGAAAUUCAGCCAAGCAUUGUGAACAAGUUUUUGUCCUCAGUAAUGUUGUAGCAUGAUCAGAAGUUAAUAUUUUUUGAAUAGCUUGUUUUGUUGAAUCUAUUAAUAUAAUUGUGAUUAUUUGCUGCUUGUACAAAUGAAGGUUCUAUUUGUAACAAUGCAAGUGGGUCAAGUAGAAAAUUUAUUGAUAUAGUUGAAUCAAAUGUUGAACAUAUGGUUGUUUUAACCUAUCCAAAUCUAAUGAAUAUUUUUCAUUGUGAAAAAUACUUUUAGUUCAUAAUUGUUGUGCCGAUGCACUAAGCUUGGUGAACUUAUGUGUGGGAUAUGAAGGAGAAAGUAAGCAACACUUUAGAUCCACAGUGUGCAAAUGGUACUGCAUCAUACAUGAAAGAAAGGCAUGAAACAUGUGCUUAUAUAUAUUUGACUGUACUGAAGAGUUCUUGAGUAUUUAGAGUUGCUUUCAUCAUCUUGGAUGGUCAAAGAAAUUUCAUCAUCCAACGUACCACUUCAGAGGUAUAUUCCAUUAUUCAUGUUUAUCUGUAAAACUAAUUUAUUUCUUCUAAUUAUGGCAAAUGCAGGGAAGAUUCAGCAAUUGCAUCUCUGAUGAUAGCAAUGUACUUUAAUGGCAUUGAAGUAAAAUAAAAACUAACUAAGGUACAUCUGAAUGUUAAUGUUUCAUUCUAAUUUGUUUAUCAGCUCUAUUGCUACUUACAUAAUUGCACAUUUUUUUGUAGUACACAUUUUCUAUUAUACGAGUACUAAUGUUAUGGCAUUUACAAAAAAUGGACUGUAAUAAAGGAAAGCUGCCUUUACAUCUUCAUCAAAUGAUGUAGAAAUUGUAGAUCAACAUUCUUACGCAUGAACUAAAUAUUUACUAUUUGUAAUAAGGAUUAAGGUGUUGUGUGUCGACACAUAUAAGUUUGUAUUGAUUAUUUUAAUUAUAUGUAAUUGUAGUAUCUUAGAAUGAUUAGACGUAAUAUUUGAAUUGUAAUGCCAUAUUAAAGAGUUUGAACAAUUUAUAUUAAUUGAUCUUGUUGUCAUGGUGACCCACUUACAGAUACUCAGUACUAACUGAAUGUAUACUACAAGUGUUAACUCACUGAUAGGAUAAAAUAAUUAUAUGUACAUAUUGAGAAGAAUUUAUAGGAUGAGAAACUAUUGAAUUAGUAAAGAUUGUUAAAUAUAAUGUGAACAACAUUUAUAUUUACUAGAAGAUCAGUCGAUUAUAUCAUUGUCAAUUAAAGUACAAUCUUCGUAGAAAAGAUGUGAAAACCUACAAUAUCCCUAGAAUUGAAGGACGCAGACGACAAAGAACUUAUUUAUCGUCGCUCUCUUUGCCGAGCAGGUUUGUCGUCGGUGGCAAACGACAAAGAGCUUUGAUGUCCGCUUUUGGUGCCUUUGCCAUCUGCCAUGGCAGACUGCAAAUAAGCUGAUUCCUGUAGUGCCACCUUGUCCAUGAUAAUCCUAUCAUGCAUUAACGAUGUUUUUGUGGGUUGAACCACUUGGUCGACAACCCGAUUGGGUCAAUCAUUCGCCACCUUUGUAAAUAUGAAGUUAACGUUAAGAAGGCAUGUCAAUAUGUACAAUGGAAAUUGAUUAGCCUCUUUAGUCAUGGGCAUCAAAAUAAUUUCACAAAAAAUAGUCUUAAAAGCUUAGGGUGCUCCACAUGGAGGUCCUCAAACAACUCCCCAACCUCCUAGAAGGUUUGAUAGGCUCGGUUGAGAAGUCAUCCGAUCUAGGCAAUUUAUUAUGAAUACAACUUCGCUCACCCUGUGUUCAGAAAAGAGGGGUUCCAAGGAGCUUGUUUUGACCAUCCAAAACCUAUUGAGAUGUCAUCUAUUGAAUCAUUUAGAGAGAAAUUACUAUAAUUAAUUGGGAGUUCCAAAUAGACAUAUUAUUUGGUAGUAUAAGUCCAUAGGGAAGUCGUGGAGAGAGAGAGAGAUGUUGCUACGUAGCUACUACAUCCAAAUGGUAGCCUGAAAAAGACACCACUCAAAUGUAAUCAUGAGAGUGCAUAAUACAACUAUUUAUUUGAGCCGGCUAAUCUAGAUUGGAUCUAAAGGAAGACUUUUUGGAGAUUGGAUCAAUUGUUAUCCUAGUCCAUCCCUUGCAAAGAAAUAUUUAGUGUAUAGCCACCCCUAAAACAUUGUAAUAAUACGCAAAGGAGAUAUAUAUAUAGGGGAGAAGGCAAUGCCCUCGGACAAGCAGACACGGGUGGGAGUACUAUGUGGGUCAUAUGAUGAACUCACUCGGCAGGGUUGGACACAUGGGUCAGUUGCAUGGACUCCCUAGUGGUUGCCAAGGCUUGGCUUUUGUCAUGUUUCCCUAUCUUUCCUCCUUCAUGUGUAAUCUUUGAAUAUUUUCUCAAAUUUUGUGGUUUUCUUUCAACUAACGAAAACAUGAAUUUUGUUAGCAGUGACUAGUAGGUUAGUCCUAAAGGAAAAAUAUCAUAUACGAGAAAUUAUUAAACUUUAAAGGAAUAUAUGCACUUCUGGUUGUAGUUGUCAAAAAACAACAUAAGGGUUAUACAGUGACAAUGUUAGACAUCAGAAAUUUAAUAUAAGCUUCGUUCCACAAAAAUAUGGAAGUCCUACUCUUAUUGUUGAGGAUAUCAAGGAAAAAGAAUAAAGAAGGGUGAGCGAGAACUCCAUUGAAAGGAAAAACUCCAAACAUGUGAACUUAUGAUAGAGAACCUUUUAUUUGCAUCGACAAGAGGUCAAAUUUCCACCGAGAGGCAAGGUUGGAGAAAGUGUUAGCCUAGAACCUAGGCAGUGUUUAAGAACCCUAAGUGUAGCCUAGGUGGAUGUAUAGAAUUGGCUAUCAAGGUAUAUUUGGGGUUAUAUAUGUGUACCAAUAUUAACUUAGAUCAUACAUGUGAGUAAACUACCACAUCUAGCCUUUAGAAUAUGGCCUAGGCCCAUUCGACAAAUCUAUGUAACAUGGCAUGAUUUCUCGCUUGAGUGGAUAAUUUCUUUCUUCCACUCCCUAGAGUUUCGCUUAUGCCCUAGGCGAGGCAUUUGGUCGUUGCCUAACGCCUAAGGGUGUCUAAGCGCCUUCUCGGUGCUACCUUUCCUAGCAUAGCCGAGAGAUCUCUUCACACCACACUUGAGAUGAAAUCCCCUUCCAUAAGAAUGAGAUGCCUUACAAGCUACUACGAGGCAUUUUUAUAGGCUCUUGGACUUGUACAAAAUACUAGAAAUACUUUUUUUUACUGCAACCAUCAUCGCUCUUGGCAAGGAGGGAAAAUAAGGACACCUCGUAGUCUUAGGGCUUCAUUUUUUUGAUAUUUUUCUGAAUUUUUGAGGGUAUGUGUCCUACUCAAGGAGGCGAGGAGGCGAUGGCUCUUUGAUGAUGGGAUACGAUUCUCCUUGCCUAGCCCCCAUUCUGACGGUGCUUCUACCACUGCUAGAGGGAGUGUGAAGGUUUGUCUCAUGGGAUUCGGUCGGCGUUUGUCUUCGGUGGAUCCACAUGGAUCAGGUCUUUGUUCGUCGGCGGUGGAUGUUGUUCUGGUGCACUGGUCCAGUAGUGAUUAACGCGACGACUUUCCGAUUGUCUACUACAAUAAGAUUUGCCCACCUCCGGUGAGUGAGGGGCAAGGACGGCGGUGCAUCUUCGGCUCGCUACAGUGCUUAUAGUCGUUGCUAGGUGCUCUAUGGAUUUGGAUGUCAUUUUUACUUCUGUUGUUCUUUACAUUACCGUGACAGUUAAUGAAUAGAUUGGAAGCUUUUCUCGUAAAAACACGAAGGGAAACGUUUGGAGACGGUGCGCCGGCCAAAGCUUCGGCCGGUCGCCCGCUACCUCGUGCUCCUGUGUCGAUGAGACCUGCAUCCGCACCCUAUCUGCUGCAGCCCAAUCUCGCAGGCGAGGCCGCCGUCCACCCCCGCAUCGCGCCCCUACCCCGCUGUAGCCUAAUCUCGCCGGCAAGGCCGCUCUACCCCCCGCAUCGACCCUCUACCCGCGGCAGCCCAAUCUCGCCGGCGAGGCCGCCGUCCACUGCACGGCCGGCGAUUUCCCGACGCGCACGACACAUCCACCCCCUACCUACAGUCUUCAUGCGCGCGCAUCCCCUGCCCCCUCCUCCCGGGCUGUGUUUGGGCAACCACAAGCUCCAUCACCGGCAGCCAAGUGCUCCCUCGUCGGCCGCCAUGGCUGCCUGCAGCCAUGCCCGGAUCCUCCCGCGUAUACAAGUGUUGCAACCGUCACCUAGAAAAGCUUCAACAACCGUUGAAAAAAGCUUCAACCAUAGACAUAGAAAGCUUCAAUGGCACUGCACAACAAGGGAAAGCUGCAACCGUUGUUGGAUUUUGCUACUACCGGCAAAGCUUUUUGCUACAUCCAUCAGGCAGAGCUGCGACCUCACGAAGGACGACAAUGAUUUUUUUGCUGCAACCGUAGCAGGAUUUUGCUACUACCGUUGGAGGUUUUUGCUACAUCCAUGUAAGGCGGAGCUGCGACCUCGCGAAGGCGGAGACGGCGUUUUUGCUGCACCCGUAGUUUGAUUUUGCUACUACUAGUGAAAUUGUUUGCUACAUCCAUUGAGCUAAAACGGGUGAGAAGCUACAACCAUUGUGGAAAAAGCUACAACGGGUGAAACAAAAAGCUUUCAACCGCCUGCAGGCGCCGACGUGCUGCACGGGGAUGCUUCAACCAUCUAAAACUUUUUGCUACAUGCGUCAUUCUUUCUUGCAGGGACAAGAGAGAAGCAGAUGUUACAACCGGUGCACAUCGGAGCUACAACCGUCAACCCAAAAUGCCACGACCGAUGGCAUUUUUUGCUGGAACCAGAGAAAGAAUAGGCUUCGACAGACGUGCGUUAUAGCUGCAACCAUACUGAAAAAUGCUACGUCCGGCAACCAAAAAAGCUACAUCCGAUUUUGAAAAAAAAUUCAACUGGAUACGGGGUAGCUGGAGGUCGGCCACCGCACAGCCGAAAAAAGCUACAACCGGCGUCGAGAAUAGCUACUACCCGCUUUUAAAAAAGCUUCAAACUGAAAACAGCUAGAUAACAAUGGCGACCGGCGACGACGGUGCUGCGUGGCGGUGCUGCGAUGGGCGCAUGGCGAGGUACGACAGCAGGCCGGUGGCGACGCUGGAACCCUCAUCUGGUAGUGCUGCAAUCAGGAGGUGUGACACACGUCGAGAUGCAAGGCAGAGCUGCAUCCGGUGAGUUGCGGCGGCCUCGGCGAUCUGUGACAUGGACCGGCCCCCGUGAGCUGCGACGGCGAGCAGGCCCGGCGAGGUGCGACGGGGCGGUCGAGCAGGCCCGGCGAGGUGCAACGGGGCGGUCAAGCAGGCCCGGCGAGCUGCGACGGGGCGGCCAAGGGCGCGCACGAGGAGGCUGACCUGCAGAUUUCCUUUUUUCCCUCGCGCAAGGAAGAAGAAGGUAAGGGGGAAUCGUUUUCUUUGGCGGGAUCCAGUGGCCCAGGCGGUCGGAUCCAACGGUUGCUGUGCGACCGGCCUAACAGUUGGGCCGGUGCGCCAGUGCAGAUCGUUCCCCAAACACGAAAGGUGACAUAUAUGGUUGAUCUAGGGGCACGGUGGAAAGUGGAUUUUAUACUGCAGUAAUGCUCCAAGGUGCUGAUUGACUUCUACUAUAUGACCCGUUUUUGACUUUUACCACUGUCUAUUAUCUUCACAUGUACGAACAAAAAAGUACAUGUAGAUAAAAGUCAUGGGAUAUGUGUGAAAAAUGUUUUUCUACCACUAGUAGAAAAAGGGUCAUUAGUCCCGGUUUAUAAGGGCCUUUAGUCUCGGUUUUCGAACCGGGACUAAAGGGUCGUUACUAAAGGCCCUCCACGUGGCCGCUGGCUAGAGCUCCACCAGCUCCACCUUUAGUCCCAGUUGGUAACAUCAACUGGGACUAAAGGUAUUUUUUUUGAAUUUUUUUUCUCAAUUUUCAAAUUUCUGAAUUAUUUUAUAAUUUAAUCUCUAAUCACCCACCCCUCGUCACUACUCAAUUUAACCNNNNNNNNNNNNNNNNNNNNNNNNNNNNNNNNNNNNNNNNNNNNNNNNNNNNNNNNNNNNNNNNNNNNNNNNNNNNNNNNNNNNNNNNNNNNNNNNNNNNNNNNNNNNNNNNNNNNNNNNNNNNNNNNNNNNNNNNNNNNNNNNNNNNNNNNNNNNNNNNNNNNNNNNNNNNNNNNNNNNNNNNNNNNNNNNNNNNNNNNNNNNNNNNNNNNNNNNNNNNNNNNNNNNNNNNNNNNNNNNNNNNNNNNNNNNNNNNNNNNNNNGGGACUAAAGGGUCGUUACUAAAGGCCCCCCCCCCCUUUAGUCCCGGUUCUUACACGAACCGGGACUAAAGGCCCUCCACGUGGCCGCUGGCUAGAGCUCCACCAGCUCCACCUUUAGUCCCAGUUGGUAACAUCAACUGGGACUAAAGGUAUUUUUUUUGAAUUUUUUUUCUCAAUUUUCAAAUUUCUGAAUUAUUUUAUAAUUUAAUCUCUAAUCACCCACCCCUCGUCACUACUCAAUUUAACCUCUAAUCUCUAAUCACCCCUCAUCAUUCGAAAUCAUCUAACUUCCCGAUCAUCACCCAUCCCUCUCACUACUCCAGCCCGAGCACGCUUAACUUUCGGGUUCUAUUCUCCUUCGUCUCCAAGUCUGCACUUAUUGUUUUCCUGACAAUAGUAAGAUGUCAAUCCUAUUAACCCUCAGGAGUUUAGCUUGAGUAUGAAGUCACACAUUUCACUGUCUGAGUUUGAAACUAUUAUUGUACAAAACAAUAAUUAUUUAGUAACACUUUCUUGAAUAAAUAGUUUGACCACAAUUUGACCAGAUUUGACCAAAAUUCAGAAAAACCGAAAUAAUUAUUUAGUAACACUAAUAUUUCUUGAAUAAGUAGUUUGACCAUUGUUAGUCCACAAUUUGACCAGAUUUGACAAAAAUUCAAAAAAACUGAAAUAAUUAUAUAGUAACACUAAUAUUCUUGAAUAAUUAUUUAAUAACACUAAUACUUCCCGACUGUCUAGUACUGGUGUGCUGGUCCAAUAGGGAUUAACACGACAAUUUCCCGAUUGUCUAGUACAACAAGAUUUGCCCGCCUCCGGUGAGUGAGGGGCGAUGACGCCGGCGCGUCUUUGGCUCGCUACAGUGCAUGUAGUCGUCGCUAAGUGGUCUACAGAUCUGGAUGUAAUUUUUACUUCUGGUGUUCUUUAUACUACCUUGUCAGUUGAUGAAUAGAUCGGAAACUUUUCCAGCAAAAAAGAGGAAAAGUGAUAUAUAUGGUUGGUCUAGGGAGCACCAUGGAAAGUGCCUUUUAUACUGCAGUAAUGCUCCAAGCUGCUCAUUGGCUUCUACUAUAUGACUCUUCUUUGACUUUUACCACACUGUAUAAUCUUCACAUGUACGAACAAAGAGUACAUGUAGAUAAAAAUUAUAGGAUAUGUAUGAAAAAUGAAUUUCUACCUGGGAUCCAUUGUUCUUCGUGCUUGUGCACUUGCUUUUCACUGAUACACAGGGGAACAUAAAGAUGCACUUCCUAACAAGAAGAGACUAAUGCACACCAACGCCCAAAAUAUUGGUAACGCUGUUAGCCGCUAUGCAACCGGUCCGUAAAGUAACUAAAUUAAAAUAGUCUAACUAUAACUCUUCUUUUUACUAGUACAUAUGAAACAUUAUGGUGCCCUAAGAUAAAACAAAAAACACAACAAAACAUUAUUUAUGUAACAACCAAAAAUAAAACAAUACAACUUAGACAAUACUAGUAAGCGCACCAGAUGACAACGCACGACACGUCGGAUGUGGCAAUUUCAAAGUGUUCGUCGUGUGUACAAGAAAUUUACAUGGUUGUAACGAAACAAUAAAUUAAAUAAAAAAAGUUGAAAGAGAAAGGAGCUAUGACAAUCUUACAACAAUUUACAGGGGAAAAACAUGAUCACAAAUCAAAACAGCCUUGUACUUCUUCGGUGGCUUAAUGGUUAACCACGUUGCACUUCUUCCUGAUCUCGCCCUGGCUUCCGGUGAGCGGGUUGGCGUUGCCCAUCUUGAUCAUGGAGGCGGCGAAGUCGGCGAAGAACUCGUCCUUGAAUGCUCCGGUGGCAUGGCGCUGGACGUAGGCGCGGGUGAAGGGGUCGGUGAGGAGGGCGCCGUCGGAGUGGAAGAGGCCCCUCCGCUUGCUCACCAGCUUGAAGUAAUCGGUGUCGAAGGUCUUGAAGCUGCCGGGGUCCAUCUCCACGAGUGUGGUGUUGUCGUUGAGGCUGGCACACUUGCUCUUUAGCCGCAUCAUGUACUGCGGCUCCAGCGUGGGGUCAAUGUCGCUGGGGUUCUCCAUGCCGGUGAAGUUGUAGAGCCGGUCGGAGAAGGAGAAGCAGUGCGACGUCCCGAUGGUGUGCCCGGCGGACAAGACGACAAGGUCCUUUGCGUCAAGGUUCACGGCGGCGAAGAGCUGGGUGAGCACGGUGAAGUUGGAGGUCGGGGGUGGCAGAGCGUCGGUCUCGUUGGAAAUGGACACGCUGCCGUCUCGCCGGCCCAGAGGAACUGUCCAGACUGGACCCUUGCUCUGGAGAAACCAUGAUCGAGCAGCAUUAGAAUUUGGCUUCCACACGUACCGUGUCAUUUGAAAAAUGGCAUAGUAGGAGUACUCUACUCACCAGCCAUACUGCGUCCCUGGCAAUGAGGGCGAGGAUGUCGGCGCAGGAGACGGUGUCGGGGCAGGCCUUCUCCACCGCGGCCUUCACCCUCUCGACAAACCCGAAGCCUCGCAGCGUCUGGUUCGGCUGCGCGUCCUUCUCCGCCGUCUUGUUGGCCGAGUCCAGCAGAACCGAGCCGUCGCACCCCUGCAUUAAUUAAUGGCGGUCACUGGUCAGGCCGCCGCACACAAUAGGGUACGGGCAGGACAGACAACAUGCAUGCAAAUGUAGCUUACCCUGACGAAGCAGUCGUGGAAGUGCAUCCGGAGGAGCGGCCCGGCGAGGCUAGGCGCUAGUGACAGAGCCCUCACCAUCUCCUUCCUCACGACGUCCUCCACGCUGGGGCACGACUCGCUGUAGAACUUGUCGUGCAGCUGCGCCCGCCCGCACGUCGCCGCCACCGCCGCGAGCAUCAGCGCAACCAUCGUCGCAGCCCUGGAAGCUUGUUUCUUUCUUGGCUAUGCAAGAAACGACGAUGGCUAGUUGAUCCGGAGAAGCUUGAGCUGCUGCUGCUGAUGAUGAACUGGCGCCGGGGAAAUAUAUAGCGCCGGAGUGUCCACACGCCUGCAUGUGGUGGGCUGUCCUCCGGAGCAGCAGGUAAAAUUCCGAUGGUUUAAUGAGUUGUUCCUUGUUUGCACUCUGCGGAAUCUUUGCCGUGGCAGGUACACCGACGGCGCACGGUAUGUAUAAUGGAGGCGGCCGGACAGCCAGACGGAAGCACAUCAUUAGAUGAAUUCACUAAUUUUCUUUAGACAGCAAUCUACUCACUAACUUACUAAUUAGUUAUGAGUUAUCACGGAGAAAACUGCGGUGCCAAGUUGUAAUCAACAAAGGCUACUGGCAAUGAGUGAAUGCCACCUACUGGUAGUUUGCAAUCGUGCGAAUUUCAUGAUGCAUAUAUUUGUACCGGUGCCACAUGCUAUCCNNNNNNNNNNNNNNNNNNNNNNNNNNNNNNNNNNNNNNNNNNNNNNNNNNNNNNNNNNNNNNNNNNNNNNNNNNNNNNNNNNNNNNNNNNNNNNNNNNNNNNNNNNNNNNNNNNNNNNNNNNNNNNNNNNNNNNNNNNNNNNNNNNNNNNNNNNNNNNNNNNNNNNNNNNNNNNNNNNNNNNNNNNNNNNNNNNNNNNNNNNNNNNNNNNNNNNNNNNNNNNNNNNNNNNNNNNNNNNNNNNNNNNNNNNNNNNNNNNNNNNNNNNNNNNNNNNNNNNNNNNNNNNNNNNNNNNNNNNNNNNNNNNNNNNNNNNNNNNNNNNNNNNNNNNNNNNNNNNNNNNNNNNNNNNNNNNNNNNNNNNNNNNNNNNNNNNNNNNNNNNNNNNNNNNNNNNNNNNNNNNNNNNNNNNNNNNNNNNNNNNNNNNNNNNNNNNNNNNNNNNNNNNNNNNNNNNNNNNNNNNNNNNNNNNNNNNNNNNNCUAAACUAAGCGUGAGUGUAGAAUAGCUUAUUCUACACCCCAGUAACGGUACAUACAAAAUAUAGUAACACACUAUGUAAAAUAUAGUAAUUUUCGUAAAAAUGUAGUAAAUUAUAAACUUGGGUGAUAAAAAAAAUAUUUUCCAGGCAAUAUACGUACUUACACAAACACUAAUUAGAGGUACCUCGCAAAAUUACCCUGAGACCACUAGGGGCUUGUUUGGUUGUCAUCUACGAAUUUGUCUGCGUUGCACACAUGUCUUAGUUGGGCCUGGCUAUGAGAAAACAGGCAAACGAAAUCUGCAUCUGCACCUCAUUUGGUCGUCCACAUCUAGACUUCCUGCAUUAGGGGAACGGUUUUGGCAUGCUGUUUGGUGUCCUGUAUUGUCUCCACUCAUGCAACUACACAGUGUUUGAUUGUAUAUAUACACAGGAUAUGAUUAAGAGCUAAUACCUACACAUGACAUAACACACAGAGUUACAAUAGAGUUCCUUGGCAGUGUGCCCGUGAUGGUGGCAUUAGUGUAAGCAGAGGGCGAGGAGGCAUAGAGAAAAGACGCCGGCGGCAGUGCCAGGCACAAUAUGGCGUCCAUCCGACAAGGUUGACAACCACAUAUAACACUGGGGACGACAUGACGACAAGGAUGAAAAAUAUAAAGGAGAAAUGCAAUUUGCAUGCCAUGGCCGCGUUAGAGCAACUCUAGCAAACCCGUAAAAGUCACAAACCCGCAAAAUUAUGGCGAGUAUACGGAUUCGGCCCAAUUUUCUGGCCAGAACAGAGCCCGUAUACUCGACGGCCCGUAAAUAUUUUUACCGCGGCCCGCAACCCUCCCCCCUCCGCCAAGCAAUAUAUCUACGGGUUUGCGGUGCAUAUGCGGGUCGAAACCCUAUCCCCCACUGCCGCGUCUCGCCGCAAUUCCCCACUCCCCUCCUUACAUUUCUCGCCAAUGGUGAGCCCCUUCCACCUCCAAAAGACAUGUGGGGCUGCAUGCGGAGCUUCGGCCACGGCUCUGGGAGUAGCUCCGGCAGGGGCGGCAGCCCCGAGCGCGAGCGGCAUGUCUGCUUGGAUGGCGCGAGGAAGCGCGGGGCGAGGAACUGGACGAACAAGUCUCGAGCCGUUGCCGAGCUUCCUCGUCCGUGAGACGGAGGAAUACGACCGUCGGCGCGGGCGUACGCCCUCCUCGGCCACGGGCUCGUCCUCCGCCGCGAGAUCUUCCCACGCCGCGAUCUCUUCCUCUUCCGGCGCGAGGCUUCUCCCCGUGAAGAGGGAGUGGUCGGAGGAGCCGGUGGAGAUCGAGGUCAUCGCCGUCAAGCAGGAACCGGAGGUGAUCGAGUGACGAGGGGUCAUCGAGCCCAAAGAUUUCGUGGCCGAUUUCGACGCGGUGGCGUCCGCCAUUGCCGAGCGGAGCUUACGCGAGGAGGCGGAGCGCCGGCGCCACAACGACGAGGUCGACGACCUCAUCCUCCAGCAGGCGGUUGCGGCCAACCUUGCCGUGAAGGAGAAGGACGACGAGUGGCGGCGCAUCCGCGAGGAGCAGAGGUCGAAGUUCAUCGAUCUCGUCAACUCCGACGAGGACUGAGCUCCUCCACCGCGUCGUCCUUAGCCGUGAGCUCAUCCAUUUUGGUAUAUCGAUCUCGGCCUCGCCGCCAUGAAUCCCCCCUCCCUCUAGUAGUAGUAAUAGAAUGUAGUAUGUAUGAUAAUGUAGCAUGUGAUGAUGAACUAUGAAUGAUAAUGUAGUAUGUGAUGAAAAAGUGUGGUUGCAAUUUCUCCCGCGAAAGUAUUAUUCAAAUUAUGCAGUUUCAUAUACGGGUUCUAUUCUGCCACACACGAUUUUGACCCGCAAAACAGUUCUUCAUCGAACUGUAAACGCCUUAUGCGGGUCACGGUUUUACGGGGUCUCCUAGAGUUGCUCUUAGUGCAAGAGGACACAGAGGAGGAGGCCAAAAAGAACAAAGCUAACGACGGCAUCAGUGUAGUAGGACGGGAGCAUGGAGUUAGAGAGGAACAACGCCGGCGAUGGCUUCAGUGUAGCAGAACAUGGGAUAGAAGACAUAGAGGAUCAAUGACCGCUCAAGUGUAGUAGGACGCGGGAGAGGAGGUUGAGAGGAAACGAUGCCGGAGGUGGCGCUAGCGCAACAUCACGCAGCAGAGGAGGCCGAGAGGAACGACACUAACAGUGGCGUCAAUGUAGCAGGACACCUGACUGGAGACCGAGAUUAAGGUCUGUCAUUAACACACAUCGCACAUAUGCAUAUGUAUGUUUUAACGAGGAAGAAUUUACAUCUAGUCUACGAUCAUCGAAACAGAAAAUUUGCAAUACGAAAGUCAUGCGAAACUGCAAGAUGAAGCAACUGGUCAAAGGAAGUUUCAAACGGUCAACCGCGCGCGACAAAUUUAACAAAAUAUGUCCAAAAUAGCUUCAAACAUGAACACGGAAUUGAGCAUUUACGGUUGAAGAAACUACAAACCGGUGACCUGAAUGAAACCAUAACAUUGAUGGUGCAUCUUUUUCAUGUAGAGGUUAUCUCGAAUCGAAGCAUCGUUGUGUAGAUUAGAAGAGAUGACAAAGAAAGAAGAUUAGAGACGAGCUUAAUGGAGGUAGAAGAACAUAGCAGGUAUCCCUCAAGUCUCCUCAGGUGCAACAAGGUCCACCAUGUGCGUUUGAUGUGCCUGAUCUCAGUCUGGCUUGCUGAAAACUGUCGAUUUGACCGUUCCUAGCGGGCCUGACUAGGAGGUGCUUUAAAGUCUGUGCGUUACGGGCCAAACAAUGAAUGUAGAUAAACAAACAUGCCAUUUUCUUCCCACACAGACCUGAUUGACCUAUAUACAGGGUCCAAACACGCCCUAGGUGAUGCCUCUAGGAUUGGAGUUCUAAGUUUCGUAUCAAUGCCAUGUAGCCAACGACCAACCAUGUUUUGACAUUAUGUGACAGGUGCAAAUUAGAAGCUACCAGUAGAAAUGAUUUGGUUUUUAGUGGGAAAACUCUUCUCCUUCAGGUUUUUCUUUCUGUAUACACUCACUUUGUAUGUGAUCUACGCUGCAUCAAAUAAAAUACCAACCGAUUUUCAAGACGGCGCGUAUAUAGUUGGAGGGGGUGCCAGGGAGGUUUUUACCCAACGUAGAUGACAACAUAAUCUCCGGAUCGGCCCACCAUCUCCUUCGACAUAACACAAUGUCAGUACUAUAUAACUCUACUGUUGCAGAUAGCAUGUGGCACCGGUACAAAUAUAUGCUUCGUGGUCGAUUUCGACGCGGUGGCGUCCGCCAUUGCCGAGUGGAGCUUGCGCGAGGAGGCGGAGCGCCGGCGCCACGACGACGAGGUCAAAGACCUCAUCCUCCAGCAGGCGGCCGCGGCCAAUCUUGUCGUGAAGGAGAAGGACGACAAGUGACGGCGCAUCCGCGAGAAGUAGAGGUCGAAGUUCAUCGAUCUUGUUAGCUCCGACGAGGACUGAGCUCCUCCCCCGCGUCGUCCUCAGCCGUGAGCUCAUCCAUUUUGGUAUAUCGAUCUCGGCAUCAUCGCCACGAAUCCCCCAUCCCUCUAGUAGCAGUAAUAGAAUGUAGUAUGUAUGAUAAUGUAGUAUGUGAUGAUGAACUAUGGAUGAUAAUGUAGUAUGUGAUGAACUAGUGUGGUUGCAAUUUCUCUCGCGAAAGUAUUUUUCAAAUUAUGCAGUUUCAUAUACGGGUUCUAUUCUGCCACGCACAAUUUUGACCCGCAAAACAGUUCUUCAUCGAACUAUAAACGCCUUAUGCGGGUCACAGUUUUAUGGUGUCUGCUAGAGUUGCUCUUAGUGCAAGAGGCCGCAGAGGAGGAGGCCAAAAGGAACAAAGCUAACGACGGCAUCAGUGUAGUAGGAUGCGAGCGGGAGUUAGAGAGGAACGACGCCGGCGGUGGCUUCAGUGUAGCAGAACAUGGGAUAGAAGACAUAAAGGAUCAACGACCGCUCGAGUGUAGUAGGACGCGGGAGAGGAGGUUGAGAGGAAACGACCCCGGAGGUGGCGCUAGCGCAACAUCACACGACAGAGGAGGCCGAGAGGAACAACGCUAACAGUGGCGUCAGUGUAGCAGGACACAGGACUGGAGACCGAUAUUAAGGUCUGUUAUUAGCACACAUCACACAUAUGAAUAUGUAUGUUUUAACGAGGAAGAAUUUACAUCUAGUCUACGAUCGUCGAAACAGAAAAUGUGCAGUACGAAAGUCAUGCGAAAUUGCAAGAUGAAGCAACUGGUCAAAGGAAAUUUCAAACGAUCAACCAUGCACGAGAAAUUUAACAAAAUGUGUCCAAAAUAGCUUCAAACAUGAACACGAAAUUGAGCAUUUACGGUUGAAGAAACUACGAACCGGUGACCUGAAUGAAACCAUAACAUUGAUGGUGCAUCUUUUUCAUGUAGAGGUUAUCUCGAAUCGAAGCAUCGUUGUGUAGAUUAGAAAGGACGACAAAGAAAGAAGAUUAGAGACGAGCUUAAUGAAGGUAGAAGAACAUAGCAGGUAUAAAGCUCGCAUCCCUCAAGUCUCCUCAGGUGCAACAAGGUCCACCAUGUGCGUUCGAUAUGCCUCACCUCAAUCUGGCUUGCUGAAAACUGUCGAUUUGAUCAUUCCUAGCGGGCCUGGCUGGGUGGUACUUUAAAGUCUGUGCUUUACGGGCCAAACAAUGAAUGUAUAUAAACAAAUAUGCCAUUUUCUUUCCACACGGACCUGAUUGGCCUAUAUACAGGGUACCAAACACGCUCUAGCGAUGCCUCUAGGAUUGGAGUUCUAAGUUUCGUAUCAAUGCCAGGUAGCCAACGACCAACCAUGUUUUGACAUUAUGUGACAGGUGCAAAUUAGAAGCUACCAGUAGAAAUGAUUUGGUUUUUAGUGGGAAAACUCUUCUCCUUUGCAGUUUUUUUUCUGUAUACACUCAUUUUGUAUGUGAUCUAUGCUGCAUCAAAUAAAAUACCAACCAAUUUUCAAGACGGCGCGUAUAUAGUUGGAGGGGGUGCCAGGGAGGUUUUUACCCAACGUAGAUGGCAAUAUAAUCUCUGGAUCGGCCCACCACCUCCUUCGACAUAGACAUAGUGUCCGUAUUAUAUAACUCUACUGUUGCAGAUACAUUAAUGUCUUUUACUAUAUGUUUGUUCGACUGUUGGUGUUUGGCUGCAUGCAUUUUAAUUAUGUAAAGGUCGGGUGUCGUUCAUCAUGCUUUAUAUCCGUUUUAUACUACAUUUGACUUAAUACCCACCUCGCAAAAAAAGACUUAAUAAAAACACCCUUUAUUAAAAAAAAGGAUGAUUGACCAUGUAGCCCGAGCAAAUUUGUAAUCAAAGUAAAUGUGCUUCAUAUAUAGUUCCGUCUAUUUGACAUAAAAAACAAUGUCUACUUCAAUACAAAUUACAUAUGCUUCACAAGCUUGUUUUUUGUUGUUAUUGAAAUCACCCUUCCGCGAAGAUACCAAUUACUUUCGAAGGGAUAUUUAAUUUUCAUGUUCGUUAAUUGGUACUACCUCCGCCCUGGUUUAUUGGUCCCUUUUGUAAUUUGUGCCAAAUUUUGACAAAAAAAUUAACUAAUAAAAUGUUAAUGCAUGUCAACAAAAAAUAUAUCGUUUGGUUCGCAUUUGAACAUAGUUUUCAAUGAUAUAUUUUUUGGUGGCAUGCAUAAAUAUUUUAUGAGUUAAAUUUAUAGUCAAAAUUUGGCACAGAAUACAAUGGAGAUCAAUAAACCAGGACAGAGGUAGUAAUUGGCAUAUCACAAUGAACACUAGGGAGGAUAGAGAUCAUCUGUUCUUCAAGUGCAACUUCAGUACUAGAGUUUGGAACUACAUGCAGAUCUCUUGAACUGAUAACUCUGAUAAGUGUGAGAUUGCUUGCAAGGCCAGGAAAUAAUUUGACAAACCUUUUUUUUGCUGAGGUUGUCUUCACAGCUUGGUGGAAUAUAUGCAUAAUCUGGAAUGGAAAAAUAUUAUUGAAUGAAAAGCCCCGUUUUGCUAGGUGGAGAGUGGGAUUCACUUGGGAUAUUUAUUUGAUUACACAUAGGAUCAAGGCUACAUAUAAGGAUGCUCUAUUGAGAUGGAUUUCCUAUUUGCCCCCUUUGGUUGUAUUUUCUAUUUUUGGUUCUCAUGUUCCCUCUGUAAGUAAGAUUUUGUUUUCUCUUUCGGCCGAGGCCUUGUAAUCACCUUUGUAUAUAUUUAUAUCUAUGUUUCAAUAAAGAUGAAGCUGUGGUGCUUUGCCCUGCAGGUACAAGUUUCCAAAACAUUGCACUGUGCGUCAAAUUAAUCCAAAAACAUUCUUUUUUACCAAGGUUCCAUUGAAACUCGUCUUUGACUCUUGUAACAACUGCACAACCUCAAACCAAGUUAGAAGUGUUUUCCAUGUCUCAUCUUGGCCCAAGCAAGGUCGUCCUAAACGUCCCGUUGUGGGUGAGGCACUGAAGAAUUGCUCAAAGGUAUCUUGUUUGUUAUAGACAAUACCAAAUAGGAUAUCGGUCACUGAGAGGAACAUUUGUCUAGCCACUAAUCCUUCAAAAUUCUAAUUUGUGAGAUGUCUUUAAUGCUGAAGCUUCCAAAGUGGUAGAAAAAAAACUCUCCAUUUUCAUUGGGCUCGCCCUAAAAUGAGAGUCUUCCAUUUAACCCAAGAGAUGGUUUUAGAACGAGCGUAGUUGUUUCACAAGAGGUCUUACCAUACACCUUCCUCGUGAAGACAAAGCUUAAGCAGUAAUUUAAGGAGAAAUGCAAUGUUCUUGGCCUCAACAUCCCAUUUUUUUUCAACCCGCACCUUCUCCUUUCUCCACUUCUCUGCAAAAAAAAAACUGGACUGAAAAUAGUCCAAUAUUUGCAUAAUCCGUAGUGGAAUUUAGUAGAAAAACAACAUGUACAAGACCAUGCUGAUAAGCACAGAGUUAAUACGGACCAACCAUCCACAAAGGACAAAAACUUUCCUUUAAUUCCAACUAAGAAUGUGUUUCUCCCUUCUCUCUACCAUGAUUACUGCAUUCUCAAGCUUCAGAUAAUGAAUUGGAAUCCCCAAAUAGUGAAUGGGGAAUUGGCCAUGCUCGUAAAAAAAUUGGUAUAUCGAACUUCAGCUUCCCGGGCAACCUCUAAACAAGCCAACUAGCUCUUAUGGAGGCUAAUUUUAAGGCCCAAAAGUUGCUCAAAUACAGAAACCACUAACUCGAUGUUUUAAGCCUUUUGAAGGUCAUGUUCCAUGUAUAGGAUUGUGUCAUUAGUGUAUUAUAGGAUGGACAAGUGUACACUAGAUGUGGCACUACCCCACGGAUUUGACCAAUUUCCUUGGCAAGCUCAAUGAGAAUCGUCAAUAUAUCUGCAACAAUAUGAAAUAACAUAAGAGAUAAGCAAUCCCAAUGUCCCAUACCAUUUUCUGUAUCAAAAUAGUGGGGAGUGUCGUCAAGGAACUUAAUGGUACACUAAAAUGAUCAAUUAAGCACGCCAUUUAUUGGAGAAGCAUUACAUCAUGAGUCCCUAUUGAAGAAAAGACCACUUGACUUGUUGUAUGUUGAGUGAAAUUCACCACUAAUCCAUUAACUUAAUAUGAUUGCACCCUUUAGACCAACAACUCGGGAAGUGAUCAGUUAAGGCCCUACACUCAUUGAUUUGAUCAAAUAAUCUAAAACUCAAUUUGAUAGAGAAAAAUCUGGCCACAUGGCUGUCAUGUGAGCAUUCCUUUGACCGCUCGGGAACUAAUUCUUUUAUACUAGUCGUCAACCCGUGCGUGCGCACGGGCUAGUAGUUUGGAAAAUAGCUUAGUAGUUUUUUUUGUAAAUAUUGUUAGAAACAAAAGAGGAACUAAUUAUGAAUUAUAAAUUUACACUUGAAAAAAUGACACUUUGUUCUUUAAUCAUAUAUUUUAUAUUUAAGUAUAUUUUAUAUGUCAUAUAAGAACACUAUAGUUUGAUUUCUUUUCUCUAAAAAAUGUUAAUUUAUUCUUCAGCAUGUGCAAAUAUCUCCCAAAAACAAUUUUUUCCGAAGAAUUGUUAGGGUUGGAAGAAGUUCAUACAUUUAUUAAGUCUCCCAAGUGUAUUAAUUAUAUAAAUUUACUGUCAGUAAUGUUUUUGAAAUGAAACUACAUUUGUGCGAAUAAAAAAUAUUCUUAAGUUUAGAACAAAAACAAACAAACAAAAUUGUUCGAUACUUUCCUAUAUAUAGUGCAUAAUUAUUGAAAUAUGUACAGAGAAGCAUGAUGUGUAUAAUCAUGACAUCCCUCCAAAAAAAUAACUAAACAUGAGCCCAUGAGUUUCUGUCAUGUUUGUUUGUCGAGAAACACAUGAUUUCUUCCUACGUACACAUUCUUAAUUAUCCAAGUCGAAUUUGUUGGACGAUUGUAAACUCUGAACAUCACAAACAUAAUGAAUUUAUUUUUGUCCAAAUACACCUCUAGUAUCAUCUCUUCUAUUUUCCUAAAGGAAAACUCAAUUCCUUGAAUCCCCAGGUAUCAGCCACUUAUUUUUCUAAUCUCAUAAACCAAGUCGGGGUGCUAUGAAAUAUUCAAAUGGUUAUACAUAUCAGAUGCAUCGUGGUGGAUAACUUGGGCCAUGUGAUGCACACUACCUUAGGAAAUGUAAAAACAAAAUGGACUAUAUUUGUUUACAAAUUAUUGAAAAACUUGAGCAAGAAAGAGAAAUAGAGUGGCCAAGAUUAAUAUAUUAUUUUUUGGAAAGACUUAUAUAGUUGUACCAGAAACCUAAUAAUAAUUUGUGAAACAAUUUUCGCUGUUUUCAACAUGCAGCAAUAUUACUUGUUGUUUUCAAUGAGAAGGAGAAACAGUUUUGCAUAGUUAAAUGUCACCUGGCUUUGUAACCCCAAAGGAAUAAGAAUCUACAAAUUAUGAGUAGAAGCAUACAUCCCUACUUAACAAAAGGACACACCAGGUUCAUCAAACAUGGAUGAAAAAACUGAGUGUUGUUAUUCGACAUCAGAAGUCCAUAUCCUAAAAAAUAUGACCAUGCCGAAGGUAAAAUUAGUAUCAUCUAAGCUAGACUAAUUUGAUUUGUCCAGGCUAAUGAUAAUACAUUUUUCAACUACUAAUUUUAUUUAUCCAGGCUACAGCACAACUAAUGUCUGCAUUGCAGUAGUAUUUGGGUAACAAAAAAUCAUAUUAUAAUUUGAGACGCUGCAGAACGUUCUGAACUAUCGGCAUGCGCGUAUACUGGAUCGUGUAGAAAGGGGAAAUAACCGGCACUUUUGGCGAUGUGGGCACACCGCCAUACUGCAACACAACGCCUUUAAAGUUUUCCCGUGGGAACAUCCAAUUAAUAUUUACAUAUAUGAACUUGUAAGCCCAUUGAUCAUGUUGCACACACCUGUUGUGACCUUCACUCAUCUGCCAGUACCCCGACCGGUCGACACCUCUUCCUGCAAGUAGCCACCAGUUCAAUGAUAUAGAAGAUAAAGAAACGAAAUUUACAUCAACUUCGAUAGUCAAAAAAACUCUUUCGUAACACUUCACUUCACAUUACGUUAGUGCUAGACUCAUCUUCAUGACUUGAGCAGUUGCCUAAUUCACUACAAACAAAACAAACCAGCUGGCUGGCAAUAACAUGUGGCGGAAGUGCAGCAACAUUAAAUCUAAACAAACUGCAUUAGUCGAUUCAAACCAUACCAGGGAGCUCAACUGAGAUCAUCAAGAGUCUGCGUGAUCUCUGAUUGAGGCAUGAUCUAGAUGACACGGGGUGGUAAUUAUACUGAAAAUCUGAUUAUCUAUGUAUGCAUCUUUUUAUUCCAUCUAUUCAUCGUCAAGUAUCUAACUAUGCAUCCAUCAAUCCUUCCUAUCCAUCAAUUCCAUAUACGUAUCAGCAAGUAGCAUCAAGGUAAUGCAUGGGACAAUGAGAAAAUAUCGGACCUGAGAUUAAAGGGGCUGGAGCAUGACCACCAUAGAUUCCACUUCAUACGCAUCUGCAGAUUAAACUGGCUGGAGCAGGACCAACUUCCCAUAGAAGAUGGUUCUUGGUACUUGGUAUUCAAUGUGUUGGCCGUAAUGGAACUUCGAAUUGUUAUAUAUUUACCUUUGUUUACAAAGCGGUUUUAUUUACAAAGAUGAUGGCGUACACUAUAUUAUCCUUCCACCUGAAUUGCUAGCAUAGAAACAACAGAAGCCUGAAAAGGAAUAUAUUGCAAGUUACAACAACAGUAUUCGUAAAUCAACAUUGACAUAAACCACUGAAUUGAAGAAGAAAUACAGAAAGCGGUAACUCACAAAUCAGUCGAGUACAAAGAACUGAUGCGCAUUUUUCAAUCAUAUAAAUGUGUAGAAAGGCCUAGGUAGGAAUACGGGAAGGUGUGUAUAUGCAUUAUGUACUUCCUCUAAACACAGCUAUUUUCUAUCAUCCAGGUCACGCCCGAUGGCAAACAUUGCCGCAGUCCAUACAUGUCAUGGGUUUGGCCUAAUUGGGUUUGGAGGAUGCUACAACAUAGAGAUGCAUUCUUGCCACGGUCCCCAUGGUAUGGUGUUGAAUUUGGGAAGCACAUGAAGAGGAGGAAGUGGUGUUGAAUCUACACAUGUGGCCUCAAGUGCUCGUUCCCAGAGCUUAAUCCACUACUGUUUGCAGUGCUAAUUCACCGUAUUCCAAAAGCUUAGGACGCGUUUGGUUGCUACUCAGGUAACGUCUUCAGUUAAGGUACCGGGAAGCUCCGGUUCCCUUUUCUUCUUUAGGAAUACGUGACGUGUUUGGUUUGGCCGCCCCACUCCUGCUUUUGUAAUCAGCCGCGAUUUGGGUGUUUUCGAGUUUGUGAACCUCCGGAUCGGAAGACACUGCUACGGAAUACGUUGUUGGCGUACCAAAUGCUGGGUGCCGUUUCAGAAAGCGCGGUAGUCGGAAACCGUGACAAUUCUUCCGAAACAAACGCGUCGUUAAUUGCUUAGGAAACCAAUCCACAUCCGAUCUGGUCACCUCAAUCCAUUGGAAGCUGCCUCAGGUCAACUUUGUCCCCUUCCUACUGCCGUGCGGAAUUUGCAAAGUACAACACAUUGCUACAAAACAUGAGAAAGCAUAGCAGGGAAGACAGAAGAAGGUCCGACAUUGUUAGGGCAAUCAUCGCCAUGGUCCAGCUCGGCGUUUCUGCCAACUGGACUGACCCGUACAAUCUUUUCACCACCAAAAUAAAGAUCGCAAGUACCUAAUUGUACUACAGCACUCUCUCGAGCGCUCGCAGAAAAACAGAUCACCAUGUACCUGAUUGUACUACUGCGGCAUGUGGAGGCCCUGAGAAAGGAGGCCGACCGAGGAGGCCCGUGCGUGUGGACGAUGGUAGCACCCCUGCAGGAGGGAACAGAUGAAGAUCUCGUCCCGCUCGACAACGCUCAGAUGAUGCCGCUAUGAUGAAGGGAAGGCAUAUGCGUGAGAGAUUGAACCACAAAGAAAAACAGAAUAUAUUUUGGGGUUUUCCUCUCGCUUUAAAAAAGAGGCAUGAGAGAUUGAACAGGAAGGAAAAAAAAACAAAAACAUGAGAGAUUAGCGGAGCCAUUUAAGAGAGAGAGUUGACGGAUCCUUUUUUUUUGGGCAGUUGAUUAUUCUGUACGUGCACGCGUGUUUUUUCUUUUGGAGUUUUGCUCUAGCUUUCAAAAGAGGCAUGAGAGAUUGAGUCAGAAAAAAAUAGCAAAAACAGAUGUACACCUUUUUAAUUCGGUCGCACGAGAUAAACGAAAAAAUAGCAAGAAUAGCUUUCAAAAGAGGCAUGAGAGAUUGAGCCAAAAAGAAAAAAAAAAGCAAGAACAGAUCUACACCUUUAUAAUUCGGUCCCACCAAAUAAACAAAAAAAGAAAAAAAUAGUAAGAACAGAUCUACACCGUUAUAAUUAGGUCCCACCAAAUAAACGGCUCUUAAUUUCUAAUUAAUGUAGGAAUUUCUAGGAAGUGACAAAUUAUUAUAGGUAUAGAUAGAUAGAUAGAUAGAUAGAUGGAUAGAUAGAUAGAUAGGGAUCUAUUUGUAAAUUGGUUAGUUUUUACUCACAAACCAUGCUGAGGAUGUAUGGAGGACAAAUAUAUUAAAAACCUUAAGUUGCAUGGGAUUGAAAGCCACAUCCUUAGAGGUGGCAAACAUCUCGCUAACCGCAUGAACAUCAACUAGUUUGUGUACCAAGAUGCAACCCACUCUAUAUAUUAAAAUUCAAAAAACUAAGCAGCAAAAAUCAUAUGAGAUUAGAAUAAAAAAAUGUUGCUACGAACACUGUUCUACUAUAUUGCAAAACAAUAUAGACAAUGGAGAAUUUUGAAGAAAAGAACAGAAAAAUCGCAUAUCUCAUGCUAUCACAUCAUAGUAUUUUAAGAGCCAUGCAUAAUAGUAUAUGAAGAAUCCCAUAACCGCCUCCUGGGUCGCUCGCCUCCCGGGUCGCUCGCUAGGGCGACUCUAGAGGCCACCAUAAUCCAGUAGCACAACUCAUCUCUCGUGCUCCUCGUGCCGCCUUCGAUGGCGGCGGUGGCGGCGCCCGGCCGUGGAAGGCAGAGGUCUUGCUGCGGGUUUCUCAUGCCGGAGGAGGUGCGGUCGUUCGAGCACCCUGUUUCUUAUGGUGGCACGCAGGUGGUGGGCCGCCGAUCAAGUUGUCAGCAUUGCGCGAGCGGAGAUCUUUAGUGAUCAGGUGGGAUGUGGCUCGUGCAUAGGGGUUCCUUCUCGCACUGGCCAAGUGUUGUUCCUCCGGCAGCCAUCGGACAUGGAGUCGGUCAUGCUGCGCGAAUGGAUGCAUUUCGAUGCCUUUGGGCAGUUUUGCUCGGCUCCUCAGUUGGGCUGCAUCUUGAUGGCUGCUUGGCGUGAGGGUUCUAGUUUGACGAGUGAAUGGGCCAUGGAUGGUGUCUUUGGUGAGGUUUGUGGCACUCCGGCUAAAAACCGUACCUGACCUUUGUUGAUGCUGUUUACCACGUCGCCUUCGGGUGUCGCUAUUCAUCCCCUCACCGAGGAUCUCUAACACCUAUUUCAAUCUUGUGAUCUCGUCUCCCGGUGAAAACCGUAAUCCAGAUUCCCAAAUCGGCGAUGUCGAUAUCCUUUAUGAGGAAGUCAUUACUAGAAUGCAUCGUGUCAGAGACUUGACUUGUUGGAGAACCUCAUGGGGAGUCGUUGGUGGAGGGCCUGCGGUGGCGCGGUUGGUGUGGCUUUCCUGUCUCUCCGGUGCACUGCUUUGGGUGGCUGAGGUAUGGAGGUGAUGCUUGGCGAUGGGUAGCAAUGAUUCUUCCUGGCAGAGUGGCGAUGCCAAGAUGGUGCACGGCAACCGUGUCAGUGAUGCGUUGGUGGUGCCAUGGAGCCAGAUCCUUGACGAAGUUACUGGUUGCAGAUCCCGGUCCUAGCAAUGCAAUGAGGGCUCAUGGUGUAUUAUCUGGCGGCAGGUAGCCAUGCUCAGAUUUACCACUGAUUUGCACUUGCGACGGGGACGCGUGAUCGCCAAAGCGUCCCUUAUGGAGGAUUUUGGUGGCAUUGUUGUCUCUAGUCUGUGGAUAUAUGACAUGCGCCACAUGGGUGUCAAUGCAUGCACCUGGCAAUAAAGGCCGAUUGUGGCGGCUAGAUCGCUUCAUUGGUGUCUGCACAAUUUUGAGCUUGCUUGCUGAUGGCUCUAUAUUUUACACAUUUCUAGAGCUCAUUUGUCGCAUGUUCUCGGCAUACAUUAAGGCAUGUUGAACCAAAUAAAUGUCCAACACAUGAUUACUGAUUUUUACUCUUUUCAUUGUGACAAUUGCCUAUUAUUAUUAUUAUUAUUAUUAUUAUUAUUAUUAUUAUUAUUAUUAUUAUUAUUAUUAUUUGGUUUUUAUUAGAUUCCUUUAUUUUGUUGUGUCUACAGUUGUUUUGGAGCAACCUAGGACCAAACACGAUGAAUAGGCCAAGGUUGAGUUCCUUACAGAGGACUUCCAGCACCGGACUUGCGCACUUCGGAAGCUAAAAAAAGUGAGACUUUUUCCAAAUCAUUAUAUAAUACAAGUGGUACGUCGGUGUCGUUCUCAUGAUUUCAACUAGAUUAAGAACUUUGAAAACGUUGUUCGGAUGAGUAAGUUAUCACUAUUUUCCCAGAAGAGGUCAUAACAAAAGACGGCCUCUAGUACGACAAAAAAUAGUCCUACUGGUGGUCGUACCAGGUGCAGAUAGGCCCGAAAGUAGCCUCUCUGGAUGAGAUUCUUCAUCAAUUUCGUCUCCCUUUGUUACCUCGUGUUCCUUGGCUAAUAAGGAAGAGUUUGAGAGAGGAUUUGACUCAAGUUGAGCCCUUGAAUGAAGGUGGAGGGUCCACAUCUAUGCAGGAGACCCAAGCAGGCCUUCUAUAUAUUGAAAUGGCAAUAUCAGAGUCUUCGUCGUGUGUACAAGGAAUUAACAUGGUCGUAACGAAACAACAAAUUAAUGAAAGAAAAAGAUUUGGGAGAGAAAGGAGCUAUGGCAAUCUUACAGCAAUUUACAGGGGAAAAAGAUGAUCACGAAUCAAAACAACCUUGUACUUCUUCGGUGGCUUAAUGGUUAACCACGUUGCACUUCUUCCUGAUCUCGCCCUGGCUUCCUGUGAGCGGGUUGGCGUUGCCCAUCUUGAUCAUGGAGGCGGCAAAGUCGGCGAAGAACUCGUCCAUGAAGGCGCCGGUGGCAUGGCGCUGGACGUAGGCGCGGGUGAAGGGGUCGGUGAGGAGGGCGCCGUCAGAGUGGAAGAGGCCCCUCCGCUUGCUCACCAGCUUGAAGUAGUCAGUGUCGAAGGUCUUGAAGCUGCCGGGGUCCAUCUCCACGAGGGUGGUGUUGUCGUUGAGGCUGGCACACUUGCUCUUUAGCCGCAUCAUGUACUGCGGCUCCAGCGAGGGGUCGAUAUCGCUGGGGUUCUCCAAGCCGGUGAAGUUGUAGAGCCGGUCGGAGAAGGAGAAGCAGUGCGACGUCCCAAUGGUGUGCCCGGCGGACAAAACGACAAGGUCCUUUGCGUCGAGGUUCACGGCGGCGAAGAGCUGGGUGAGCACGGUGAAGUUGGAGGUCGGGGGUGGCAGAGCGUCGGUCUCGUUGGAAAUGGACACGCUGCCGUCUCGCCGGCCCAGAGGAACUGUCCAGAAUGGACCCUUG
rnacentral:lncRNA from 1 species